UGGCCUCUUUCGGUUGGCGGCAUGCUAUUCUAAUUGUAAAGAAUCUCGUGAAGAUCAUCGGUGUUGUAUCAGUCAGUCCUCAUCGGAUGGAUAUGAACCUGUUGAUAAGAUAAGGUCAUAUUAUUGGCAGAUUUGCUGUUGUUCAUUCCGCAGCUCUCCUGUAGCAAUAUCCUAAUGUGAGGAAGCUCCAGAGGUUGCUGUCAAUCCAUGAUGCAACCUCUGCUAACCGACUCCAAAAGGUUUGGCGCACAGCAGCACACCUGACUGGUUGAGUUGCUUGCAAUCCUUGAUGCAACCUUUUGGUAACCGACUCCAAAAGGUUUUGGUACACAGGACACCUGGACGUACUAGUGCCAUGCUCAUCCGCCUGACAUGGGAUUAGUGGAUGGUCUGUUAGAGCAACUUCAAAAAGCGUGCUUUGUUCGUUUUUUUAUUUGUUUGGGGUACGACCAACGUGUAGACCCAUUUAAUGUUUGCAUAGAUUUUUAUUUUUUCAAAAAGAAAGGGGUUUCCUUAUAGCCUUGAGAAAACACCACACAGUUCAUGCGUCAGUGGCCGACGCACAUGUCGUCACACACUUUUUUUUCGUUGGUCUUGGUAUUGUCGGCCUUGAUCUUGAGCUUCUCUUAUUUCUCCGCCUACAUCUUGGCUUGCUUCUUUGCAUCUACUUCAAGCCUCCUCCUUUGGAUUUUGAUGAAGACGUUCAUUUGAUCUUCCUUAGCUUGCCGACACUUCUCCUCCCUUGUGUCCUUGCUCAUCAUGCCCUCCAAAAUGGCAUGCAAGGCAAUCGCCGCCGCAUCACGCUUGUCCUCCUUGGAGUUGGUCUUCCCCCAUGAUCGUGGCUUCUUGCCCUCCCUAAACCCUAGGCUCCCCCUCCCCCAUGCGCCUUGGCGGCGGCAUAUUGCGUCUUAAACUUCUCCCUGUUGAUGACCAUCCAACAAUGGGUGAGGUUGAAGGAUAUGUCGUCGUGUUGGGCCAUGAAUUGUUGCGGAACGCGUCGCAUGGGAAAUAGGGAAGACCUAUCAUGGUGAUGUCCAUCUACGAGAGGGGAUGAGUGAUCUACAUACCCUUGUAGACCGUACAACAGAAGCGUUAGAGAACGCAGUUGAUGUAGUGGAACGUCCUCACGUCCCUCGACCCGCCCCGCGAACAAUCCCGCGAUCAGUCCCACGAUCUAGUGUCGAACGGACGGCACCUCCGCGUUCAGCACACGUACAGCUCGACGAUGAUCUCGGCCUUCUUGAUCCAGCAAGAGAGACGGAGAGGUAGAAGAUUUCUCCGGCAGCGUGACGGCGCUUCAGAGGUUGGUGAUGAUCUUGUCUCAGCAGGGCUCCGCCCGAGCUCCGCAGAAACGCGAUUGUCAUAUUCUAUAAAGAUCUUAUCCUUUGAACCUCAGUGCCAAGGAUUCAUAUAAUCCCGUAUGUCAUUCCCUUUGUCCUUCGGUAUGUUACUUGCCCGAGAUUCGAUCGUCAGUAUCCGCAUACCUAUUUCAAUCUCGUUUACCGGCAAGUCUCUUUACUCGUUCCGUAAUACAAGAUCCCGCAACUUACACUAAGUCACAUUGCUUGCAAGGCUUGUGUGUGAUGUUGUAUUACCGAGUGGGCCCCGAGAUACCUCUCCGUCACACGGAGGGACAAAUCUCAGUCUUGAUCCAUACUAACUCAACUAACACCUUCGGAGAUACCUGUAGAGCAUCUUUAUAGUCACCCAGUUACGUUGCGACGUUUGAUACACACAAAGCAUUCCUCCGGUGUCAGUGAGUUAUAUGAUCUCAUGGUAAUAGGAACAAAUACUCACGCAGAAAACAGUAGCAACAAAAUGACACGAUCAACAUGCUACGUCNNNNNNNNNNAUGAUUCUCCUAAUGAUGUGAUCCCGUUAUCAAGUAACAACACUUGCCUAUGGUCAGGAAACCUUGACCAUCUUUGAUCAACGAGCUAGUCAACUAGAGGCUUACUAGGGACAGUGUUUUGUCUAUGUAUCCACACCUGCAUUGUGUUUCCAAUCAAUACAAUUAUAGCAUGGAUAAUAAACGAUUAUCAUGAACAAAGAAAUAUAAUAAUAACUAAUUUAUUAUUGCCUCUAGGGCAUAUUUCCAACAGUCUCCCACUUGCACUAGAGUCAAUAAUCUAGUUCACAUCACCAUGUGAUUCCAACGAAUCCAACACCCAUAUGGUUAUGGGGUCUGAUCACGCCUUGCUCGUGAGAGAGGUUUUAGUCAACGGUUCUGAAACUUUCAGAUCCGUGUGUUCUUUACAAAUAUUUAUGUCAUCUUAUAGAUGCUGCUACUAUGUGCUAUUCAGAAAUACUCCAAAUAUCUACUCUACUAUACGAAUCUGUUUCACUACUCAUAGUUAUUCGGAUUAGUGUCAAAGCUUGCAUCGACGUAACCCUUUACGACGAACUCUUUAACCACCUCCAUAAUCGAGAAAAAUUCCUUAGUCCAUCAGUUACUAAGGAUAAAUUUUGACCACUGCUAGUGAUUCAAUCAUGGAUCACUCUCUGUACCUCUCAACAGACUUUGAGUCAAGGCACACAUCAGGUGUGGUACCCAGCAUGGCAUACUUCAGAUUCUACGGCCAAGGCAUAGAAGACGACCUUCAUCUAUUCUCUUUAUUCUGCCGUGGUCGGUUAUUGAGUCUUACUCAAAUCCACACCUUACAACACAACCAAGAACUCCUUCUUUGUUGAUCUAUUUUGAACUCCUUCAAAAACUUGUCAAGGCAUGCAUCUUGUUGAAACUUCCAUUAAGCGCUUUCGAUCCAUCUCCAUAGAUCUUUGAUGCUCAACGUUCAAGUAGCGCAAUCCAGGUACUCCUUUGAAAACUCCUUUCAAACAACCUUGUAUGCUUUACAGAAAUUCUACAUUACUUCUGAUCCACAAUAUGUCAACCACAUAUACUCAUCAGAAAUUCUAUAGUGCUCCCACUCACUUCUUUGGAAAUACAAGUUUCUCAUAAACCUUNNNNNNNNNNNNNNNNNNNNNNNNNNNNNNNNNNNNNNNNNNNNNNNNNNNNNNNNNNNNNNNNNNNNNNNNNNNNNNNNNNNNNNNNNNNNNNNNNNNNUUCCAGCUGCCUGAAUUCUCCCUCUUCAAAUAAACCUUGCAAAAUAAGAGAGAAAAGGCAUAAAUAUGGUACCACAAAGUAAUAUAACAGUCCAUAAAGCAAUAAAUAUCAACAUGAAAGCAUGAUGCAAAAUGGACAUAUCAACUCCCCCAAGCUUAGACCUCGCUUGUCCUCAAGCGAAAACCAAGUUCCAUAAAUAUGUCCACAUGUUUAGGGACGAAGGUGUCGAUAAAACAUAAUACGGACAUGAGGGCAUCAUGAUCACACAUAGAACAACAAUACAUCAUAAAGAUUCUUAUGGGAAAGUAACAAUUCCUUCACAAAUCAAAGUAUGAAGCGAAAACCUUACCGAGAAGUAACCAACAACAGUCCAAAGUCAUUGAAGCAAUUGCAAUUUAUCAUAACAUCAGAAAGAGUCAAAUAAAAGCUUGUAAGGCAAACCCACAUACUCAAUCAUCUCUUUUAUUUUCCACAAUUCUUACAACUGACGUGGUACUCAUGGUGUCAAAGUUUCAGUUGGACACAGAGGAAGGUAGGGGCUUAUAGUUUUGCCUCCUAAAUAUUUACCUCAAGGGUAAACUCAACAAUAAUAAAGCAUAAGUACUCAACUCCAAGUUGAUAUAUGAAUAUAGAUCUUUCCCAAGCAUGUGACGGUAGCCAAGACAAAGGCAAAAAUAGGGAAUUGGUGAAGAUCAUCAUGACUCUUACAAGGGAAAAAAGUAAAGGUACAAGAUAGGCCCUUCACAGAGGGAAGCAGAGGUUGUCAUGCGCUUUUGGGGUUUGAAUGCGUGUUCUCUUAGUGCGGAGGAACUUCACUUUAUAUUGCCUCCUAUGAUAAAGAACUUUAUUAUGCAGUCUGUCGCUUUUAUGUCUUCCUCAUCACAUGUUCGUACAAAGCUUAUUUUCCACGCACUAAUAGAUCAUACAUAUUAGAGAGCAAUUUUUAUUGCUUAUACCGAUGACAACUUACUUGAAGGAUCUUAUUCAAUCCAUAGGUAGGUAUGGUGGACUCUCAUGGCAAAACUGGGUUGAAGGUUUAUGGAUGCACAAGUAGUAUCUNNNNNNNNNNNNNNNNNNNNNNNNNNNNNNNNNNNNNNNNNNNNNNNNNNNNNNNNNNNNNNNNNNNNNNNNNNNNNNNNNNNNNNNNNNNNNNNNNNNNUCACCUUCACUGACGAUUUGAGUAGAUAUGGUUAUGUCUACUUAAUGAAGCACAAGUCUGAAACAUUUGAAAAGUUCAAACAAUUUCAGAGUGAAGUUGAAAAUCAUCGUAACAAGAAGAUCAAGUUCCUACGGUCUGAUCGUGGGGGUGAAUAUCUGAGUUUCGAGUUUGGUGCUCACUUAAGACAAUGUGGAAUUGUUUCACACUUGACACCGCCUGAAACACCACAGCGUAAUGGUGUGUCCGAACGUCGUAAUCGUACUUUAUUAGAGAUGGUGCGAUCUAUGAUGUCUCUUACCGAUUUGCCGUUAUUGUUUUAGGGUUAUGCAUUAGAAACAGCUGCAUUCACUUUAAAUAGGGCACCAUCAAAAUCCGUUGAGACGACACCAUACGAACUGCGGUAUGGCAAAAGGCCAAAGUUGUCGUUUCUUAAAGUUUGGGGAUGUGAUGCUUAUGUCAAAAAGCUUCAGCCUGAAAAGAUGGAACCCAAAGCGGAAAAGUGUGUCUUCAUAGGUUACCCAAAAGAGACAGUUGGGUACACCUUCUAUCUCAAAUCCGAGGGCAAAGUGUUUGUUGCUAAAAACGGAGCUUUUCUCGAGAAGGAGUUUCUCUCGAGAGAAUUGAGUGGGAGGAAGAUAGAACUUGACGAGGUUGUCGAACCUCUCAUCCCUCUGGAUGGUGGCGCAGGGCAAGGGGAAACCUCUGUCGUUGCGACGCCGGUUGAGGAGGAAGUUAAUGAUAAUGAUCAUGCAACUCCGGUUCAAGUUUAUGUCGAACCACGUAGGUCGACGAGACCACGUGCUGCUCCAGAGUGGUACGGUAAUCCCGUCUUAUCAAUCAUGUUGUUGGACAACAAUGAACCUGCAAAUUAUGAAGAAGCAAUGGUGGGCCCAGAUUCCAACAAAUGGCUAGAAGCCAUGAAGUCCGAGAUAGGAUCCAUGUAUGAGAACAAAGUGUGGACUUUGGAGGUACUACCUGAGGGCCGCAAGGCUAUUCAGAACAAAUGGAUCUUUAAGAGGAAGACGGACACUGACGACAAUGUGACCGUUUAUAAAUCUCGACUUGUGGCAAAGGGUUUUUCACAAGUUCAAGGAGUUGACUACAAUGAGACAUUCUCACCCGUAGCGAUGCUUAAGUCCGUCAGAAUCAUGUUAGCAAUAGCUGCAUUUUUCGAUUAUGAAAUCUGGNNNNNNNNNNAAGGUACUGCCUGAGGGCCGCAAGGCUAUUGAGAACAAAUGGAUCUUUAAGAGGAAGACGGACGCUGACGGCAAUGUGACCGUUUAUAAAGCUCGACUUGUGGCAAAGGGUUUUUCACAAGUUCAAGGAGUUGACUACGAUGAGACAUUCUCACCCGUAGCGAUGCUUAAGUGUGUCAGAAUCAUGUUAGCAAUAGCUGCAUUUUUCGAUUAUGAAAUCUGGCAAAUGGAUGUCAAAACGGCUUUCCUUAACGAUUUCCUUAAGGAAGAAUUGUAUAUGAUGCAACCCGAAGGUUUUGUCGAUCCUAAGAAUGCUAACAAGGUGUGCAAGCUCCAGUGAUCCAUUUAUGGACUGGUGCAAGCAUCUCGGAGUUGGAACAAACGCUUUGAUGAGGUGAUCAAAGCAUUUGGGUUUAUACAAGUGGUUGGAGAAUCUUGUAUUUACAAGAAAGUGAGUGGGAGCUCUGUGGCGUUUCUAAUANNNNNNNNNNNNNNNNNNNNNNNNNNNNNNNNNNNNNNNNNNNNNNNNNNNNNNNNNNNNNNNNNNNNNNNNNNNNNNNNNNNNNNNNNNNNNNNNNNNNCAUCUUGCAAGCAUAGAAUUUAUCGGAGGUCUCAUACCUAUCGAUCCGGGCGUUCUUCUGAAAGAUAAACUUCAACUCCUGGAACAUCUCAAAUGCUCCAUGACGCUCAAAGCGACGUUGAAGUCCCGGUUCUAAGCCAUACAAGACUGCACAUUGAACUAUUGAGUAGUCCUCCUUACGUGCUAACCAAGCGUUCUUAACAUCCUGAUCAACCGUGGCAGGUGGUUCAUCUCCUAGCGCAGCAUUAAGGACAUAAUCCUUCUUCCCAGCUUGUAAGAUUAGCUUAAGAUUACGAGCCCAGUCUACAAAGUUGCUUCCAUCAUCUUUCAACUUAGCUUUCUCUAGGAACGUAUUAAAAUUCAGGAUGACUGUCGCGUGAACCAUGAUCUACAACACAAAUAUAUACAAAGUGGACUUAGACUAUGUUCAAGAUAAUUAGAGUUCAACUUAAUCAAAUUAUAUGCUAAACUCCCACUCAAAAAGUACAUCUCUCUAGUCAUUUGAAUGGUUCAUGAUCCACUUACACUAUCCCAAGUCCGAUCAUCACGUGAGUUGAGUAUAGUUUCAGUGGUAAGCAUCCCUAUGCUAAUCAUAUCAACUAUAUGAUUCAUGAUCGACCUUUCGGUCUCAUGUGUUCCGAGGCCAUGUCUGCACAUGCUAGGCUCGUCAAGCUUAACCCGAGUGUUCCGCGUGCGCAACUGUUUUGCACCCGUUGUAUGUGAACGUUGAGUCUAUCACACCCGAUCAUCACGUGGUGUCUCGAAAUGACGAACUGUAGGAACGGUGCACAGUCGGGGAGAACACAAUUUCGUCUUUAAAUUUUAGUGAGAGAUCACCUCAUAAUGCUACCGUCGUUCUAAGCAAAAUAAGGUGCAGGAAAGGAUUAACAUCACAUGCAAUUCAUAAGUGACAUGAUAUGGCCAUCAUCACGUGCUUCUUGAUCUCCAUCACCAAAGCACCGGCACGAUCUUCUUGUCACCGGCGCCACACCAUGAUCAUCCAUCAACGUGUUGCCAUCGGGGUUGUCGUGCUACUUAUGCUAUUACUACUAAAGCUACAUCCUAGCAAAAUAGUAAACGCAUCUNNNNNNNNNNUGUGCUUCUUGAUCUCCAUCACCAAAGCACCGGCACGAUCAUCUUGUCACCGGCGUCACACCAUGAUCUCCAUCAUCAUGAUCUCCAUCAACGUGUCGCCAUCGGGGUUGUCGUGCUACUCAUGCUAUCACUACUAAAGCUACGUCCUAGCAAUAUAGUAAACGCAUCUGCAAGCACAAAUGUUAGUUUAAAGACAACCCUAUGGCUCCUGCCGGUUGCCGUACCAUCGACGUGCANNNNNNNNNNACACCGGCAUGAUCUUCUUGUCACCGGUGCCACACCAUGAUCUCCAUCAACGUGUUGCCAUCGGGGUUGUCGUGCUACUCAUGCUAUUACUACUAAAGCUACAUCCUAGCAAAAUAGUAAACGCAUCUGCAAGCACAAACGUUAGUAUAAAGACAACCCUAUGGCUCCUGCCGGUUGCCGUACCAUCGACGUGCAAGUCGAUAUUAACUAUUACAACAUGAUCAUCUCAUACAUCCAAUAUAUCACAUCACAUCGUUGGCCAUAUCACAUCACAAGCAUACCCUGCAAAAACAAGUUAGACGUCCUCUAAUUGUUGUUNNNNNNNNNNNNNNNNNNNNNNNNNNNNNNNNNNNNNNNNNNNNNNNNNNNNNNNNNNNNNNNNNNNNNNNNNNNNNNNNNNNNNNNNNNNNNNNNNNNNNNNNNNNNNNNNNNNNNNNNNNNNNNNNNNNNNNNNNNNNNNNNNNNNNNNNNNNNNNNNNNNNNNNNNNNNNNNNNGUAUGAAUUGCUAUUUAACCUCAUCCAAGGACCUCCUCGGUCAAAUCCGAUUCAAUUAAAGUUGGAGAAACCGACACUCGCCGGUCAUCUUUGAGCAACGGAGUUACUCGUAGCGAUGGACCAGUCUCUCGUAAGCAUACGAGUAAUGUCGGUCCGAGCCGCUUCGAUCCAACAAUACCGCAGAAUCAAGAAAAGACUAAGGAGGGCAGAAAAACGCACAUCACCGCGCACAAAAACUUUUGUGUUCUACUCGAGAUUACAUCUACGCAUGAACCUAGCUCAUGAUGCCACUGUUGGGGAACGUCGCAUGGGAAACAAAAAAUUUCCUACGCGCACNNNNNNNNNNNNNNNNNNNNNNNNNNNNNNNNNNNNNNNNNNNNNNNNNNNNNNNNNNNNNNNNNNNNNNNNNNNNNNNNNNNNNNNNNNNNNNNNNNNNGACACACUUUUCCGCUUUGGGUUCCAGCUUUUCAGGCUGAAGCUUUUUGACAUAAGCAUCACAUCCCCAAAUUUUAAGAAACGACAACUUUGGCCUUUUGCCAUACCACAGUUCGUAUGGUGUCGUCUCAACGGAUUUUGAUGGUGCCCUAUUUAAAGUGAAUGCAGCUGUUUCUAAUGCAUAACCCCAAAACGAUAACGACAAAUCAGUAAGAGACAUCAUAGAUCGCACCAUUUCUAAUAGAGUACGAUUACGACGUUCGGACACACCAUUACGCUGUGGUGUUCCAGGCGGUGUUUAACUGUGAAACAAUUCCACAUUGUCUUUAAGUGAGUACCAAACUCGAAACUCAGAUAUUCACCCCCACGAUCAGACCGUAGGAACUUGAUCUUCUUGUUACGAUGAUUUUCCACUUCACUCUGAAAUUGCUUGAACUUUUCAAAUGUUUCAGACUUGUGUUUAAUCAAGUAGACAUAACCAUAUCUACUCAAAUCGUCAGUGAAGGUGAGAAAAUAACGAUAUCCGCCGCGUGCCUCCACGCUCAUCGGACCACACACAUCGGUAUGUAUGAUUUCCAACAAGUCACUUGCACGCUCCAUUGUUCCGGAGAACGGAGUCUUAGUCAUCUUGCCCAUGAGGCAUGGUUUGCACGUGUCAAGUGAAUCAAAGUCAAGUGACUCCAAAAGUCCAUCAGCAUGGAGUUUCUUCAUGCGCUUUACACCAAUAUGACCUAAGCGGCAGUGCCACAAAAAUAUGGCGCUAUCAUUGUUAACUCUAACUCUUUUGGUCUCAAUGUUAUGUAUAUGCGUAUCGCUAUCAAGAUUCAAUAUGAACAAUCCUCUCACAUUAGGUGCAUGACCAUAAAAGAUGUUACACAUAGAAAUAGAACAACCAUUAUUCUCUGACUUAAAAUAGUAACCGUCUCGCAAUAAACAAGAUCCAGAUAUAAUGUUCAUGCUCAACGCAGGCACUAAAUAACAAUGANNNNNNNNNNNNNNNNNNNNNNNNNNNNNNNNNNNNNNNNNNNNNNNNNNNNNNNNNNNNNNNNNNNNNNNNNNNNNNNNNNNNNNNNNNNNNNNNNNNNNNNNNNNNNNNNNNNNNNNNNNNNNNNNNNNNNNNNNNNNNNNNNNNNNNNNNNNNNNNNNNNNNNNNNNNNNNNNNNNNNNNNNUCGCCAGCCUUCAUCUAUUCCGCAGUUCCUGUUUCGAGUUGCAAAUAUGAGCAACAGAACUGGUAUCGAAUACCCAUGCACUACUACGAGAGCCGGUUAAGUACACAUCAAUAACAUGUAUAUCANNNNNNNNNNUUUAAGUUCAUCACCAAUCCUGAUGGUAACUGAAGUGAAACUGUGCCGACGGCGAUUGCAUCAACCUUGGAACCAUUUCCUACGCGCAUCGUCACUUCANNNNNNNNNNCUCAAGUUCAUAACUAAUCCUGAUGGUAACUGAAGUGAAACUGUGCCGACAGCGAUUGCAUCAACCUUGGAACCAUUUCCUACGCGCAUCGUCACUUCAUCUUACGCCAGCCUUCGUCUAUUCCGCAGUUCCUGUUUCGAGUUGCAAAUAUGAGCAACAGAACCGGUAUCGAAUACCCAGGCACUACUACGAGAGCCGGUUAAGUACACAUCAAUAACAUGUAUAUCAAAUAUACCUGAUCUUUCUUUGGCCGCCUUCUUAUCUGCCAGAUACUUGGGGCAAUUGCGCUUCAAGUGACCCAUACCCUUGCAAUAGUAACACUCUAUUUCAGGCUUAGGUCCAGCUUUGGGUUUCUUCGUCGGAUUGGCAACAGGCUUGCCGCUCUUCUUUGAAUUACCCUUCUUGCCUUUGCCGUUUCUCUUGAAACUAGUGGUCUUAUUCACCAUCAACACUUGAUGCUCUUUACGGAGUUCAUACUCUGCGACUUUAAGCAUCGCAAACAACUCGCCGGGAGACUUGUUCAUCCCUUGCAUGUUGUAGUUCAACACAAAGCCUUUAUAGCUUGGCGGCAAUGAUUGAAGGAUUCUGUCAGUGAUAGCCUCUUGCGGGAGUUCAAUCCCCAGCUCAGCUAGACGGUUUGAGUACCCAGACACUUUGAGCACAUGUUCACUGACAGACGAGUUUUCCUCCAUCUUGCAAGCNNNNNNNNNNNNNNNNNNNNNNNNNNNNNNNNNNNNNNNNNNNNNNNNNNNNNNNNNNNNNNNNNNNNNNNNNNNNNNNNNNNNNNNNNNNNNNNNNNNNAUAUAAUAAUAACUAAUUUAUUAUUGCCUCUAGGGCAUAUUUCCAACACUCACCUCUCGAAUCACGAAGAGAAGAAGUUAUUGAAAACUUUGAGGAAGCACCGUGCUGCUAUUGGAUACUCGUGAUGAUCUAAAAGGUAUUAGUCCCACUCUAUGUGAGCACAAGGUUAAAACCGAUCCUGAUUCUAAACUAGUUACUGAUCAUCAACGGAGACUAAAUCCGAGGAUGAAAGAGGUCGUGAGAAAAGAAAUAUUAAAGCUUCUGGAAGCAGGAAUCAUCUAUCAUGUUGCUCAUAGUGAUUGGGUAAGUCUAGUACAUUGCGUACCUAAGAAGGGAGGUAUCACCGUCGUUCCUAAUGAUAAGAAUGAACUAAUCCCACAGAGGAUUAUUACUGGCUAUAGGAUGGUGAUAGACUUCCGGAAACUGAACAAGGCAACCAGAAAAGACCAUUAUCCUUUGUCGUUUAUCGACCAAAUGCUAGAAAGGCUAUCUAAACACACACACUUCUGCUUUCUAGACGGUUAUUCAGGUUUCUCGCAAAUACCUGUUGCACAAUCUAAUCAAGAAAAACCACCUUCACAUGCCCCUUCGGUACCUUUGCUUAUAGACGUAUGCCUUUUGGCUUGUGCAAUGCACCUGCCACCUUUCAAAGAUGUAUGAUGGCUAUAUUCUCUGACUUUUGUGAAAAGAUUGUUGAGGUUUUCAUGGAUGAUUUCUCCAUCUAUGGUUCUUCCUUUGACGAUUGCCUCAGCAACCUUGAUCGAGUCUUAUAGAGAUGCAAGGAUACCAACCUCGUCUUGAACUGGGAGAAGUGCCACUUCAUGGUUAAUGAAGGCAUCGUCUUAGGACACAAAAUCUCUGAGAAAGGCAUUGAAGUUGAUAACGCUAAGGUAGAUGCAAUUGAGAAAAUGCCUUGCCCCACAGAUAUCAGAGGUAUAUGAAGUUUCCUACGUCAUGCCGGUUUCUAUAGAAGGUUGAUUAAAGACUUCUCUAAGAUUUCUAGGCCUCUUACCAACCUCUUGCAGAAGGAUGUUCCGUUUGUUUUUUAUGAGGACUGUGAGGAAGCUUUCGAAAUUCUUAAGAAGGCCUUAAUAACCGCACCUAUUGUUCAACCACCUGAUUAGAACUUGCCCUUUGAAAUCAUGUGCGAUGCUAGUGAUUAUGUCAUUGGUGCUAUUCUAGGACAAAGAGUUGACAAGAAGUUGAAUGUCAUUCACUACGCUAGUAAAACUCUAGACAGUGCCCAAAGAAACCAUACCACUACGGAGAAGGAGUUUUAGCAGUCGUGUUUGCAUGUGAAAAGUUCAGAUCUAAUAUAGUUGACUCCAAAGUCACUAUUCACUCUGAUCAUGCUGCUAUUAAGUACCUCGUGGAGAAGAAGGACGCUAAGCCUAGGCUAAUCAGAUGGGUUCUCCUGCUACAGGAAUUUGAUUUGCACGUUGUUGACCGAAAGGGUGCUGAUAACCCUGUAGCAGAUAACUUGUCUNNNNNNNNNNGACCUAUUGAUGGCAGCUUUCCUGAUGAGCAAUUGAAUUUCAUCCGCACUUCACAUAGUGCACCGUCGUAUGCUGAUUACGCAAACUAUAUCGUAGCCAAAUACAUACCACCCAGUUUCACCUACUAGCAAAAGAAGAAAUUCUUCUUUGAUUUGAGACACUACUUUUGGGAUGAUCCUCACCUUUAUAAGGAAGGAGUAGAUGGUGUUAUUAGACGUUGUGUGCCUGAACAUGAACCGGGACAGAUCCUGCAGAAGUGUCAUUCCGAGGCCUAUGGAGGACACCAUGCUGGAGACAUAACUGCUCAUAAGGUAUUGCAAUCAGGUUUCUAUUGGCCCACUCUCUUCAAGGAUGCCCGUAAUUUUGUCUUGUCGUGUGACGAAUGCCAAAGAAUAGGGAACAUCAGUAAGCGUGAGGAAAUGCCUAUGGGCUUAUAGGAGUGCUUAUAAGAAUCCCAUGGGCAUGUCGUCGUAUAAACUGGUUUACGGUAAGGCAUGUCAUUUACCCCUUGAGCUGGAACACAAAGCUUAUUGGGCAAUCAAAGAGCUCAACUUNNNNNNNNNNNNNNNNNNNNNNNNNNNNNNNNNNNNNNNNNNNNNNNNNNNNNNNNNNNNNNNNNNNNNNNNNNNNNNNNNNNNNNNNNNNNNNNNNNNNGAUCUGGACGACUCUAAGUCGGAGACCGGAUACGUAUUUAUUCUUAAUGGGGGUGCAGUAAGCUGGUGCAGUUCCAAGCAAAGCGUCGUAGCAGAUUCUACAUGUGAAGCAGAGUACAUGGCUGCCUCGGAGGCGGCUAAGGAGGGUGUCUGGAUGAAGCAGUUCAUGACGGAUCUUGGAGUGGUGCCAAGCGCAUUGAAUCCAAUAACCUUGUUCUGUGACAACACUCGUGCCAUUGCCUUAGCAAAGAAACCACGGUUUCACAAGAAGACCAGACACAUCAAACGACGCUUCAACCNNNNNNNNNNAGAGGGUGUCUGGAUGAAGCAGUUCAUGACGGAUCUUGGGGUGGUGCCAAGCGCACUGAAUCCAAUAACCUUGUUCUCUGACAACACGGGUGCCAUUGCCUUAGCAAAGGAACCACGGUUUCACAAGAAGACCAGACACAUCAAACGACGCUUCAACCUCAUCCGCGACUACGUCGAGGAAGAGGACGUAAAUAUAUACAAAGUGCACACGGAUCUGAAUGUAGCAGACCCGCUGACUAAACCUCUUCCACGGCAGAUUUAUUACAAUGUAAUUCACAUGGUGAUGUGAGGGCUAGAUUAUUGACUCUAGUGCAAGUGGGAGACUGUUGNNNNNNNNNNAUAGUUAUUAUUAUAAUUCAUGUAUCAAGAUAAUAGUUUAUUAUCCAUGCUAUAAUUGUAUUGAAUGAAGACUCAUAUACAUGUGUGGAUACAUAGACAAAACACCGUCCCUAGCAUGCCUCUAGUUGGCUAGCCAGUUGAUCGAUGAUAGUCAGUGUCUUCUGAUUAUGAACAAGGUGUUGUUGCUUGAUAACUGGAUCACGUCAUUGGGAGAAUCACGUGAUGGACUUGACCCAAACUAAUAGACGUAGCAUGUUGAUCGUGUCAUUUUGUUGCUANNNNNNNNNNNNNNNNNNNNNNNNNNNNNNNNNNNNNNNNNNNNNNNNNNNNNNNNNNNNNNNNNNNNNNNNNNNNNNNNNNNNNNNNNNNNNNNNNNNNACAACAUAAUGAAUUGUGUUUUCUUGGUUCCAAACAAUGUUAUAUGAUUAGAGAUCCCUUAGCAUGUGACGAUUGCUUCCACCUCAUAUUAGCCAAAACUCCCGCACCAAGUAGAGAUACUACUUGUGCAUCCAUAAACCUUCAACCCAGUUUUGCCAUGAGUGUCCACCAUACCUACCUAUGGAUUGAAGAAGAUCCCUCAAGUAAGUUGUCAUCGGUGCAAGCAAUAAAAAUUGCUCUCUAAUACGUAUGAUCUAUUAGUGUGUGGAAAAUAAGCUUUGUACGAACCUGUGAUGAGGAAGACAUAAAAGCGGCAGACUGCAUAAUAAAGUUCUUUAUCACAAGAGGUAAUAUAAAGUGACGUUCCUCCGCACUAAGAGGACACACAUCCACACCUCAAAAGCGCAUGACAACCUCUGCUUCCCUCUGCGAAGGGCCUAUCUUGUAUUUUUACUUUUUUCCCUUGUAAGAGUCAUGGUGGUCUUCACCAAUUCCUUAUUUAGCCUUUUCCUUGGUGAACGUCAUAUGCUUGGGAAAGAUCUAUAUUCAUAUAUCAACUUGGAGCUGAGUACUUAUGCUUUAUUAUUGUUGACUUUACCCUUGAGGUAACUGGUUGGGAGGCAAAAUUAUAAGCCCCUAUCUUUCUCUGUGUCCAACUGAAACUUUGAUAUCAUGAGUACCGCGUGAGUUGUAACAAUUGUGGAAAACAAAAGAGAUGAUUGAGUAUGAGGAUUUGCCUUACAAGCUCUUAUUUGACUCUUUCUGAUGUUAUGAUAAAUUGCAAUUGCUUCAAUGACUAUGGACUAUUGUUGGCUACUUCUCGGUAAGGUUUUGUUUCAUACUUUGCUUUGUGAAGGAAUUGUUACUUCCCCAUAAGAAUCUCUAUGAUGUAUUGUUGUUCUAUGUGUGAUCAUGAUGCCCUCAUAUCCGUAUUAUGUUUUAUCGACACCUUCAUCCCUAAACAUGUGGACAUGUUUUGGGUCUUGGUUUUCGCUUGAGGACAAGCGAGGUCUAAGCUUGGGGGAGUUGAUACGUCCAUUUUUCAUCAUGCUUUCAUGUUGAUAUUUAUCGCUUUACGGACUGCUAUUAUACUUUGUGGAACCUUACUUAUGCCUUUUCUCUCUUCUUUUGCAAGGUUGAUAAGGAGUACUCCGCAAGAAAACGGAGUCCACGAGGCACACGAGGUGGCCACAAGCCCCCCCUGGCCGCUCCUGGCUGGCUUGUCGCCUCCUCGUGCGCUUUCCGGACUUCUUCAAAAUUUUCUAUUUUUCUAAAUAUUCCAAAAUGGAGAAAAAUUCCUACUGGAAAAGUUUUGGAGUCUGUUUACUUAUUGAUACACAUACCUCUUCGUUUUCGGAGUCUGAAACAGGCUGAUAAAUAUCCCUUAGGUAUUCCUCCGGAGUUAUGGUAUUGAUAAUAUUGCUUUCAACAUUUAUGGGAGUACCUGAGAUAUAAUGCUUGAUUCUCUGCCCAUUUACCACUCUCGGACAAUUACCUUCCGUGUUGUUGAUCUUGAUAGCACCGGAACGAUAUACUUCCUCAACAAUAUAGGGACCUUCCCAUUUAGAGAGAAGUUUGCCUGCAAAUAAUCUUAAACGAGAAUUAUAUAGCAAGACAUAAUCACCUACAUUGAACUCACGCUUUUGUAUCCUUUUAUCAUGCCACCUCUUAACCUUUUCUUUGAUCAACUUGGCAUUCUCAUAUGCGUGAGUUCUCCAUUCAUCAAGCGAGCUAAUAUCAAAUAACCUCUUCUCACCAGCAAGUUUGAAAUCAAAGUUGAGCUCUUUGAUUGCCCAAUAAGCUUUGUGUUCCAGCUCAAGGNNNNNNNNNNNNNNNNNNNNNNNNNNNNNNNNNNNNNNNNNNNNNNNNNNNNNNNNNNNNNNNNNNNNNNNNNNNNNNNNNNNNNNNNNNNNNNNNNNNNAUAUAGCAUUGAUUUAAGCCUCCCCCAAGCUUGAGCUAUGCUUUCCCUGUCACGAGGCCAAAAUUUAUAAAUAUAAUUCCGAUCACGAUGUACUAAAUGCAUAGGAUAAAACUUUUGAUGAAAUUCCAAUUUCAACCGAUUGUAGUCUCAUGAUAGAGUAUCAUCACAUAGCCUAUACCAUGUCAACGCCUUGUACUUCAAAGAUAAAGGAAAGACUUUCUUCUUUACCUCAUCCUCGGGCAAACCUGCAAGCUUAAAUAAACCACAAACUUCAUCUAUAUAGAUUAGAUGCAAGUCUGGAUGUGAAGAUCCAUCUCCUGUAAAAGGAUUAGCCAGCAGUUUCUCAAGCAUACCCGAAGGAAUUUCAUAAAAGAUAUUUUCAGUAGGUACCUCAGGUUGAGGAACAACUCCUCGUGCUUCCGUUCGUGGUGAAGAUACCCCGAACAAACUCCUCAAAGGAACAGUUUCCAUAGUGACAAGUGACAAUAAAUUUCAGCAUAGUAUAUAAAUGUUUCCUUACCAGUUUCCACUUACCAAAGGCACUUCACUCCCCGACAACGGCGCCAGAAAAGAGUCUUGAUGACCCACAAGUAUAGGGGAUCAAGCGUAGUCCUUUCGAUAAGUAAGAGUGUCGAACCAACGAGGAGCGGAAGGCUCUGAUAAACGGUUAUCAGCAAGGUAAUAACUGCAAGCACUGAAAACAGCGGUAACAAGUGAUGGUGUAGUUAGGUGAAACGUAGCAAGCGAAAAGUGACAAGUAACAGUAGUAGCAAUGGUGCAGCAAGUGGCCUAAUCCCUUUUGUAGCAAGGUACAAGCCUGAACAAAGUCUUAUAGGAGGAAAAACGCUCCCGUGGACACACGGGAAUUUCUGUCAUGCUAGUUUCGUCAUGUUCAUAUGAUUCGCGUUCGUUACUUUGAUAGUUUGAUAUGUGGGUGGACCGGCACUUGGGUACUGCCCUUACUUGAAAAAGCAUCCCACUUAUGAUUAACCCCUCUCGCAAGCAUCCGCAACUACUAAAGAAGAAUUAAGACAACGUCUAACCAUAACAUUAAACUAGUGGAUCCAAAUCAGCCCCUUACGAAGCAACACAUAGACUGGGGUUUAAGCUUAUGUCACUCCAGCAACCCAUCAUCUACUUACUACUCCCCAAUAACUUCCUCUAGGCCCAAGUAUGGUGAAGUGUUAUGUAGUCGACGCUCACAUAACACCACUAGAGGAAAAGACAACAUACAUCAUAUCAAAAUACCGAACGAAUACCAAAUUCACAUGACUAUUAUUAACAUGACUNNNNNNNNNNNNNNNNNNNNNNNNNNNNNNNNNNNNNNNNNNNNNNNNNNNNNNNNNNNNNNNNNNNNNNNNNNNNNNNNNNNNNNNNNNNNNNNNNNNNNNNNNNNNNNNNNNNNNNNNNNNNNNNNNNNNNNNNNNNNNNNNNNNNNNNNNNNNNNNNNNNNNNNNNNNNNNNNNNNNNNNNNNNNNNNNNNNNNNNNNNNNNUUCCAAGUAAUCCAACUAGCAUCAACUACAAAGAGUAAUCAACACUACUAACAACCUUACAAGUACCAAUCGGAGUCGCGAGACAGAGAUUGGUUACAAGAGAUGAACUAGGGAUUGGAGAGGAGAUGGUGCUNNNNNNNNNNNNNNNNNNNNNNNNNNNNNNNNNNNNNNNNNNNNNNNNNNNNNNNNNNNNNNNNNNNNNNNNNNNNNNNNNNNNNNNNNNNNNNNNNNNNCCUCAAGAGAUGGUACAGCGACCCGAACCAAAAGAAGAAGUCCGGGUCGCCGGCAUCCUCGCCGACCCCGCGGCGACCGGGCUGGAAGGGCUCCGCAUCGCCGCCAAGGAGCAAAACCAGUGCGACGAGAUGUACAGCCCGCCGCUGGGCUCCCUGCCGUUCGCCACAACGCUCCGGGUGCUGGAGCUCGAGCACUGCAACCUCAAAGACGCCGCCGCCGUCGGCGCGCCUGGCCUUCCCGUGCCUCACGGACCUCACGUUGCGCCACUGCUUCGCCUUGGAGGGGAAUCUCCAGGCCCUGGUCGACGACGCGCCGACGCUGACCAGCCUGCCUCGUAAGUGCAUGCAUAACAUGAAACGACAGGGCGUGGUGGUCCACGAUCUAUUAAACCGCAUGUAUUCAAGCACGUGAAAUGGAAGGUAGUGGUGGCCAGGCCUUUAACGUCUGGUUAAUUGGGUGGAGGAUCAAUUCCAUGCAUUAAACAUGGACUAACCGUUUUGGCUUAGGUAAUUGCCUCAUUAAGCUCCUCGUAAGUAUUUCCCACAUCAGUAAAUUUUGCAUGCAUGCGGGCAAAACCAAAUGUGGUUUUUAUUCAUUGCAAAUUAGCAACUAUACAGGACACUUAGUUCACCCAAAAAUAUUUGUAGCUACGCUUGCUACUAACUUGCAGGGUCACUCGUCCGUAAUCGUCUCCGAACAACAGUUUAUACGGACGGACCAUUUGUUGGAAUUAUGCCCUAGAGGCAAUAAUAAAUAUAUAGUUAUUAUUAUAAUUCCUGCAUCAAGAUAAUAUUUUAUUAUCCAUGCUAUAAUUGUAUUGAAUGAAGACUCAUAUACAUGUGUGGAUACAUAGACAAAACACCGUCCCUAGCAUGCCUCUAGUUGGCUAGCCAGUUGAUCGAUGAUAGUCAGUGUCUUCUGAUUAUGAACAAGGUGUUGUUGCUUGAUAACUGGAUCACGUCAUUGGGAGAAUCACGUGAUGGACUUGACCCAAACUAAUAGACGUAGCAUGUUGAUCGUGUCAUUUUGUUGCUACUGUUUUCUGCGUGUCAAGUAUUUAUUCCUAUGACCAUGAGAUCAUAUAACUCACUGACACCGGAGGAAUGCUUUGUGUGUAUCAAACGUCGCAACGUAACUGGGUGACUAUAAAGAUGCUCUACAGGUAUCUCCGAAGGUGUUAGUUGAGUUAGUAUGGAUCAAGACUGGGAUUUGUCACUCCAUGUGACGGAGAGGUAUCUCGGGGCCCACUCGGUAAUACAACACCUUGNNNNNNNNNNNNNNNNNNNNNNNNNNNNNNNNNNNNNNNNNNNNNNNNNNNNNNNNNNNNNNNNNNNNNNNNNNNNNNNNNNNNNNNNNNNNNNNNNNNNUCAUUCAAUACAAUUAUAGCAUGGAUAAUAAACUAUUAUCUUGAUACAUGAAUUAUAAUAAUAACUAUAUAUUUAUUAUUGCCUCUAGGGCAUAAUUCCAACAGUCUCCCACUUGCACUAGAGUCAAUAAUCUAGCCCUCACAUCAUCAUGCGAAUUACAUUGUAAUAAAUCUAACACCCAUACAGUUCUGGUGUUGAUCAUGCUUUGGCCGUGGAAGAGGUUUAGUCAGCGGGUCUGCUACAUUCAGAUCCGUGUGCACUUUGCAUAUAUUUACGUCCUCUCCUUCGACGUAGUCGCGGAUGAGGUUGAAGCGUCAUUUGAUGUGUGUGGACUUCUUGUGAAACCGUGGUUCCUUUGCUAAGGCAAUGGCACCCGUGUUGUCACAGAACAAGGUUAUUGGAUUCAGUGCGCUUGGCACCACUCCAAGAUCCGUCAUGAACAGCUUCAUCCAGACACCCUCCUUAGCUGCCUCCGAGGCAGCCAUGUACUCUGCUUCACAUGUAGAAUCUGCUACGNNNNNNNNNNNNNNNNNNNNNNNNNNNNNNNNNNNNNNNNNNNNNNNNNNNNNNNNNNNNNNNNNNNNNNNNNNNNNNNNNNNNNNNNNNNNNNNNNNNNCGGCCUCCUUGGCCGGCGCGAAGGACAGGAUGUGCUGAAGAAGAUCGUCGGGUAGGGCGGAGAGACGGACCACGCAGGCGGUCGUGCAUGACGACGGUGAGGCAGACGACCUUGGUAGCCGCGCGCGACGACGACGAGGUAGAAGACACCGGUAGCCGCGCGGGACGACGACAAGGCAGACGGCACCGGUAGCCAACGUGGAGGCGUAGUCAACUGUGCAAGGUCGGAGUUUCCUGCUUUCACACCCUUGUUGCUGCUUGGACGGAUGUCUGUUUUUCUUUCGCUGCCNNNNNNNNNNGUACGUGGAGGCGUAGUCGGCUGUGCAAGGUCGGAGUUUCCUGCUUCCACACCCUUGUUGCUGCUUGGACGGAUGUCUGUUUUUCUUUCGCUGCCGUUGGUGGUUGAAGAAAUAACCAUAUGCAUCAUGGCUCGAUAGACGCUAUGCCCCACGGUGGGCGUCAAAUGUCGUGGUAACUAUUCUGACAAUAGAAAGAGGGUAGGAUAACGGAGCAUGAUCUAUCAAGAUGCACAUGGGUGACACGGUGGUUUUAGCGAGUUCAGGCCUCUCACAGUGGAGAUAACAACCCUACGUCUCGUGCUCCGGAGAGGCUUUGUUUUAUUUGUCAUGGACAUGAGUUACAUGGUGUAGAGAGAGAGAGANNNNNNNNNNUACGGUGGGCGUCAAAUGUCGUGGUAACGAUUCCGAUAAUAGAAAGAGGGUAGGAUAACGGAGCAUGAUCUAUCAAGAUGCACAUNNNNNNNNNNNNNNNNNNNNNNNNNNNNNNNNNNNNNNNNNNNNNNNNNNNNNNNNNNNNNNNNNNNNNNNNNNNNNNNNNNNNNNNNNNNNNNNNNNNNNNNNNNNNNNNNNNNNNNNNNNNNNNNNNNNNNNNNNNNNNNNNNNNNNNNNNNNNNNNNNNNNNNNNNNNNNNNNNNNNNNNNNNNNNNNNNNNNCAGAGCUCGAGGGAAAGAAUGAGCCCGAAGGAGGAGAAGAAGAAGAUGUCCCCAGCUAUGUGGAGGGGGGUGACUUAUAUAGAGUGCGCCACCUCCUCACCUCUUAUGUUACAAGAUGAGGCAUUGGUGCCAUAAUGUCAGCCCACUACAGAUGUCUUGCCGACUGUUGGUAUUUNNNNNNNNNNGCCAGAGCUCGAGGGAAAGAAUGAGCCCGAAGGAGGACAAGAAGAAGAUGUCCCCAGCUAUGUGGAGGGGGUGGCUUAUAUAGAGUGCGCCACCUCCUCACCUCUUAUGUUACAAGAUGGGGCAUUGAUGCCAUAAUGUCAGCCCACUACAGAUGUCUUGCCGACUGUUGGUAUUUGCAUGAUUGAGUGAGUCAUACGGUCGAGUGGUCGACUGUCAUCCGAGUGGAUGGAAUGUAUUUGUCUGAGUGGAUCCGUAUCGAGUGGAUUAGAUGUUGUCACGAUCCAGUAGGAAUUUCCCUUGUAGUNNNNNNNNNNCCAAGUGAGUCAUACAGCCGAGUGGUUGACUGUCAUCCGAGUGGAUGGAAUGUAUUUGUCUGAGUGGAUCCGUCCCGAGUGGAUUAGAUGUUGUCACGAUCCAGUAGGAAUUUCCCUUGUAGUCCUUAAACUAAUAAUGAGGUGCCUUGGGUAGGACGUAUUGGUCAGACCUAUGACCCUACCCUAGGGCUAUAUCCCGUCAUUAGCCCCCGAAUGGAUCAGGGUAUACUUUGCAUAGAGCGGAAGGAAGAUCGGGCUGGCCCCGUAAUGAGGCUGCUGUGGCUAGUUUUGGGAAGUUUCCUAGCUGGUUUUUUACGGUUUUGAAGAACUUCUAAAAGGUUCCCUGAGCCGGGUUUUAUUCUUUUUCAUUUUCUUUGUUUUUCCGUUUCUUUCUUUUUCUUUUAUGUUUCUGUUUCAACAAAUGUUCUGGAUUUUCAAAAAUUAAUUUUGGAUUUUCAAAAAUGUUCUUGAUUUUAAAAAAUUAUUCUGUAUUUUCCACAAAUUGUUCUUAGUUUCAAAAUUUAUUCUUAAGAUUCAAAUUUGUUCUCAGUUUCAAACAAAAUUCUUAAGAUUAAAAAAAGUUUGUGCUUCCAAUUUUUUUAGGAUUUUUCAAAAUUCUUCUUGGUUUCAAAAUAUGUUCUUAAAAUUUAAAAAAUGCUCGUGCUUUAAAAAUUUGUUCGUGCUUCCAAAGUUGUUUGGGGUUUUUGAAAUUUGUUCUCAGUUUCAAAAUUUGUUCUCAAGAUUCAAAAAAUGUUCAUGCUUUAAAAAAUUGUUUGCGCUUCCAAAUUUGUUCGCAAAAAAUUCAUGCUUUAAAAAUUUGUUCAUUUGUUUCAAAUUUUGUUCUCAAGAUUAAAAAAAUAUUCGUGUUUUACAUUUUUUUUGCGCUUUCAAAUUUGUUAAAUAUUUUCAAAAAAUUUCUCGGCUUCAAUUUUUUUAUCAAAAUUCAAAAAAAUCCGCUUGUUGCACAUAGAGUGAAUGAUGAACUUUGCAAACAUUUUUCUGAACAAGAAAUUAAUUAUGCUCUCUUCCAAAUUGGACCGUUGAAGGCUCCAGGGGUAGAUGUUUUUUCAAAGGAAUUGGGGUUUUCACAAGGAGGAUAUUAUUGUUCUGUUUUCAAGUAUUUAUUUAUUUCUGGAAGUAUGCCAGAGGGGAUAAAUGAUAGUAGUAUUGUUCUUAUUCCUAAAAUAAAGAAUCCUCAACCUAUAAAGAAUUUUUGACCAAUUAACCUUUGCAAUGUCAUAUACAAAAUUAUAUCUAACUGCCUUGUUAACACGCUGAGACCUCUCCUGGAUGGUAUGAUUUAUCUACCCAAAGUCCUUUUAUCCCUGGAAGAUUAAUUUUCGAUAAUGCUCUUAUCGCUUUUGAAUGUAUGCACUCGUUGAAUAAGUUGAAAGAUUCUCAUGGUGAAUAUUGUGCAUAUAAGGCGGAUCUCGCUAAGGCAUAUGACCGUGUGGACUGGAAUUUCUUGGAAAGUAUGCUUAGAGCGUAUGGUUUUGCUCCUAUUUGUAUUAAGUGGAUUGUGACAUGUGUGUUUCAAUGGCUAGCUGCUAGAGUUUUUUCAUCCUUCGUGUGGGCUUAGGCAGGGGGGGUCUAUUAUCGCUUUACUUAUUCCUCUUUGUGGUUGAAGCCCUUUCGUUGUUACUAAAUGAUGCAUUGACAAGAUGGGUUAUCCAAGAUAUCCAGCUGAACAGACAUGCUCCAGGUAUCUCCCAUUUAUUAUUUGAUGAUGAUAGUCUCUUAUUUUUUAAGGGUUAUGUGGAGCAUGUUUUAGCCCUUAAAGGUAGUUUGACGGCUUAUUUUGACAUCAUUUAUCUUAAUUUUACUUCAUCCUUGUUGUCUAAUUGUAUGGCUAGGGUUUUCAAAGUUAAGGGUAUUACAUUUGGGGAUUGAAUUGUUGCGAUUUGACAAUUUCUUUGGGUGAUUCACAUCUAUUUGAAUUAUUUAUCGACCACGCUUGAAGCCAGUAAGAUAGAACGAUGAAUAAGCUUAACUUGGUAACCGUACGGAUUAAUCAAUAUGCUUUUAUUUAGUGUUUUGAUUAUUACAAUGUAAGCAUUAUUACACAAUAUGUUGUUUUGUUUAUUUUGUAUGCAAUCAAGAUCUAUUGUCUUAUGUUCCGUUGCUGAUCAUAUUUGUUUUAUUGGUUCGAGUUUCUUAUGCUUUAUUGUUCAAUUUUACAUGAUCAACUAGUAUUGCAAGUGUCCCCACAUAAAAAACUAGUAUUUCAAGUGAAACACUUAAUUUUGGUUAAAUUUCUUAGCGACUUGUCAUUAGCUUUGACAACUCUUGUUAUUAGCUUUCCAUCAAGCUUGAUUUUGGUAAAAUCAGAGUUCAUUUGCAGGAGUUAUGGCAGAUUUGGUCUUACAUGUUUUCCUCAUCCGGUUGUACCGCUCGUGGGCGAGGUUGUAUCGGAAUGGCUAGUAAUUCCGGUGCAACCACUUCCCGAUGGGUGAUUCCCUCAGGUGAAUAGUGCUCUAGGUAGUGGUAAAGUGGUCAUACCGCUGUCUCUCUCGAUGUUGUAACCGCCACGGGCCUUGCCACUACACGAGUACUAGGCGGUGGUUGUACUAGGCCAAGUAUCACCCCAACCACCGGAGCUGGGUGACUUCGUUCUGAUGGGUGGGUGGUGGUUGGCGGUGGUGGCUCGGUUGUUACAGAUGGCAUGUCCACACCGGUACAACGGGUGGUCCUGGAGCGGUUCUAUCGCCCAUGACUUAACCAUCGUACGGGAUUUGGCCCGACGGUUGUACCGGCCCUAGUACCAACACUUGUACCACUAGCGGGUGACACUGUUCGGGUACCAGUNNNNNNNNNNNNNNNNNNNNNNNNNNNNNNNNNNNNNNNNNNNNNNNNNNNNNNNNNNNNNNNNNNNNNNNNNNNNNNNNNNNNNNNNNNNNNNNNNNNNAUCUCUAUUCCUUCCAUAAUCUAGAUAUAUAUUUUCGCCAAUCCAUCUCUCCUAUAAACGAGGGGACCCUUUUGAUCUAGAUCUUGGAGUUCUUUUAUGUUGGCCUUGUUCUUCCUCUCAUAUUCCUCCAUAGCUUUUGUUGCUUUGGUAGAAUUUGAAAGUGAGGGACUUGACCACUUCAUAUGUUCUUGCAAUUGCAUUAGUUGCAUCGGUUUGAGUUCUCCACGGUGAUACAUGGAAGUGGAAGGUUGAGAAGCUUAUUACUUUUUGGUGUUUGAGCACCCUAGAGCUUCUACCUCUUGGGUGCUUGGACACCCUAGACGGUUGGUGGUGUCGCGAAGCUCAAUUAUUGUGGCGUAAAGCUCUGUACAAGUUUUGGGGUCUCCGAUUAAGUUAUGGAUAUUGCCCGAGAAAUUUGUACGAGUUCAAUGACCGCCCCAAGCAUUGCCAAUUGUAAGGGUUCGGUGACCNNNNNNNNNNCGUACAAGUUUUCGGGUCUUCGAUUAAGUUAUGGAUAUUGCCCGAGAAAUUUGUACAAGUUCAAUGACCGCCCCAAGCAUUGCCAAUUGUAAGGGUUCGGUGACCGCCCCAAGGGUAACUGUUUGUAUGGGUCAGGUGACCGCCCUCAAGGCCUAAUGGAAUCACGACACCUUGCAUUAUGUGAGGGAGUGAGGAGAAUAUGGUGAUACUAGGGGUAUUUUCGGAAGCAUUGUGUCUCUCACCACUCUAAUGGAGAUUAGCAUCAGCAAGGAUAUAAACUUUGCGAUACAUCGUCGUCUUCACGUGGCUCGGUUAUCUUUUACCCGAUCCCUUUACUUAUGCACUUACUUUGUGAUAACUAUAGUGAUUCAUGGUACAUAUCUUGGCCGGGGACGAAUACGAGAUCAUUGAAUUUCUUGACACCUACCAAAAGAUUAAAAACAAUGCUUCACACUAUCAGAUCCGUCAUGAUCUUGUUGAGCAUCAGUGGCAACUCUAUGGAAGAUAGACUCUCAUUUUAAUUUGAACAAUUUGUUGUUGUAUUUGUGUGAUAUUUGAACAAUUUGUUAUUGUAUUUUUGUGAGAUUCAAACAAUUUGUUAUUGUAAUAACUAUUUGAAUUUGAACAUUUGCUGUAAUAAAGAUGAUUGUUCUAUUGUGAAUUGCCCUUCGGAUCAUUUGAUUAUUUGAUAUUGUGAUUCUAUUCGGUUUAUAUCGUCGAAAAUCAAGAAUUUGCAAAUCUCUGAAAAAUUGUAGUAUUGCGACGCCUCUGAUAGGGAACAGAUCCUUUAAACUCGCCCCGUAGAAAAUUAGCGGUANNNNNNNNNNCAACAUUUGUUGUAAUAAAGAUGAUUGUUCUAUUGUGAAUUGCCCUUCGGAUCAUUUCAUUAUUUUAUAUUGUGAUUCUAUUCGGUUUGUAUCGUCGAAAAUCAAGAAUUUGCAAAUCUCUGAAAAAUUUGUAGUAUUGCGAGGCCUUUGAUAGGGAACAGAUCCUUUAAACUCGCCCCGUAGAAAAUUAGCGGUACAAGUAUACACGACCUAUUCCGGCGAAGGUCUCAUGGUUCUGUGAUUUUUUUAUAGGUCUCUCGUAAAUGACUUUUGUGAGAUGUAGCGUAACCAGAUCUGCUAGGAUGUGUUCAAUUGUCAUUCGUGAAGNNNNNNNNNNNNNNNNNNNNNNNNNNNNNNNNNNNNNNNNNNNNNNNNNNNNNNNNNNNNNNNNNNNNNNNNNNNNNNNNNNNNNNNNNNNNNNNNNNNNACCACUGGUUGCUGACUUGACGCCCUUCUUCACCUUGUCGCCGUUCUUGUUCGCCUUGGCACCGCCGCUGCCGGACUUGACCGACUCAGCGUCGCUGUCCGUCAUCGUAGAUCGUAGAUCGUCGAGGCUCUGAUACCAAAUGUUGGCUUCGAAUCGCUGGAUCAAAUCACCCGGGAGCUACACACGCGCACAAAGCUGGCUAUGCAAACAAGCAAGCAGCCACCCAGGUUGAUGGAUCGACCGUAGCCACACAGCGUAUAAUACGCGUCUUGCCGGAGCUACUCUAGUUGAUUUCGAUCAACUCUAGGUAGAAGAACAAGAAACUUUGCACCGAAUCGAUUUAUAGCCAAAGGCUCUUGACGUGCCUUGUUUUAUUGCUUUGCUCUUUUUUCUCUGGUGUUAUAAUCAACACCCCUAGGGUGUCUUUUAUACACGUCCACAAGGGACUAUGGAAAUAGACUAGGACUAGGAAUCCUAAUACUACUAGGACUCGGUUUGGCUUUCUUUCCUAAUCCUACAUGAGCAACAUGAUUAACAUCUACAAAUAUUAGGGUCAUGAUCUUCAUCAGAAAUAUUGACAUCACUAUUUUCACCAAUUUCUGUAGCAGUAACCUCAACCUCUUCUGCAUUAUCACAAUGACCAUGAUCACCUUCUUAAAUUUUUGCGGCGACAACCUCAACCUCUACUGCAUUAACAUCUUGAUCUCCAUCAAUAUUAGCAUCUGGAGUUUGAUUGUCAGAAUUAGUUUGGGGCCCUUUCACAACAUAUUUAUCAAGAGCGCCAUGCUGAGAUUGAGCAUCUUCUAAUUUCUGUUUCUUCUUAAGCUUGAAGGCAAUCGUAUUUUCUUCCAGAACUAGACUGCAUCAGGUGAUUAUCUCUGUAAUUUGUAUCGAAGUUAGAGAAAAGGGGAAGAGCGUAGGGAGGGCACCACACAACUACCGUUCCUGUUGGACGCUUCUGCGGCAGUGCCGGUCGGCCGCCGGCGCGGGCGCGCGGCGGCNNNNNNNNNNNNNNNNNNNNNNNNNNNNNNNNNNNNNNNNNNNNNNNNNNNNNNNNNNNNNNNNNNNNNNNNNNNNNNNNNNNNNNNNNNNNNNNNNNNNGCGUUUACUAUUUUGCUAGUAUGUAGCUUUAGUAGUAAUAGCAUAAGUAGCACGACAACCCCGAUGGCAACACGUUGAUGGAUGAUCAUGGUGUGGCGCCGGUGACAAGAAGAUCGUGCCGGUGCUUUGGUGAUGGAGAUCAAGAAGCACGUGAUGAUGGCCAUAUCAUGUCACUUAUGAAUUGCAUGUGAUGUUAAUCCUUUCCUGCACCUUAUUUUGCUUAGAACGACGGUAGCAUUAUGAGGUGAUCUCUCACUAAAAUUUAAAGACGAAAUUGUGUUCUCCCCGACUGUGCACCGUUCCUACAGUUCGUCAUUUCGAGACACCACGUGAUGAUCGGGUGUGAUAGACUCAACGUUCACANNNNNNNNNNCAAGACGAAACUGUGUUCACCCCGACUGUGCACCGUUGCUAUAGUUCGUCGUUUCGAGACACCACGUGAUGAUCGGGUGUGAUAGACUCAACGUUCACAUACAACGGGUGCAAAACAGUUGCGCACGUGGAACACUCGGGUUAAGCUUGACGAGCCUAGCAUGUGCAGACAUGGCCUCGGAACACAUGAGACCGAAAGGUCGAUCAUGAAUCAUAUAGUUGAUAUGAUUAGCAUAGGGAUGCUUACCACUGAAACUAUACUCAACUCACGUGAUGAUCGGACUUGGGAUAGUGUAAGUGGAUCAUGAACCAUUCAAAUGACUAGAGAGAUGUACUUUUUGAGUGGGAGUUUAGCAUAUAAUUUGAUUAAGUUGAACUCUAAUUAUCUUGAACAUAGUCUAAGUCCACUUUGUAUAUAUUUGUGUUGUAGAUCAUGGUUCACGCGACAGUCAUCCUGAAUUUUAAUACGUUCCUAGAGAAAGCUAAGUUGAAAGAUGAUGGAAGCAACUUUGUAGACUGGGCUCGUAAUCUUAAGCUAAUCUUACAAGCUGGGAAGAAGGAUUAUGUCCUUAAUGCUGCGCUAGGAGAUGAACCACCCGCUACGGCUGAUCAGGAUGUUAAGAACGCUUGGUUAGCACGUAAGGAGGACUACUCAAUAGUUCAAUGUGCAGUCUUGUAUGGCUUAGAACCGGGACUUCAACGUCGCUUUGAGCAUCAUGGAGCAUUUGGGAUGUUCCAUGAGUUGGAGUUUAUCUUUCAGAAGAACGCCCGGAUCGAGAGGUAUGAGACCUCCGAUAAAUUCUAUGCUUGCAAGAUGGAGGAAAACUCGUCUGUCAGUGAACAUGUGCUCAAAAUGUGUGGGUACUCAAACCGUCUAGCUGAACUGGGGAUUGAACUCCCGCAAGAAGCUAUCGCUGACAGAAUCCUUCAAUCACUGCCGCCAAGCUAUAAAGGCUUUGUGUUGAACUACAACAUGCAAGGGAUGAACAAGUCUCCCGGCGAAUUGUUUGCGAUGCUAAAAGUCGCAGAGUCUGAACUCCGUAAAGAGCAUCAAGUGUUGAUGGUGAGCAAGACCACUAGUUUCAAGAGAAACGGAAAACGCAAGAAGGGCAAUUCGAAGAAGAGCGGCAAGCCUGUUGCCAAUCCGCCGAAGAAACCCAAGGCUGGACCUAAGCCUGAAACAAAGUGCUUCUAUUGCAAGGGUAUGGGUCACUGGAAGCGCAAUUGCCCCAAGUAUCUGGCAGAUAAGAAGGCGGGCAAAGAAAAAUCAGGUAUAUUUGAUAUACAUGUUAUUGAUGUGUACUUAACCGGCUCUCGUAGUAGUGCCUGGGUAUUCGAUACCGGUUCUGUUGCUCACAUUUGCAACUCGAAACAGGAACUGCGGAAUAGACGAAGGCUGGCGAAAGACGAAGUAACGAUGCGCGUAGGAAAUGGUUCCAAGGUUGAUGCAAUCGCCGUCGGCACAGUGUCACUUCAGCUACCAUCAGGAUUAGUGAUGAACUUAAAUCAUUGUUAUUUAGUGCCUGCGUUGAGCAUGAACAUUAUAUCUGGAUCNNNNNNNNNNUAUUUGCAACUCGAAACAGGAACUGCGGAAUAGACGAAGGCUGGCGUAAGAUGAAGUGACGAUGCGCGUAGGAAAUGGUUCCAAGGUUGAUGCAAUCGCUGUCGGCACAGUUUCACUUCAGUUACCAUCAGGAUUAGUUAUGAACUUGAGUCAUUGUUAUUUAGUGCCUGCGUUGAGCAUGAACAUUAUAUCUGGAUCUUGUUUGUUGCGAGACGGUUACUCUUUUAAGUCAGAGAAUAAUGGUUGUUCUAUUUCUAUGAGUAACAUCUUUUAUGGUCAUGCACCCAAUGUGAGAGGAUUGUUCAUAUUGAAUCUUGAUAGCGAUACACACAUACAUAACAUUGAGACCAAAAGAGUUAGAGUUAACAAUGAUNNNNNNNNNNNNNNNNNNNNNNNNNNNNNNNNNNNNNNNNNNNNNNNNNNNNNNNNNNNNNNNNNNNNNNNNNNNNNNNNNNNNNNNNNNNNNNNNNNNNCGUCAUUAGCCCCCGAAUGGAUCAGGGUCCGAGUGGUGAAGGUGUCGAUGUAAAUCUUAUAGCAGCAGACCGAACUUGAACGUGCUUCAGGGCCUUGCAAAAUUAUGCGUUGAUUGAAGUCUUCAUCAUUCGCCCUGAUCGAUUCCGCUGAGUAGUACGUCCGAGUGAACUUAAGAAUUGAAGUAGAUCCGAGUGACCAACAUGAUCUUGAGACUCUGACUGACUGCUGGUAGUCGGUUGGAAUCUGUUGAAUCUGUUGAACUUGGAUGUUGUUGGUGGACUUGACCAAGCAGAAUGUUUCUUUUUUGUAUUUCUCUUCCUGCGGGGGCACGCUCAGUGCACCCACUGGGUGUAGUCCCCGAGCCUCUGUCGGACUAGAUGAGUCUGGCAGAGGGUUUAAGACUUCCAGUGCUUGUCAUGUUGAAUGUUUGUUGAAUUUGCAUUAUAUGAUUUCUAGAUCAAAGUCAAGUCUCCGAGUUUAUUUUUUAACUUCGGUGAUACGGGGUCGCAACUAAGUUCUCGAUUGUGCAGCGUGUCUGCACUCGGAGUUGUUUUUAACUUAGGCGAUACGGAGUCGCAGCUAAGUCCUCAAGUGUGGAUCAUGUUCGCACUCGGAGUUGUUUUUAACUUAGGCGAUACGGAGUCGCAGCUAAGUCCCCGAGUGUGGAACAUGUCCGCACUCGGAGUUGUUUUUAAUUUAGGCGAUACGGAGUCGCAGCUAAGCCCCCGAGUGUGGAGCAUGUCCGUACUCAUAGUUGUUUUUAACUUAGGCGAUACAUAGUCGCAGCUAAGUUCCUGAGUGUCGAGCGUGUCCGUACUCGGAGUACUUUUAACUUAGGCGACACGGAGUCACAGCUAAGCUGAGCGGUGGCGCGCGGGGCAGCCGAAUGAUGAAGACGUGCCACACGGAGUGGCGAUGCGCAUGGCAUCCGAGCGCUGACGACGCGUCCGGCUGAGUGGCAACGCACGGGGCGGCCAAGUGAUGUAUGUCGAGGAGGCAUCCGACCCACUGACAGCACGCGGGGCGGCCGUGUCCACUACGUCAUUGCGGGGGCUUCCGAACACGUGAAAACGCAUGAAUGAUCGUUGCGGCGACUGAGCCUGAGCAGCGACGAGGAUGGCGCACGGAUGCGUCGAGUAACCUGUGUAUGAAAAAUAGCACAAGCCAGCAUAAAAAAUUAUCAAAGUAACAUGAUCUUUUCUGAAAUAGUUCAUGUAAAUUGCACCCAUAGACACCCACUGGGUGUGCCACGUGAUUGCUGGUUCAGAACCAGCAAGAGUCUAAAAGAGUGAAGGAUCCGGCUGAACUCGUUUGAGUACUGGACCCAAACGAACCGGAAGUGAAGUGUUCCCACAUAAAAAUAAACAACCGAGUACAGAGGUACACUCAGUGGCGUGGCCUCCGAGUGAACGUCAUGUGCGACUUCCUCGACACUCGGUAAUGUAGAAACGAUUAUUUAAUAGAAUGGAGUCUGAGAAAAAUGACUUAGCUGCCUGACGACGCGCGGGGCGGUCGAGUGAAGUAGACACGUUCGGCUGAGUGGCGUCGUGUUGGGCGGUCAAGCGAUGAAGACGCGUCUAGCUGAGUGGCGACACGCGGGGCGGCCGAGUGACGACGCGCAGAGCAACCAGGUGACGAAGGAGCCUCUAGCCGAGUGACGACACGCGAAGCUGCCGAGUGACGAAGGAGUCUCCAGCCGAGUGACGGCGCGGGGGGCGGUCGAGUGACAAAGGCGCGUCUCGCCGAGUGGCGGCGCGCUGGGCGGCCGACUGAUGAAGGCACCUACAACCGAGUGACGAAGAUGUGUCUCGCCAAGUGGCGGCUCAUGGGGCGGUCGACUGAUGAAGGCGCAUACAACCGAGUGACGAAGAUGUGUCUCGCCGAGUGGCGGCGCGCGGGAGGACCGACUGAUUAUGAUGCGUCCGACUGAGCGACGGCACGCAGGGCGGCCGAGUCACUGCAUGUUGGUCAUCUGUAUACAAAAUUCAUCUGGAAUAAUUUCGGUGUGUCAUCGUGUUAGUAGCUCGAAUGAAUGGUGUUGGGGAACGUCGCAUGGGAAACAAAAAUUUUCCUACGCGCACGAAGACCUAUCAUGGUGAUGUCCAUCUACGAGAGNNNNNNNNNNGCAGCAACACGCACAUCACCGCCCACAAAAACUUUUGUGUUCUACUCGAGAAGACAUCUACGCAUGAACCUAGCUCAUGAUGCCACUGUUGGGGAACGUCACAUGGGAAACAAAAAAUUUCCUACGCGCACGAAGACCUAUCAUGGUGAUGUCCAUCUACGAGAGGGGAUGGGUGAUCUACGUACCCUUGUAGACCGUAGAGCAGAAGCGUUAGAGAACGCGGUUGAUGUAGUGGAACGUCCUCACGUCCCUCGAUCCGCCCCGCGAACAAUCCCGCGAUCAGUCCCACGAUCUAGUACCGAACGGACGGCACCUCCGCGUUCAGCACACGUACAGCUCGACGAUGANNNNNNNNNNCGUACAACAGAAGCGUUAGAGAACGCAGUUGAUGUAGUGGAACGUCCUCACGUCCCUCGACCCGCCCCGCGAACAAUCCCGCGAUCAGUCCCACGAUCUAGUGUCGAACGGACGGCACCUCCGCGUUCAGCACACGUACAGCUCGACGAUGAUCUCGGCCUUCUUGAUCCAGCAAGAGAGACGGAGAGGUAGAAGAGUUCUCCGGCAGAGUGACGGCGCUCCCGAGGUUGGUGAUGACCUUGUCUCAGCAGGGCUCCGCCUGAGCUCCGCAGAAAAGCGAUCUAGAGGAAAAACUGUGGAGGUAUGUGGUCGGGCUGCCGUGGAAAAGUCGUCUCAAAUCAGCCCUAAAACCUCCGUAUAUAUAGGUGGGAGGGAGGGGGCCUUGCCUUGGGGUCCAAGGACCCUCAAGGGGGUCGGCCGAGCCAAGGGGGAGGACUCUCCCCCCCAAACCGAGUUGGACUAGGUUUGGUGGGAGGGAGUCCUCCUCCCUUCCCACCUCCUCCCUUUUUUUUCUUUUCCUCUUGAUUUUCUUCUCUUGGCGCAUAGAGCACUUGUGGGCUGUCCCACCAGCCCACUAAGGGCUGGUGUGUCUCCCCCAAGGCCUAUGGGCUUCCCCGGGGUGGGUUGCCCCCCCCGGUGAACUCCCGGAACCCAUUCGUCAUUCCCGGUACAUUCCCGGUAACUCCGAAAACCUUCCGGUAAUCAAAUGAGGUCAUCCUAUAUAUCAAUCUUCGUUUCCGGACCAUUCCGGAAACCCUCGUGACGUCCGUGAUCUCAUCCGGGACUCCGAACAACNNNNNNNNNNAGUAACUCCGAAAACCUUCCGGUAAUCAAAUUAGGUCAUCCUAUAUAUCAAUCUUCAUUUCCGGACCAUUCCGGAAACCCUCGUGACGUACGUGAUCUCAUCCGGGACUCCGAACAACAUUCGGUAACCAACCAUAUAACUCAAAUACGCAUAAAACAACGUCGAACCUUAAGUGUGCAGACCCUGCGGGUUCGAGAACUAUGUAGACAUGACCCGAGAGACUCCUCGGNNNNNNNNNNNNNNNNNNNNNNNNNNNNNNNNNNNNNNNNNNNNNNNNNNNNNNNNNNNNNNNNNNNNNNNNNNNNNNNNNNNNNNNNNNNNNNNNNNNNCCACGGCAGCCCGACCACAUACCUCCACAGUUUUUCCUCUAGAUCGCUUUUCUGCGGAGCUCAGGCGGAGCCCUGCUGAGACAAGGUCAUCACCAACCUCGGGAGCGCCGUCACUCUGCCGGAGAACUCUUCUACCUCUCCGUCUCUCUUGCUGGAUCAAGAAGGCCGAGAUCAUCGUCGAGCUGUACGUGUGCUGAACGCGGAGGUGCCGUCCGUUCGGUACUAGAUCGUGGGACUGAUCGCGGGAUUGUUCGCGGGGCGGAUCGAGGGACGUGAGGACGUUCCACUACAUCAACCGCGUUCUCUAACGCUUCUGUUGUACAGUCUACAAGGGUAUGUAGAUCACUCAUCCCCUCUCGUAGAUGGACAUCACCAUGAUAGGUCUUCGUGCGCGUAGGAAAAUUUUUGUUUCCCAUGCGACGUUCCCCAACACCAUUCAUUCGAGCUACUAACACGAUGACACACCGAAAUUAUUCCAGAUGAAUUUUGUAUACAGAUGACCAACAUGCAGUGACUCGGCCGCCCUGCGUGCCGUCGCUCAGUCGGACGCAUCAUAAUCAGUCGGUCCUCCCGCGCGCCGCCACUCGGCGAGACACAUCUUCGUCACUCGGUUGUAUGCGCCUUCAUCAGUCGACCGCCCCAUGAGCCGCCACUUGGCGAGACACAUCUUCGUCACUCGGUUGUAGGUGCCUUCAUCAGUCGGCCGCCCAGCGCGCCGCCACUCGGCGAGACGCGCCUUUGUCACUCGACCGCCCCCCGCGCCGUCACUCGGCUGGAGACUCCUUCGUCACUCGGCAGCUUCGCGUGUCGUCACUCGGCUAGAGGCUCCUUCGUCACCUGGUUGCUCUGCGCGUCGUCACUCGGCCGCCCCGCGUGUCGCCACUCAGCUAGACGCGUCUUCAUCGCUUGACCGCCCAACACGACGCCACUCAGCCGAACGUGUCUACUUCACUCGACCGCCCCGCGCGUCGUCAGGCAGCUAAGUCAUUUUUCUCAGACUCCAUUCUAUUAAAUAAUCGUUUCUACAUUACCGAGUGUCGAGGAAGUCGCACAUGACGUUCACUCGGAGGCCACGCCACUGAGUGUACCUCUGUACUCGGUUGUUUAUUUUUAUGUGGGAACACUUCACUUCCGGUUCGUUUGGGUCCAGUACUCAAACGAGUUCAGCCGGAUCCUUCACUCUUUUAGACUCUUGCUGGUUCUGAACCAGCAAUCACGUGGCACACCCAGUGGGUGUCUAUGGGUGCAAUUUACAUGAACUAUUUCAGAAAAGAUCAUGUUACUUUGAUAAUUUUUUAUGCUGGCUUGUGCUAUUUUUCAUACACAGGUUACUCGACGCAUCCGUGCGCCAUCCUCGUCGCUGCUCAGGCUCAGUCGCCGCAACGAUCAUUCAUGCGUUUUCACGUGUUCGGAAGCCCCCGCAAUGACGUAGUGGACACGGCCGCCCCGCGUGCUGUCAGUGGGUCGGAUGCCUCCUCGACAUACAUCACUUGGCCGCCCCGUGCGUUGCCACUCAGCCGGACGCGUCGUCAGCGCUCGGAUGCCAUGCGCAUCGCCACUCCGUGUGGCACGUCUUCAUCAUUCGGCUGCCCCGCGCGCCACCGCUCAGCUUAGCUGUGACUCCGUGUCGCCUAAGUUAAAAGUACUCCGAGUACGGACACGCUCGACACUCAGGAACUUAGCUGCGACUAUGUAUCGCCUAAGUUAAAAACAACUAUGAGUACGGACAUGCUCCACACUCGGGGGCUUAGCUGCGACUCCGUAUCGCCUAAAUUAAAAACAACUCCGAGUGCGGACAUGUUCCACACUCGGGGACUUAGCUGCGACUCCGUAUCGCCUAAGUUAAAAACAACUCCGAGUGCGAACAUGAUCCACACUUGAGGACUUAGCUGCGACUCCGUAUCGCCUAAGUUAAAAACAACUCCGAGUGCGAACAUUUUCCGCACUCGGGGACUUAGCUGCGACUCCGUAUCGCCUAAGUUAAAAACAACUCCGAGUGCGAACAUUUUCCGCACUCGGGGACUUAGCUGCGACUCCGUAUCGCCUAAGUUAAAAACAACUCCGAGUGCGAACAUUUUCCGCACUCGGGGACUUAGCUGCGACUCCGUAUCGCCUAAGUUAAAAACAACUCCGAGUGCAGACACGCUGCACAAUCGAGAACUUAGUUGCGACCCCGUAUCACCGAAGUUAAAAAAUAAACUCGGAGACUUGACUUUGAUCUAGAAAUCAUAUAAUGCAAAUUCAACAAACAUUCAACAUGACAAGCACUGGAAGUCUUAAACCCUCUGCCAGACUCAUCUAGUCCGACAGAGGCUCGGGGACUACACCCAGUGGGUGCACUGAGCGUGCCCCCGCAGGAAGAGAAAUACAAAAAAGAAACAUUCUGCUUGGUCAAGUCCACCAACAACAUCCAAGUUCAACAGAUUCAACAGAUUCCAACCGACUACCAGCAGUCAGUCAGAGUCUCAAGAUCAUGUUGGUCACUCGGAUCUACUUCAAUUCUUAAGUUCACUCGGACGUACUACUCAGCGGAAUCGAUCAGGGCGAAUGAUGAAGACUUCAAUCAACGCAUAAUUUUGCAAGGCCCUGAAGCACGUUCAAGUUCGGUCUGCUGCUAUAAGAUUUACAUCGACACCUUCACCACUCGGACCCUGAUCCAUUCGGGGGCUAAUGACGGGGAUAUAGCCCUAGGGUAGGGUCAUAGGUCUGACCAAUACGUCCUACCCAAGGGCACCUCAUUAUUAGUUUAAGGACUACAAGGGAAAUUCCUACUGGAUCGUGACAACAUCUAAUCCACUCGGGACGGAUCCACUCAGACAAAUACAUUCCAUCCACUCGGAUGACAGUCAACCACUCGGCUGUAUGACUCACUUGGUCAUGCAAAUACCAACAGUCGGCAAGACAUCUGUAGUGGGCUGACAUUAUGGCACCAAUGCCUCAUCUUGUAACAUAAGAGGUGAGGAGGUGGCGCACUCUAUAUAAGUCACCCCCCUCCACAUAGCUGGGGACAUCUUCUUCUUCUCCUCCUUCGGGCUCAUUCUUUCCCUCGAGCUCUGUCUCUCUCUCUCUACACCAUGUAACUCAUGUCCAUGACAAAUAAAACNNNNNNNNNNNNNNNNNNNNNNNNNNNNNNNNNNNNNNNNNNNNNNNNNNNNNNNNNNNNNNNNNNNNNNNNNNNNNNNNNNNNNNNNNNNNNNNNNNNNCUGAAACAUUUGAAAAGUUCAAACAAUUUCAGAGUGAAGUGGAAAAUCAUCGUAACAAGAAGAUCAAGUUCCUACGGUCUGAUCGUGGGGGUGAAUAUCUGAGUUUCGAGUUUGGUGCUCACUUAAGACAAUGUGGAAUUGUUUCACACUUGACACCGCCUGAAACACCACAGCGUAAUGGUGUGUCCGAACGUCGUAAUCGUACUUUAUUAGAGAUGGUGCGAUCUAUGAUGUCUCUUACUGAUUUGCCGUUAUCAUUUUGGGGUUAUGCAUUAGAAACAGCUGCAUUCACUUUAAAUAGGGCACCAUCAAAAUCCGUUGAGACGACACCAUACGAACUGCGGUAUGGCAAAAGGCCAAAGUUGUCGUUUCUUAAAGUUUGGGGAUGUGAUGCUUAUGUCAAAAAGCUUCAACCUGAAAAGCUGGAACCCAAAGCGGAAAAAUGCGUCUUCAUAGGUUACCCAAAAGAGACAGUUGGGUACACCUUCUAUCUCAAAUCCGAGGGCAAAGUGUUUGUUGCUAAAAACGGAGCUUUUCUCGAGAAGGAGUUUCUCUCGAGAGAAUUGAGUGGGAGGAAGAUAGAACUUGACGAGGUUGUCGAACCUCUCAUCCCUCUGGAUGGUGGCGCAUGGCAAGGGGAAACCUCUGUCGUUGCGACGCCGGUUGAGGAGGAAGUUAAUGAUAAUGAUCAUGCAACUCCGGUUCAAGUUUAUGUCGAACCACGUAGGUCGACGAGACCACGUGCUGCUCCAGAGUGGUACGGUAAUCCCGUCUUAUCAAUCAUGUUGUUGGACAACAAUGAACCUGCAAAUUAUGAAGAAGCAAUGGUGGGCCCAGAUUCCAACAAAUGGCUAGAAGCCAUGAAGUCCGAGAUAGGAUCCAUGUAUGAGAACAAAGUGUGGACUUUGAAGGUACUGCCUGAGGGCCGCAAGGCUAUUGAGAACAAAUGGAUCUUUAAGAGGAAGACGGACGCUGACGGCAAUGUGACCGUUUAUAAAGCUCGACUUGUGGCAAAGGGUUUUUCACAAGUUCAAGGAGUUGACUACGAUGAGACAUUCUCACCCGUAGCGAUGCUUAAGUGUGUCAGAAUCAUGUUAGCAAUAGCUGCAUUUUUCGAUUAUGAAAUCUGGCAAAUGGAUGUCAAAACGGCUUUCCUUAACGAUUUCCUUAAGGAAGAAUUGUAUAUGAUGCAACCCGAAGGUUUUGUCGAUCCUAAGAAUGCUAACAAGGUGUGCAAGCUCCAGUGAUCCAUUUAUGGACUGGUGCAAGCAUCUCGGAGUUGGAACAAACGCUUUGAUGAGGUGAUCAAAGCAUUUGGGUUUAUACAAGUGGUUGGAGAAUCUUGUAUUUACAAGAAAGUGAGUGGGAGCUCUGUGGCGUUUCUAAUAUUAUAUGUGGAUGACAUAUUGUUGAUUGGAAACAACGUAGAGUUUUUGGAGAGCAUAAAGGAUUACUUGAAUAAAAGUUUCUCUAUGAAGGACCUGGGAGAAGCUGCUUACAUUCUAGGCAUUAAGAUCUAUAGGGAUAGAUCAAAACGCCUGAUAGGACUUUCACAAAGCACAUACCUUGAUAAAGUUUUGAAGAGGUUCAAAAUGGAACAGUCCAAGAAGGGGUUCUUGCCAGUUUUACAAGGUACGAGAUUGAGUAAGACUCAGUGCCCAGCAACUGAUGAGGAUAGAGAGCAUAUGCGCACCGUCCCCUAUGCUUCAGCCAUAGGUUCUAUCAUGUAUGCAAUGUUGUGCACUAGACCGGACGUUAGCCUGGCCAUAAGUAUGGCAGGUAGGUUCCAGAGUAAUCCAGGAGUGGAUCACUGGACGGCGGUCAAGAAUAUCCUAAAGUACCUGAAAAGGACUGAGGAGAUGUUUCUCGUGUAUGGAGGUGACGAAGAGCUCGCCGUAAAAGGUUACGUCGAUGCAAGCUUUGACACAGAUCCGGACGACUCUAAGUCGCAAACCGGAUACGUAUUUAUUCUUAAUGGGGGUGCGGUAAGCUGGUGCAGUUUCAAGCAAAGCGUCGUAGCAGAUUCUACAUGUGAAGCAGAGUACAUGGCUGCCUCGGAGGCAGCUAAGGAGGGUGUCUGGAUGAAGCUGUUCAUGACGGAUCUUGGAGUGGUGCCAAGCGCACUGAAUCCAAUAACCUUGUUCUGUGACAACACGGGUGCCAUUGCCUUAGCAAAGGAACCACGGUUUCACAAGAAGUCCACACACAUCAAAUGACGCUUCAACCUCAUCCGCGACUACGUCGAAGGAGAGGACGUAAAUAUAUGCAAAGUGCACACGGAUCUGAAUGUAGCAGACCCGCUGACUAAACCUCUUCCACGGCCAAAGCAUGAUCAACACCAGAACUGUAUGGGUGUUAGAUUUAUUACAAUGUAAUUCGCAUGAUGAUGUGAGGGCUAGAUUAUUGACUCUAGUGCAAGUGGGAGACUGUUGGAAUUAUGCCCUAGAGGCAAUAAUAAAUAUAGUUAUUAUUAUAAUUCCUGUAUCAAGAUAAUCGUUUAUUAUCCAUGCUAUAAUUGUAUUGAAUGAAGACUCAUUUACAUGUGUGGAUACAUAGACAAAACACUGUCCCUAGCAAGCCUCUAGUUGGCUAGCCAGUUGAUCAAAGAUAGUCAAUGUCUUCUGAUUAUGAACAAGGUGUUGUUGCUUGAUAACUGGAUCACGUCAUUAGGAGAAUCACGUGAUGGACUAGACCCAAACUAAUAGACAUAGCAUGUUGAUCGUGUCAUUUUGUUGCUACUGUUUUCUACGUGUCAAGUAUUUGUUCCUAUGACCAUGAGAUCAUAUAACUCACUAACACCGGAGGAAUACUUUGUGUGUAUCAAACGUCGCAACGUAACUGGGUGACUAUAAAGAUGCUCUACAGGUAUAUCCGAGGGUGACUAUUGAGUUGACAUGGAUCAAGACUGGGAUUUUUCACUCCGUAUGACGGAGAGGUAUCUGAGGGCUCACUCGGUAAUACAACAUCACAAUGAGCUUGCAAGCAAUGUGACUAAAGAGUUAGGCACGGGAUCUUGUAUUACGUAACGAGUAAAGAGACUUGUCGGUAACGAGAUUGAACUAGGUAUGGAGAUACCGACGAUUGAAUCUUGGGCAAGUAACAUACCGAUGGACAAAGGAAAUUGUAUACGGGNNNNNNNNNNNNNNNNNNNNNNNNNNNNNNNNNNNNNNNNNNNNNNNNNNNNNNNNNNNNNNNNNNNNNNNNNNNNNNNNNNNNNNNNNNNNNNNNNNNNGGUGUACGAUACUCGUGGCAAGGCUAAGUUUGGCCAAUAAUGUAUGCAAGAGCCAACUUAUGUCAGUUUAAAUGGCACCUGAAUCACUAGAACAGGCAUAUUUUUCAAGGGCAAGGAAAUGAGAAUUCAUGGAAGAAAUAAUGUCUGGGAAAGCAGACAUGACAAUGAAGAACUCUGCACCAAAUUCAUAUUUAAGAUAAUUACCGCUGCUUCAUGGGCCGCCUAGCAUUAUAAACCGAAAUCCAUUGAGUUGCUGGGCUCCCCAACCGAACUUUCUUCUUAGGCUGUUCCUCUUCUUCAAGAUUUACAACCAUUCUUCCACGUUUCUGCCCAACCUACAAUAUAUAAAACAGAUGCAUGAUCAAUUUCAAUACACAAAUAAUUAAACUACAGAGCAUAGGUACAGACUGGGUACAGCAUAGCAAACCUUUAGAGCCCCAUCAAUUCUGAUGGGUCUUGAAGCAGGCACUUCAAUCAAACUAUCAAAGAGAGAAAUGAGUUUUGCGUAAUUUGGCUCUUCAUCAAAUUUCAUAUUAGUGACCAUCUCAAGAAAAUGCUUGAAUGGAGGUGGACAAAAGCAACUCAGAACAUCUGCAGAGGUAGCCAUCUUCUUCUUACAAACAAGAAAGCUCUUGUUGUCUCCCUGCAUUAAUAAGCAAUUAACACUAUAUUGGGUUCAAGAGGAAACAGUAAAUUAUUAGUCAAACUCUUAUGAGCACAUCUAAGGCUACCUGAAAACCUUGCCAAGGUAAUCUUCCUCUUAUUAAAAAAAUAAGGGUGUACGCUAGUGACUCCAAAUCAUCCCUUCUACUGCCUGUCCGGCCUAAAUGAGCAUGGACACUAGCAUAUCUAAUUGUUCCCCUGGAAAUCAUAAAAAGGAAAGAGGUCAGUUAAUAGGUGAAUAAUUUUUAGUUUUGCACAUAAAGAAGAUAGUAUAGAACCAACCUAAAGAUGUCUGGCCUCUGGUCAUAUUCAACAUGCUGACUGGAUGAUGCUUUUUUCCACUUGGAUGCUGCAUAAUUUAGAUAUUAACAAAACAACGUGAAAAAGGUUACAGUGGGGCAUAAAAUGUGUCAAACCAUCAACAUCCUAUUAUGUAGCAAUUCUUAUGACUGAAGGCCACAGUUCACUGAAAAAAUGAAACUGCAUAUCUACAUAUAAAGAUGAAACUGUCUUAAACAAGAACAUACCUAAACCAAGAUCAAUUAGGAAAAGCUUCUUCUCAUCAGGUGAUCCAGGUUGACCAAGCAGAAAGUUUUCUGGCUUUACAUCUCCAUGGACAAAGCUGACAUAAUAGGAAGCAGAGGAAGUGUUAAUACCAACAAAGAAUAGGAGAAUGAUGUCCAUGGACUCCAGGAUCAUUGACAGAGACACGUGGCUUUAGAAAAUUACCCUUUGGAAUGAAGCUUCUCAAGGAUUGAUAUGGACUCCACGGCAAUGCAAGCCACCAUAUGAGAAGACAUCCUGUUUGGGAUAUGGGUGCUUUUAGCAAGGAGUAAGAAAAACAAGCUGACAAGGUGAAAAGAUUGGUAAAACACUCACGCCUGUCCCAUUGAAUUCCAAACAUCCCAGAGGCUAGGACCAAGCAUAUCCAUGACCUGAAAUUUUGAAAUCCAGGUUGAAUUGACUUUGAAAGAUCAUAUUAAGAGGCAGUCUGGAGUGCAUAACUAUAGUUGAACUCACAAGAAUGUAGUAGUCUCCCUGGCGACCCUUGUAGUGGACUGAUGGUAUGCCAUAACAACCAUUGAGAGACCUGUCACAGAAAGCUUAGCAUGCCAUGCUCCACAGAAAAUAACAUAAACGUAAAAAGGAUUGAUUGUGUAUAGUUCUUACUGAUAAACCUGCCACUCAAACGGGGGGCCAUAACUACAUCCUUUGCUUCUUCGAUGUUCAAGUUUGAGUGCAACCUACAGCAUGUUAAUCCAUAUAAGAUUCGACUAGAUCACGAAGCAGGACUCCUCCAGUGUCCAAGUGAGGCAGGUUUGAAAAGAAACCUCGUAUGCAUCUGGGCCUGUACGAGAAGCCCCACCAGUUAUUCUUCUGCCAACAUAGACCUGGCCAAAUCCACCUUUGCCCAACUUCCUAUCAGUUAUAUAUUCUGGAGAGCCACCAACUUGAACCUGCAAUAAUUAGAUAUAACAUUCAGAUUUUUAGGAGCUUAUAUCAUGUAAACAGAACUCCACUAUGCAAAACUGUACUGGUGGAUCAAUAAUACUAUCACCACGAGAGCAAACUAAACAGCGCUGCAGAAAAUGAGAAACCUAUUUUUGUCUUGAAGCUUUAUGUGAAAAGGAACCAAUCCUAUAUAUAUAUAUAUAUAUAUGUACUAUUCACAGCAAAGUCGUCAAAUUAGGGAACUCAGGAAAUGUGUGUUACUCUGCUAUACUUAGCACUGCCCAGUGGAAGACAAACAUGCAGUGUUUUUCCCAGAGAGAAAGAGCACGGAAAUUGAUUGGGUUUGCAGCCAAAACGACAAUAUUUCUGUAUUUAUGUUGUUGAACAGAGGGAUGUGAAAUUAGUUUCUUCUUUUUAAUUCCAUCUGGUUUAAAUUUCAACAUCUUAUUAGAUGUUUGCUUUCUGCUACAAAACAAAACUACCAUAAUACAGCCACUCAGUCUUGACUACUCUCAUGGAAGUAUAAACACGAUCUCUGAUGCAAGUGUUUAGCUUUUCGCUAUGUUCCCUCUUCAGAUGAACAAUCAUCAAUUAUUACUUAUUAGUCCCUCUAAACGCUCUUAUAUCACAAGAAAGUUUCUAGAAGGAGAGAUAGGUAGGUAUGCAUGAUACAACAAAAGAACAAUGCAUUUCCACAUGAUGGUACAAAUAUUGCCAGACAAAGUUAACAGCAUAAGCAAACAACAUAACAAACAUAAAGGAAUGGGAAGAAAUACUUAAGCAGUCGGUGUAAUAACAGGACAGUCGACAUAAACAAGUGCACGGAAAAACAGGAAGUCAUACCCUCUCAGGCACUGGCGUCGUCGUGGCUUCAUCCUCCGCCGCUGCAAGUCUGUCACCGCUUGCACCUUCCAUUUUGAAGUUGGCGGCCCUGUCAGCUACCUUGUUCAAACCAAGGACCUGCUGGGCUGUGCCUGCAACUGCCUCUCCAACAAUAGCUUCAGGGAUGUCCUCAAAAGGCUGGUCAGCCAAAUCAAUAGCCUCGACCCUCUUUCCUCUAGCCUUUGGAGCUGGCCUUCCUCUUCCCGCGGCAACUGCUUUCUUGUUGCCCCUACCAGCCGCACCACCACCACGCCUCCCACCCCUCCCCCGGGGAGCCGGCAAGACAGGAGCGGCUACCUGAUCUGCAGCCUGGACGUCUUCAAGCCUGCUGGACCUCAGACGAGCUCUCCGAACACCACUUCGCAGCUCUGGCAUUAUCCGUCCAUGCAACCCGGCGUGCCGUUACACCCCUCGGCGCUCCUGGCAAUCUCCCCAUGCACAAGAAACCAAACACAAAACAAUGAAUACCGGUAAAAAAGGAAUCGGUGACGGACACCCAUACAUACAGACAUGAAAAGUCUCAGCUCAGAAAACUUGCUCCUUCCCCAUGCCUAUGAAAACCAAACCAAACAUUAGCAGACGAGAUAGACAGACAGACAAAAAUCUGGGGAGGAAUCAACGCCGGGGGCGUUGAGGCAGUAGUCCUAAAGAGACGGCCUGCCCUCAAACCGGAAUCGUAUGCCGCCACGGCCGCAAAAGGGAGACGGGCUAUCCCCGUCGCCCGAUGCCUCCUCCCCCCCACAAGGGGAUCUCCGCCCACGGCGGGGAAAAUCCCGCCUUUGCCCCGGGGCUCCGGCCAAUCGGGCCCCAAAUCGCGGCCGGACGAGCCGCGGGCCGCGAAUCCCACGCGAGACGCGCGUCCCUCCUAACAAAUCCAACGCGCCGUACGCGCGCCUCCUACCCACGAGACCAACACGGAGAGCCGGCGUGCGAAUCGGCCGCCGGAGGACGCAUCGGGCCGGCGGGGGCCCGUCGGAUCGCGCCCGGGAGCCCGGCGCGCGGCCCGAUCGCGAGGAGCGCCGCGCGCCGAUUGGAAAACCGGAAAACCGUGCGAAAUGGGGGCCUUUGUCCUGGAGGGUGUAGGUUGCGGGGGGUGCUAGUGCUGGUGCUCGGUGUGCCGCAGCAGCUGGGGGUGGGGCCGGACGCGGUGGCUGACUGGUAGGGCCCGGGUGGUGGCGGGGGGGUCGGGGCACCUGGCUGGCUGGCUGGACCCUUGCCUUGCAUUGCAUUGCAUGCGGGGGUACACUACAGCCUGCGCGCACCGCGGAUGUCUACACGGCAUUUCCACCGAGGUUUAAAUUUACAGAGAGGGGGAGACGGAUUUUGAAGGAAAUGCAGCAGGUAUAGGAAACUGAUGAAUUUCUCAAUAAAAGUCGCAGGGGGCACGCACCUGUUCAUCUGUGCCCUACCACCAAGCCAUACACAUCGGCUCGCCAUAGUCAUUGGAUUCCGCACGAGGACACAUCAAGUUUAAAGUUUCACCUUUUUGAAACUAGUGCUUUUGUUGGGGGGGUUUAAAUGAAAAUGGGUCUUAUUUGCAAGCUCAUGACACAAGAAACAUGAGUAUGAAAACAAAAGGCUUAAUUUGAGUUUUACGAAAUACUGAUAUAUAGACCCCGAAGAAAUACGGGGUCGGCGUGCCACAAAUUCCAUGUAUAGACCAAAACAUUAUCUGCCUGCUAACUACUCCCUCCGUUAUGUAAAUAGUGUCAGAAACGAUCUUAUAUUAUGGCAAGGAGGGAGUAUAUCAGUGUCUUUUUUCGGUUUUGAUGUAACUUUGUGUCUUUUUCGGUUUUGAUGUAAAUUUGGCCGGUGGUAUGAAUUUAACCCAAUGCUUGAAGCCUCCAGCGCUCAGUUGGGAUACGCUUCACAAUUCAACUAUUGGACGUCAAUGUUGUUGUUCGUGGACCACAAGUAGGCAGCAGUAGUCAACAAUAUCAGGAUGCUGCAGAUCUUUUUUGGUUCUAUCAGAAAGGAAAGAAAAAAACAGGAAAAUAUCUUUUGGGCGUCCAAGUGGUAAUUUUGCCUAGUCAAGCCACACCACGAGCACCACGGAAUCAAUCAUCCCAACAGCUAGCUACAUCCAUCCUCUCGAUAAUAAUCCAGCAAAAGUAAAGCACAAGAUACCAACACAAACUUCCACAUGUUGUUCAUCUUUUAGAGCCAGCAUAACAUAAUCAUUAGGAGGCCAUGGCAUACAGCUGCAAUCCCUACAAACGGAAGGCCACCAGCACAGCAACACUCGUACCAAAAGUCAUUCCAAAACUAUUUCGAGAUGCGGCCAACUAAUCCCGUCUGCGAGGUCUCCGAGCACCUCCGAUCUCUCGCGCUCGUGCCACUACCGGCGGCGGUGGCGGCGGCGGACCAUCCCGCUCUUCGUCCUCGACAACAUGCCCGUCCAGCAGGUGGACGCACUCCAGGAUCGGCGACGCCUGCAUGACCCGCUUCACAAAGCAUGUCUGCCACGCCGCCCCGUCGAAGCCGAUGACCACGAGCUCUUUCAGGUGAUUGUGGUGCUGAUGGUGUUCCGCUUGCACAUCUGGUGAUCCUGUUGCGCCCGCCUUCUCUGAGUUGUCGUCAAACUGCGUUCGCAAUUCUUGAUUUCAAGAAUUAUCUCAAAACCAACAAAAAAAGUAGUACCAAGCUUGCAUGCCUGCAGGUCGACNNNNNNNNNNNNNNNNNNNNNNNNNNNNNNNNNNNNNNNNNNNNNNNNNNNNNNNNNNNNNNNNNNNNNNNNNNNNNNNNNNNNNNNNNNNNNNNNNNNNAACAGUCUCCCACUUGCACUAGAGUCAAUAAUCUAGCCCUCACAUCACCAUGUGAAUUACAUUGUAAUAAAUCUGCCGUGGAAGAGGUUUAGUCAGCGGGUCUGCUACAUUCAGAUCCGUGUGCACUUUGUAUAUAUUUACGUCCUCUUCCUCGACGUAGUCGCGGAUGAGGUUGAAGCGUCGUUUGAUGUGUCUGGUCUUCUUGUGAAACCGUGGUUUCUUUGCUAAGGCAAUGGCACGAGUGUUGUCACAGAACAAGGUUAUUGGAUUCAAUGCGCUUGGCACCACUCCAAGAUCCGUCAUGAACUGCUUCAUCCAGACACCCUCCUUAGCCGCCUCCGAGGCAGCCAUGUACUCUGCUUCACAUGUAGAAUCUGCUACGACGCUUUGCUUGGAACUGCACCAGCUUACUGCACCCCCAUUAAGAAUAAAUACGUAUCCGGUCUCCGACUUAGAGUCGUCCAGAUCUGUGUCAAAGCUUGCAUCGACGUAACCUUUUACGGCGAGCUCUUCGUCACCUCCAUAUACGAGAAACAUCUCCUUAGUCCUUUUCAGGUACUUCAGGAUAUUCUUGACCGCUGUCCAGUGAUCCACUCCUGGAUUACUCUGGAACCUACCUGCCAUACUUAUGGCCAGGCUAACAUUCGGUCUAGUGCACAGCAUCGCAUACAUGAUAGAACCUAUGGCUGAAGCAUAGGGGACGGAGCGCAUAUGCUCUCUAUCUUCAUCAGUUGCUGGGCACUGAGUCUUACUCAAUCUUGUACCUUGUAAAACUGGCAAGAACCCUUUCUUGGACUGUUCCAUUUUGAACCUUUUCAAAACUUUAUCAAGGUAUGUGCUUUGUGAAAGUCCUAUCAGGCGUUUCGAUCUAUCCCUAUAGAUCUUAAUGCCUAGAAUGUAAGCAGCUUCUCCUAGGUCCUUCAUAGAGAAACUUUUAUUCAAGUAACCUUUUAUGCUCUCCAAAAGCUCUACGUUGUUUCCAAUCAGUAAUAUGUCAUCCACAUAUAAUAUUAGAAACGCCACAGAGCUCCCACUCACUUUCUUGUAAAUAUAAGAUUCUCCAACCACUUGUAUAAACCCAAAUGCUUUGAUCACCUCAUCAAAGCGUUUGUUCCAACUCCGAGAUGCUUGCACCAGUCCAUAAAUGGAUCGCUGGAGCUUGCACACCUUGUCAGCAUUUUUAGGAUCGACAAAACCUUCGGGUUGCAUCAUAUACAACUCUUCCUUAAGGAAACCGUUAAGGAACACCGUUUUGACAUCCAUCUGCCAGAUUUCAUAAUCGAAAAAUGCAGCUAUUGCUAACAUGAUCCUGACGGACUUAAGCAUCGCUACGGGUGAGAAAGUCUCAUCGUAGUCAACUCCUGGAACUUGUGAAAAACCCUUUGCCACAAGUCGUGCUUUAUAAACGGUCACAUUACCGUCAGUGUCCGUCUUCUUCUUAAAGAUCCAUUUGUUCUGAAUAGCCUUGCGGCCCUCAGGUAGUAUCUCCAAAGUCCACACUUUGUUCUCAUACAUGGAUCCUAUCUCGGAUUUCAUGGCUUCUAGCCAUUUGUUGGAAUCUGGGCCCACCAUUGCUUCUUCAUAAUUUGCAGGUUCAUUGUUGUCUAACAACAUGAUUGAUAAGACGUGAUUACCGUACCACUCUGGAGCAGCGCGUGAUCUCGUUGACCUGCGUGGUUCAACAGAAACUUGAACUGGAGUUUCAUGAUCAUCAUCAUUAACUUCCUCCUCAACCGGCGUCGCAACGACAGAGGUUUCCCNNNNNNNNNNNNNNNNNNNNNNNNNNNNNNNNNNNNNNNNNNNNNNNNNNNNNNNNNNNNNNNNNNNNNNNNNNNNNNNNNNNNNNNNNNNNNNNNNNNNGUUUUAUUUGUCAUGGACAUGAGUUACAUGGUGUAGAGAGAGAGAGAGCCAGAGCUCGAGGGAAAGAAUGAGCCCGAAGGAGGACAAGAAGAAGAUGUCCCCAGCUAUGUGGAGGGGGUGGCUUAUAUAGAGUGCGCCACCUCCUCACCUCUUAUGUUACAAGAUGGGGCAUUGAUGCCAUAAUGUCAGCCCACUACAGAUGUCUUGCCGACUGUUGGUAUUUGCAUGAUUGAGUGAGUCAUACGGUCGAGUGGUCGACUGUCAUCCGAGUGGAUGGAAUGUAUUUGUCUGAGUGGAUCCGUAUCGAGUGGAUUAGAUGUUGUCACGAUCCAGUAGGAAUUUCCCUUGUAGUCCUUAAACUAAUAAUGAGGUGUCUUGGGUAGGACGUAUUGGUCAGACCUAUGACCCUACCCUAGGGCUAUAUCCCGUCAUUAGCCCCCGAAUGGAUCAGGGUAUACUUUGCAUAGAGCGGAAGGAAGAUCGGGCUGGCCCCGUAAUGAGGCUGCUGUGGCUAGUUUUGGGAAGUUUCCUAGCUGGUUUUUUACGGUUUUGAAGAACUUCUAAAAGGUUCCCUGAGCCGGGUUUUAUUCUUUUUCAUUUUCUUUGUUUUUCCGUUUCUUUCUUUUUCUUUUAUGUUUCUGUUUCAACAAAUGUUCUGGAUUUUCAAAAAUUAAUUUUGGAUUUUCAAAAAUGUUCUUGAUUUUAAAAAAUUAUUCUGUAUUUUCCACAAAUUGUUCUUAGUUUCAAAAUUUAUUCUUAAGAUUCAAAUUUGUUCUCAGUUUCAAACAAAAUUCUUAAGAUUAAAAAAAGUUUGUGCUUCCAAUUUUUUUAGGAUUUUUCAAAAUUCUUCUUGGUUUCAAAAUAUGUUCUUAAAAUUUAAAAAAUGCUCGUGCUUUAAAAAUUUGUUCGUGCUUCCAAAGUUGUUUGGGGUUUUUGAAAUUUGUUCUCAGUUUCAAAAUUUGUUCUCAAGAUUCAAAAAAUGUUCAUGCUUUAAAAAAUUGUUUGCGCUUCCAAAUUUGUUCGCAAAAAAUUCAUGCUUUAAAAAUUUGUUCAUUUGUUUCAAAUUUUGUUCUCAAGAUUAAAAAAAUAUUCGUGUUUUACAUUUUUUUUGCGCUUUCAAAUUUGUUAAAUAUUUUCAAAAAAUUUCUCGGCUUCAAUUUUUUUAUCAAAAUUCAAAAAAAUCCGCUUGUUGCACAUAGAGUGAAUGAUGAACUUUGCAAACAUUUUUCUGAACAAGAAAUUAAUUAUGCUCUCUUCCAAAUUGGACCGUUGAAGGCUCCAGGGGUAGAUGUUUUUUCAAAGGAAUUGGGGUUUUCACAAGGAGGAUAUUAUUGUUCUGUUUUCAAGUAUUUAUUUAUUUCUGGAAGUAUGCCAGAGGGGAUAAAUGAUAGUAGUAUUGUUCUUAUUCCUAAAAUAAAGAAUCCUCAACCUAUAAAGAAUUUUUGACCAAUUAACCUUUGCAAUGUCAUAUACAAAAUUAUAUCUAACUGCCUUGUUAACACGCUGAGACCUCUCCUGGAUGGUAUGAUUUAUCUACCCAAAGUCCUUUUAUCCCUGGAAGAUUAAUUUUCGAUAAUGCUCUUAUCGCUUUUGAAUGUAUGCACUCGUUGAAUAAGUUGAAAGAUUCUCAUGGUGAAUAUUGUGCAUAUAAGGCGGAUCUCGCUAAGGCAUAUGACCGUGUGGACUGGAAUUUCUUGGAAAGUAUGCUUAGAGCGUAUGGUUUUGCUCCUAUUUGUAUUAAGUGGAUUGUGACAUGUGUGUUUCAAUGGCUAGCUGCUAGAGUUUUUUCAUCCUUCGUGUGGGCUUAGGCAGGGGGGGUCUAUUAUCGCUUUACUUAUUCCUCUUUGUGGUUGAAGCCCUUUCGUUGUUACUAAAUGAUGCAUUGACAAGAUGGGUUAUCCAAGAUAUCCAGCUGAACAGACAUGCUCCAGGUAUCUCCCAUUUAUUAUUUGAUGAUGAUAGUCUCUUAUUUUUUAAGGGUUAUGUGGAGCAUGUUUUAGCCCUUAAAGGUAGUUUGACGGCUUAUUUUGACAUCAUUUAUCUUAAUUUUACUUCAUCCUUGUUGUCUAAUUGUAUGGCUAGGGUUUUCAAAGUUAAGGGUAUUACAUUUGGGGAUUGAAUUGUUGCGAUUUGACAAUUUCUUUGGGUGAUUCACAUCUAUUUGAAUUAUUUAUCGACCACGCUUGAAGCCAGUAAGAUAGAACGAUGAAUAAGCUUAACUUGGUAACCGUACGGAUUAAUCAAUAUGCUUUUAUUUAGUGUUUUGAUUAUUACAAUGUAAGCAUUAUUACACAAUAUGUUGUUUUGUUUAUUUUGUAUGCAAUCAAGAUCUAUUGUCUUAUGUUCCGUUGCUGAUCAUAUUUGUUUUAUUGGUUCGAGUUUCUUAUGCUUUAUUGUUCAAUUUUACAUGAUCAACUAGUAUUGCAAGUGUCCCCACAUAAAAAACUAGUAUUUCAAGUGAAACACUUAAUUUUGGUUAAAUUUCUUAGCGACUUGUCAUUAGCUUUGACAACUCUUGUUAUUAGCUUUCCAUCAAGCUUGAUUUUGGUAAAAUCAGAGUUCAUUUGCAGGAGUUAUGGCAGAUUUGGUCUUACAUGUUUUCCUCAUCCGGUUGUACCGCUCGUGGGCGAGGUUGUAUCGGAAUGGCUAGUAAUUCCGGUGCAACCACUUCCCGAUGGGUGAUUCCCUCAGGUGAAUAGUGCUCUAGGUAGUGGUAAAGUGGUCAUACCGCUGUCUCUCUCGAUGUUGUAACCGCCACGGGCCUUGCCACUACACGAGUACUAGGCGGUGGUUGUACUAGGCCAAGUAUCACCCCAACCACCGGAGCUGGGUGACUUCGUUCUGAUGGGUGGGUGGUGGUUGGCGGUGGUGGCUCGGUUGUUACAGAUGGCAUGUCCACACCGGUACAACGGGUGGUCCUGGAGCGGUUCUAUCGCCCAUGACUUAACCAUCGUACGGGAUUUGGCCCGACGGUUGUACCGGCCCUAGUACCAACACUUGUACCACUAGCGGGUGACACUGUUCGGGUACCAGUGCGUUACUUGACGAUGAUUGUCCGGUUAUCGCAGCUGAGAUUCACUCAGUGGUACUACCGUCAGCUUCUAUGGUUGUACCGCCUGGUAUCCUGCAACUCGGAAACUGCAGAAAGCGGUUGUACCGGUCAUUGGACCAGUUGCACCGCUCCUGUGUAAAUCUGCAACAUAACAGGGAGAUUCGUCGGGGCCUAUAAAAGGGGGUCUUCUUCCCCAUUGCCUCCAAUGUUUUUUUGGCAAGUUUUUCCUCACCAUUCUUGACCUCCUCGAGCUUGCUUUAUCUCUAUUCCUUCCAUAAUCUAGAUAUAUAUUUUCGCCAAUCCAUCUCUCCUAUAAACGAGGGGACCCUUUUGAUCUAGAUCUUGGAGUUCUUUUAUGUUGGCCUUGUUCUUCCUCUCAUAUUCCUCCAUAGCUUUUGUUGCUUUGGUAGAAUUUGAAAGUGAGGGACUUGACCACUUCAUAUGUUCUUGCAAUUGCAUUAGUUGCAUCGGUUUGAGUUCUCCACGGUGAUACAUGGAAGUGGAAGGUUGAGAAGCUUAUUACUUUUUGGUGUUUGAGCACCCUAGAGCUUCUACCUCUUGGGUGCUUGGACACCCUAGACGGUUGGUGGUGUCGCGAAGCUCAAUUAUUGUGGCGUAAAGCUCUGUACAAGUUUUGGGGUCUCCGAUUAAGUUAUGGAUAUUGCCCGAGAAAUUUGUACGAGUUCAAUGACCGCCCCAAGCAUUGCCAAUUGUAAGGGUUCGGUGACCGCCCCAAGGGUCACUGUUUGUAUGGGUCAGGUGACCGCCCUCAAGGCCUAAUGGAAUCACGACACCUUGCAUUAUGUGAGGGAGUGAGGAGAAUAUGGUGAUACUAGUGGUAUUUUCGGAAGCAUUGUGUCUCUCACCACUCUAAUGGAGAUUAGCAUCAGCAAGGAUAUAAACUUUGCGAUACAUCGUCGUCUUCACGUGGCUCGGUUAUCUUUUACCCGAUCCCUUUACUUAUGCACUUACUUUGUGAUAACUAUAGUGAUUCAUGGUACAUAUCUUGGCCGGGGACGAAUACGAGAUCAUUGAAUUUCUUGACACCUACCAAAAGAUUGAAAACAAUGCUUCACACUAUCAGAUCCGUCAUGAUCUUGUUGAGCAUCAGUGGCAACUCUAUGGAAGAUAGACUCUCAUUUUAAUUUGAACAAUUUGUUGUUGUAUUUGUGUGAUAUUUGAACAAUUUGUUAUUGUAUUUUUGUGAGAUUCAAACAAUUUGUUAUUGUAAUAACUAUUUGAAUUUCAACAUUUGUUGUAAUAAAGAUGAUUGUUCUAUUGUGAAUUGCCCUUCGGAUCAUUUCAUUAUUUUAUAUUGUGAUUCUAUUCGGUUUGUAUCGUCGAAAAUCAAGAAUUUGCAAAUCUCUGAAAAAUUUGUAGUAUUGCGAGGCCUUUGAUAGGGAACAGAUCCUUUAAACUCGCCCCGUAGAAAAUUAGCGGUACAAGUAUACACGACCUAUUCCGCCGAAGGUCUCACGGUUCCGUGAUUUUUUUAUAGGUCUCUCGUAAAUGACUUUUGUGAGACGUAGCGUAACCAGAUCUGCUAGGAUGUGUUCAAUUGUCAUUCGUGAAGUUGCAUGCACUGCAUGUGUUGGUGAGUUGGGCAUGGCUGAGUGGAAACACGGUAAAACCAAUAUGUGCACCUCGAUUUGUUGUUCGCAUUGUGCAUUAGGGGAUAGGUUUUGGAACGGUGUUUGGUGUCAUGCAUUGUAUCGGCACAUGUAAUUACACGGUGUUUGGUUGUAUAGACGUGAUAUGAUUAAGAGUUAAUAGUUACACAUAACAAACACUGUUACACAGUGCCAUGGCGAUUGCGAUGGACGAUGGUGGCGAUGAAGCGGUUCGGUGGUGUUGGGUUUGCGCUCGGCUGUGGCUGCAAGGACCCAAGGCCAUGACGGCCACGACAACAGGGGCGGCCUCCUCGUCCCCGCGCUCUGGCACAAAUACGUCAACAGUGACCACGACCACGUCAUGCAGGGCGGGGACUCACCGGUCGGCAUCGACGUCCAUGGGCACGCUCACCAUGCCCUUCGCCCCCUCCUCCUUCCUAUGGGAGGAUGACGACACCAACGAGGCAGCUGCACCUUCUCGUCGGCGUCGUACCCGAGCACCAAUGUGCGGCCCAGCGAGAUGCACACCGCCAUCAGCUCGAACCGGGAGCUCCCGCUCAUGUGCAUCAAGCAGGGGCUGAGUGGCACCGAGGCGCAGAUCCGACUUGCCAUCUUCACGACCAACAAGCUGAAGGAGAAGACAGAGAGUAAGUUGCUCAAGUCUCUUGGCUUCAUGUGAAACCCGUUGGAGCCGCUCCAGAACACGGAGACCGAGGAGGAUAAAUCAAAGAACAAAGAGGAUGAGAAGCGCUCGUUGACACCACAUCUGAAGCAUUUAGGGUCGAAGAAACUACGAAUCGGUCGGAACCAUAACAUCGCUGUGCAUCUUUUCGUCUAGAGUUUAUUUCGAACUGAAACAUCGUUGUGUAGAUUAGGAGGGACAAGGAAGAAAGGGGUUAGGGAGGAGCUUAAUGAAGGUAGAAGAAGAUAGCACGUACAGACUCUAUACUAGCUCCGCGGAAAUUGUCGAUUUAAGCGUUUCCAAUAGGCCUGACUGGAAGUUGCUUUAAUGUUCGUGUCAUGCGGGCCAAAUAGUGAACACUACCAAACAAUUCAUUUCCACCCCCUGGAGAUUUUUUUAACACUGUCCCUUAGGUCCCGAUUCAUUAAAAAGAUUGAGGAGAAUUGUUUGGUUAACUAUUGGAAAACCGAAAGAAAACCGUCACAACAUGCCAGCAAAAACAUGGCACAAAGGGCGACCUCGCAACCCACACAGAAGCGCACACAAACCGCUAUGGAGAAAAGAUCAUCAAGGCUGCAACCCGAUGUCAUCGUCAUCACGCCUCCACGAGGGCGACUCUGACUCCACCAUCGACGACCAUCGAAGAAGCCCUCACCGCGGACAAGCGUCGAGGCCCGCGUCGGUCAAAGCCAAACAAUCAGCCACACGCGCCGCCGACUAGGCAGCUCCGACUCUUUCGAUGAGCAUUGUCGGGGAAAACCGUUGGGCUUGCGCCGAGCCAGCGCCAAAGCCGACCACCCGUAUCGUAUCAUCUUCAUUGCAAGGGACCCUCCUCAACAGCUCUGACUUCAUGAAGACAAAAGCGAGGCACAGCGAUCCCUCGAACAUGCUGGAAGAGACCGACUACCAAGAACCAUCAGCAAGCCAGCUCUGCCUGAAGCCAAAAUUCUUGCCACACAAGAAGCCGCGCAGAACAAACACAUCGCCAGACGAGCACCUGCCUACUGCAAUGCCGCGAGUGUCCAGACCAUGGAGCGUGCAAACGGGAUCCGGAGCUCUUCAAGACGAUGCCCCAAGGAGGGAAGCGACGAUGUCGACACCGUCGCUCGACCCUGACGGGCCUUAGGCUUUCACCCGAAGACGAGAUCCGAGGGUGUGGAGGAUACGGGGCUCCACAAUGAUGCCUGCAAGAAGGUUAUUCGACGCCCACAGACGCUGACGCCGUCGGCCCGAGACCGGGCAAGCUUUCGCUGGGAGCAAUCCAACACCAGAGCCACCCCCACGCACAACACCUCCGCUGACCCACCCCCUCUCGCAGAGCCACUACGUCGGAAGCACUGGAGAGCCACCGAGCUACACCCAUCCCCGUCGACCAUACAUCGACGAGCCAGAUCCGGCCAGAUCUGGAAUCCCACCACCGCAAGGCCAACGGGAGCCAACAAGGCUAGCGCGCAACCGGCCCGCGCGAGGACACGCCCACGGAGCAGUGAGGGGGCGAACCCGCCUCUACAUGCUGAAGAAGAGCGCGUUACUUGACGAUGAUUGUCCGGUUAUCGCAGCUGAGAUUCACUCAGUGGUACUACCGUCAGCUUCUAUGGUUGUACCGCCUGGUAUCCUGCAACUCGGAAACUGCAGAAAGCGGUUGUACCGGUCAUUGGACCAGUUGCACCGCUCCUGUGUAAAUCUGCAACAUAACAGGGAGAUUCGUCGGGGCCUAUAAAAGGGGGUCUUCUUCCCCAUUGCCUCCAAUGUUUUUUUGGCAAGUUUUUCCUCACCAUUCUUGACCUCCUCGAGCUUGCUUUCUCUCCAUUCCUUCUAUAAUCUAGAUAUAUAUUUUCGCCAAUCCAUCUCUCCUAUAAAUGAGGGGACCCUUUUGAUCUAGAUCUUAGAGUUCUUUUAUGUUGGCCUUGUUCUUCCUCUCAUAUACCUCCAUAGCUUUUGUUGCUUUGGUGGAAUUUGAAAGUGAGGGACUUGACCACUUCAUAUAUUCUUGCAAUUGCAUUUGUUGCACCGAUUUGAGUUCUCCACGGUGAUAAUGGAAGUGGAAGGUUGAGAAGCUUAUUACUUUUUGGUGUUUGAGCACCCUAGAGCUUCUACCUCUUGGGUGCUUGGACACCCUAGACGGUUGGUGGUGUCGCGAAGCUCAAUUAUUGUGGCGUAAAGCUCUGUACAAGUUUUGGGGUCUCCGAUUAAGUUAUGGAUAUUGCCCGAGAAAUUUGUACAAGUUCAAUGACCGCCCCAAGCAUUGCCAAUUGUAAGGGUUCGGUGACCGCCCCAAGGGUAACUGUUUGUAUGGGUCAGGUGACCGCCCUCAAGGCCUAAUGGAAUCACGACACCUUGCAUUAUGUGAGGGAGUGAGGAGAAUAUGGUGAUACUAGGGGUAUUUUCGGAAGCAUUGUGUCUCUCACCACUCUAAUGGAGAUUAGCAUCAGCAAGGAUAUAAACUUUGCGAUACAUCGUCGUCUUCGCGUGGCUCGGUUAUCUUUUACCCGAUCCCUUUACUUAUGCACUUACUUUGUGAUAACUAUAGUGAUUCAUGGUACAUAUCUUGGUCGGGGACGAAUACGAGAUCAUUGAAUUUCUUGACACCUACCAAAAGAUUGAAAACAAUGCUUCACACUAUCAAAUCCGUCAUGAUCUUGUUGAGCAUCAGUGGCAACUCUAUGGAAGAUAGACUCUCAUUUUAAUUUGAACAAUUUGUUGUUGUAUUUGUGUCAUAUUUGAACAAUUUGUUAUUGUAUUUUUGUGAGAUUCAAACAAUUUGUUAUUGUAAUAACUAUUUGAAUUUGAACAUUUGCUGUAAUAAAGAUGAUUGUUCUAUUGUGAAUUGCCCUUCGGAUCAUUUGAUUAUUUGAUAUUGUGAUUCUAUUCGGUUUAUAUCGUCGAAAAUCAAGAAUUUGCAAAUCUCUGAAAAAUUGUAGUAUUGCGACGCCUCUGAUAGGGAACAGAUCCUUUAAACUCGCCCCGUAGAAAAUUAGCGGUACAAGUAUACACGACCUAUUCCGCCGAAGGUCUCACGGUUCCGUGAUUUUUUUAUAGGUCUCUCGUAAAUGACUUUUGUGAGACGUAGCGUAACCAGAUCUGCUAGGAUGUGUUCAAUUGUCAUUCGUGAAGUUGCAUGCACUGCAUGUGUUGGUGAGUUGGGCAUGGCUGAGUGGAAACACGGUAAAACCAAUAUGUGCACCUCGAUUUGUUGUUCGCAUUGUGCAUUAGGGGAUAGGUUUUGGAACGGUGUUUGGUGUCAUGCAUUGUAUCGGCACAUGUAAUUACACGGUGUUUGGUUGUAUACACGUGAUAUGAUUAAGAGUUAAUAGUUACACAUAACAAACACUGUUACACAGUGCCAUGGCGAUUGCGAUGGACGAUGGUGGCGAUGAAGCGGUUCGGUGGUGUUGGGUUUGCGCUCGGCUGCGGCUGCAAGGACCCAAGGCCAUGACGGCCACGACAACAGGGGCGGCCUCCUCGUCCCCGCGCUCUGGCACAAAUACGUCAACAGUGACCACGACCACGUCAUGCAGGGCGGGGACUCACCGGUCGGCAUCGACGUCCAUGGGCACGCUCACCAUGCCCUUCGCCCCCUUCUCCUUCCUAUGGGAGGAUGACGACACCAACAAGGCAGCUGCACCUUCUCGUCGGCGUCGUACCCGAGCACCAAUGUGCGGCCCAGCGAGAUGCACACCGCCAUCAGCUCGAACCGGGAGCUCCCGCUCAUGUGCAUCAAGCAGGGGCUGAGUGGCACCGAGGCGCAGAUCCGACUUGCCAUCUUCACGACCAACAAGCUGAAGGAGAAGACAGAGAGUAAGUUGCUCAAGUCUCUUGGCUUCAUGUGAAACCCGUUGGAGCCGCUCCAGAACACGGAGACCGAGGAGGAUAAAUCAAAGAACAAAGAGGAUGAGAAGCGCUCGUUGACACCACAUCUGAAGCAUUUAGGGUCGAAGAAACUACGAAUCGGUCGGAACCAUAACAUCGCUGUGCAUCUUUUCGUCUAGAGUUUAUUUUGAACUGAAACAUCGUUGUGUAGAUUAGGAGGGACAAGGAAGAAAGGGGUUAGGGAGGAGCUUAAUGAAGGUAGAAGAAGAUAGCACGUACAGACUCUAUACUAGCUCCGCGGAAAUUGUCGAUUUAAGCGUUUCCAAUAGGCCUGACUGGAAGUUGCUUUAAUGUUCGUGUCAUGCGGGCCAAAUAGUGAACACUACCAAACAAUUCAUUUCCACCCCCUGGAGAUUUUUUUAACACUGUCCCUUAGGUCCCGAUUCAUUAAAAAGAUUGAGGAGAAUUGUUUGGUUAACUAUUGGAAAACCGAAAGAAAACCGUCACAACAUGCCAGCAAAAACAUGGCACAAAGGGCGACCUCGCAACCCACACAGAAGCGCACACAAACCGCUAUGGAGAAAAGAUCAUCAAGGCUGCAACCCGAUGUCAUCGUCAUCACGCCUCCACGAGGGCGACUCUGACUCCACCAUCGACGACCAUCGAAGAAGCCCUCACCGCGGACAAGCGUCGAGGCCCGCGUCGGUCAAAGCCAAACAAUCAGCCACACGCGCCGCCGACUAGGCAGCUCCGACUCUUUCGAUGAGCAUUGUCGGGGAAAACCGUUGGGCUUGCGCCGAGCCAGCGCCAAAGCCGACCACCCGUAUCGUAUCAUCUUCAUUGCAAGGGACCCUCCUCAACAGCUCUGACUUCAUGAAGACAAAAGCGAGGCACAGCGAUCCCUCGAACAUGCUGGAAGAGACCGACUACCAAGAACCAUCAGCAAGCCAGCUCUGCCUGAAGCCAAAAUUCUUGCCACACAAGAAGCCGCGCAGAACAAACACAUCGCCAGACGAGCACCUGCCUACUGCAAUGCCGCGAGUGUCCAGACCAUGGAGCGUGCAAACGGGAUCCGGAGCUCUUCAAGACGAUGCCCCAAGGAGGGAAGCGACGAUGUCGACACCGUCGCUCGACCCUGACGGGCCUUAGGCUUUCACCCGAAGACGAGAUCCGAGGGUGUGGAGGAUACGGGGCUCCACAAUGAUGCCUGCAAGAAGGUUAUUCGACGCCCACAGACGCUGACGCCGUCGGCCCGAGACCGGGCAAGCUUUCGCUGGGAGCAAUCCAACACCAGAGCCACCCCCACGCACAACACCUCCGCUGACCCACCCCCUCUCGCAGAGCCACUACGUCGGAAGCACUGGAGAGCCACCGAGCUACACCCAUCCCCGUCGACCAUACAUCGACGAGCCAGAUCCGGCCAGAUCUGGAAUCCCACCACCGCAAGGCCAACGGGAGCCAACAAGGCUAGCGCGCAACCGGCCCGCGCGAGGACACGCCCACGGAGCAGUGAGGGGGCGAACCCGCCUCUACAUGCUGAANNNNNNNNNNNNNNNNNNNNNNNNNNNNNNNNAGCGGUUGGCCAGAAGACCAGAGCCCGCCGACGAAGAUGCCACAGCUGCCACCCUCGAGAGCCACUGCUCGGAGCCGUCGCGCCGUAGAAAAACAACUGGGAAAAGCCCAGCUGGCCCCCGACAAAGUAAAUGCAUCGCCUGGAUCCGGCACGCCACAGAAGGGAUCGAGCCUCCCCACCCCGAGCUCCCGCGGUCGGACGGGAUGUUCUAAGGUGGUAAAAAACUUCUAUACUCAAGGCAAAGACUUCAAUGUUAUCCCUAACAUGGCAUGUAGUAGUAGCAAACACUAUCUAGGUGAUCGUUGUCCUAUGCUCUCAAAGCUAGGCAUUCUGAAUAUCAAACAUCGUAAAAUCAUAUUUGUAAAUUGUGUGCUUGAGAUCGAUGAUGAACGCGCCUUUGGCGCAACCACUUUGUUAAAAGAAAAAAGUAGUAGUACACAGUGUUCAAGAAUUGAUUCGAUUAAUCAGUUAAUUGGUCGGUAAAUUAUUAUUUCAGAGGUGGGCCGAAUCGAACAACACAUAUUCAUCGUGUUAACUUGUCAAGCUGAUUACAUGGCAUGUCACACCGAUUAAAUGGUUUCUUAGACUGAUUAAUCGGUUUUUAGUCUGAUUAAUCGAUGUUGGCUCGCUAACUCAUGGGCAAACAAAGAUAGGUUAUUUGUCCUAUAAACCCUCUAAGCCCCACCUGCUUCUAAAGAGCUAGGAUUUACCCCUCCACUCGCCCCUCCCGCUCCUCCCAUCUUUUCCCGACCGAGGUGGCGGUUGUCAGGGUCCUCGUCGGCGCGUCGCUGCUUCUCCUUCUCCCCUGUGUGUCACUGCUUUCUCUUCUUCCUCUGCAUGCUACUAUUUUCGCUCCUGCUUAGCGACCUACCACCUCCAGCAACCGACCCCUUUUAGAGCCAUAAGUUUUCAUCGUCACCUUUUCUUUGUCUGCCGCUGUCGCGUGGCCCCAUCUCUUGGAGUUGCGGGCUAGGUGGAAACUAGCACAAAAGUGUUAUUGUAUACAUGUGUGUUGAUGAUUUUUAUGCCCACAUGGAUGAUUAUUAUUGUACACAUUUUUGUCAUCGAUUGAGAAAAAAAAGUGUCAACUACUUCAUAUUUGCAAUGUUGAUUCUUUUACCAUACAAAAUUUGCUUCUAUUGAGUUUUAAAUUACACUAAUUAAUGAUCAACCAAUUAAUCCAGUUAAAUAGACCGACUUAAGAUUAAUCUCUACUUCCAAUCCGAGCGAACAUCUAUGAGAUAACGAUUUCCUCAACAACAUUGGUAGUACGUACAGGUAUCUGAUAGAUCCUACAGAUCGACUAGGGUAGAUGGGUCACGGUAGAUCACAUGUAAUUACCUUGUCCGGAGCCGACCGUUCUCCAUCGGUGUGGUGGUGACGGCGGUGAUGGAGAAAGGGGGUUAGGCAUGGGUGGAGCUUCCCAUGAGCACCGCGCUUAACCUAGAUCGGAUAGGUGUGUCGGUAGGGGUGUGACGGCGGCGAAUCUCGUAGUUCGUGCCCCGGCACCCCACCGUCCUUUAUAUAGCGCGGGUCACAGGGGCCCACCAACCAUAAUGGGUUGGGCGCCCCCGAUCAGGGCACAUAGAUCAAGGCCCGGUGGGCCGUUGGGCCCACGCGAUGAGAGAUCAACCUAACAUUCUCCCCCUUGAUCUCGACUUUUACUUUUGACUUUAUACUUGUCAUUUGUCCCAUCACAUAUAAGCAUGUAGAGCAUGUCUCAUCGUCACAACUCAAUUGCUGAUAGAAUCAUACAGCUACAACACACUUUUGUUUUAAAACAAAUUCAUUUACUUUUGGGCCUCUUUUAAUCCAGGAAUCAUAGGCUUUCCAACAAACCCAUGUCGGCUAAGUGUUCCUUGAACACACUGGGUGGUAAGCCUUUCGUUAGCGGAUCCGCAAGCAUAUACCAUGUACUUAUAUGCUCGAGACUUAUAGUUUGAUCCUGGAUUUUAUCUUUCACAAUGUAAUACUUUAUAUCUAUCGUCUUGGAAGCAUUACUAGACUUGUUGUUGUGAGCAUAGAAUACUACGGGCUGGUUGUCACAGUAUAUCUUUACUGGCUUGUGAAUACAAUCCACCACUUUCAAAUCGGGUAUGAAUUUCUUUAACCAUAUCACCUGCCCGGUGGCUUCAAAACAUGCUAUGAACUCUGCUUGCAUCGUGGACGAUGCAACUAUGGUCUGUUUGGAGCUUUUCCAUGAAAUAGCCCCCCCUGCGAGAGUGAACACGUACCCACACGUGGAUUUUCUAUCAUCUCUAUCUCCCGCAAAAUCUGCGUCUGAGUACCCUUUUAUCUCUAGGGACUCAGAUCUCGUGUAUGUUAGCAUGAUUUCUUUUGUGCCUUGCACAUAACGCAGAGCUUUCUUUGCCAUCUUCCAGUGCUCUUGGCCUGGAUUUGCUUGAUAUCUACCGAGUACCCCGGUGAUAAAUGCCAAGUCAGGGCGUGUGCACACUUGUGCAUACUGUAAACUUCCAACAGCCGAAGUAUACGGUAUUGUUUUCAUUUCAUCGAGCUGGUACUUAUUCUUGGGACAUUAGUGAUUCCCAAAACUAUCACCCUUGACUAUUGGAGCAGGCGUGGCUUUACAUUUGUGCAUAUUAUACUUUUGGAGAACUUUCUCUAAAUAUGCUUUCUGUGAAAGUCCUAAGACUCCAUUUUUCCUGUCUCGGUGAAUUUCAAUGCCCAAAACAUAUGAUGCAUCGCCAAGGUCUUUCAUGUCAAAGUUCGAGGAUAAAAACUUAUUUGUCUCUUGUAGUAAACUAAUACCAUUGCUUGCAAGCAAGAUAUCAUCCACAUACAAGAUUAGGAAAAUAUAUUUCCCAUGUUUAAACUUUGCAUAAAUGCAAUUAUCCUCAACAUUUUCUUGAAAUCCAAACCUUUUAAUAGUAUCAUUAAACUUUAUGUACCACUGUCUAGAGGCUUGUCUUAGCCCAUAAAUGGAUUUCUUUAGGCGGCAUCCCAUGUUUUCCUUGCCUUCCAUGAUAAAACCCUUGGGUUGUUUAAUGUAGACAUCUUCUUCUAAAUCUCCGUUUAGAAAUGUCGUCUUUACAUCCAUUUGAUGCAGCUCUAAAUCAAAAUGAGCAACUAGUGCCAUUAUGAUUCUGAAGGAAUCCUUACAAGAGACUGGAGAAAAAGUCUCAUUGUAAUCUAUUCCUUCUCUUUGCGUGAAUCCUUUUGCCACAAGUCGGGAUUUAUACUUAUCAACAUUCCCAUUAGAGUCAUACUUCGUUUUGUAUACCCAUUUGCAGCCUACUGUCUUUGCUCCUUUAGGAAUGAUCUCUAAGUCCCAAACAUUAUUGGAACUCAUCGAUUUCAUUCUCUAAGUCCCAAACAUUAUUGGAACUCAUCGAUUUCAUCUCAUCUUCCAUUGCCUCUAGCCAUUUUGGUGAGUGAGGGCUUUUAAUGGCUUCUUCGUAUGUGGUGGGAUCACCAUCCAUAUGAACCAUUUCCGUGUUAUAGACUUUAUAAUCAGUAGAAAUAGCAGGUCUUCUUGUUCUAUCAGACCUUCUAAGUGCCUCAUUGUCUGGCACACUUUUUACUUUUUCUUGCUGCAAUUCCCUUGUAUGAUCAACAACGGGUUCGGUCGGCUCCUGAAGGACAGGUUCUGGGUCUUCUUCCAUAGUUGUCAUCGUUGGAGUCAUAGCUGGUAGCGAGAAAAAUGGCUCUUGAAUCAUCGGAAUGGGUGCAUGCACCCUUUUCUCCUCAAGAUCAAUUUUUCGAGCUACCAUGCUCCCCCUCAUCAUUUGUCUUCUAAGAAGACAGCAUGUCUCGUUUCUACAAACUUUGUGAAUCUGUCUGGACAGUAGAAACGAAAACCUUUUGAUCUAUCAGGGUAGCCAAUGAAAUGGCAACUCACUGUCUUUGGAUCUAACUUUCCAAUGUUUGGAUUAAACAUUUUGGCCUCAGCUGGACAUCCCCACACUCUGAAGUGUUGCAGGGAUGCCACUCUUCCUGUCCACAGCUCGUGCGGUGUUUUGGGCACCGACUUGCUUGGUACUCUGUUGAGAAUGUGAAUGGCGGUUUUAAGCGCUUCCAUCCACAAUCCCAAUGGCAUGUCGGAGUAGCUCAUCAUGUCGCGCACCAUAUCCAUGAGGGUACGGUUGCGCCUUUCAGCUACUCCAUUUUGCUGAGGCUCGCCCGACAUUGAAUACUGGGUGACAAUGCCAGUCUCCUGCAAGAACUUUGCAAAAGGUCCAGGGACUUGGCCAUAUGGUGUGUGUCGACCGUAGUACUCCCCCCACGGUUGGACCUCACAAUCUUAAUCUUUUUGUCAAGCUGAUUUUCAACUUCAGCUUUGAAUAUCUUGAAUUUAUCCAAUGCCUCAUUUCUUUCUUUGAUUGGAUAAAUGUAACCGAAGCGGGAGUAAUCGUCUGUGAAUGUUAUGAAUGAAUCAUAACCAUCCACACUUUUCAUAGGAAACGGUCCACAAAUAUCAGUGUGGAUUAUUUCCAGUGUUCCCGUGCUUCGGUUUGCACCUUUCUUUAUCUGUUUUACAUAUUUUCCUUUAAUGCAAUCUACGCAUUGCUCUAAGUCAGAGUACUCCAAUUUUGGAAGAAUUUCGCUUUUGAUUAACCUUUCUAUUCUCCCCCUGGAAAUAUGGCCCAAUCGACAGUGCCAUAGUUUUGAGGAGUUGUGAGUUCUCUUUCUUUUCUUUUGCUCGUUGUUCGACGAAGAACUUGGCACAUUCACAUUAUUUGCAUAAUUCACUUUAUCAUGAAUUGAUAACAAAUAAAGCUUAUCAUGAAGAAAGGCAUUGCCUACAUAAUCAUUAUUGUAUCACACGGUACAUUUACCAUGUCCAAAAACACAUUGAUAAUUGUCUUUGUCUAAGCACGACACACUUAUUAAGUUCCUAUUACAUGAAGGCACAAAAAGAACAUCACUAAGCAGAAGCGUGAAUCCUUCGGUUAGCUCCAAGGAGACGUCACCUACAGCUUCAACUUCUGCUUGGACACCAUUCGCGACUUCAAUACUUCUUUCGUUUUGGCACAUGAUCCUCGUCGAACUGAAACCCUGUAAAGAGUUUGCAACAUGAACAGUUGCACCUGAGUGAAUCCACUAAGUAGAUUUUGAAAACUUUACAUACAGAGAUUCAUUUACUAAGGAAACAAUAAAGUUACUUCUCUUUGCCAUGAAGACCUUUAGCCAGGCAGCACAGUCCUUCUUGUAGUGCCCGGUUUUCUUGUAGUACAUACAAGUGUCCUUGUCUACUGUUAUUGGCUUUGGCUGAUAAUAGACGGGAGCCUUGCCUUGGAGCUUGUUCUGUGGUUGGAGGGAGAAUUCAGAUUAGGUGGGAAAACCUUUUUCUUUUCCUUCACAUAGUUAAGGGAGACACCAUGUGAAGCCUUAAUCCUCUCCUCCUCUUGUGAGCACAUUGCGAUGACCUUUUCAAUAUCCCAAGUCUCGGGCUGCAUGUUGUAGUUGACUACAAAGGUCUCGAACUCCUUAGGCAACGAAGCCAUGACCAGGUGGACGAGGAGAGUUGGCUUAAUCUCCAAGUCCGCGUCCAUCGGCUUAAGCUUGGCUGCGGUGUUGCUCAUCCUGAGGAUGUGCUCCCUUAUGCCAUGCCCACCUCCAUUAUAGCUCUCUGUCACCAGUUGUUUGAUCAAGUGGGUGGCAUAGGUCUUAGAAGAGCCACUAAACUGACUCUUUAUCUUGUUGAGCAUCUCCUUUGCGGUAGGGCACUCUGCUACCGAGCCCAAGAUAGUGGUCUCAAUAGUGUUCUUAAUAAACGCCAAACAUUUCUUGUUGGCAUUUAUCCAUAACCUAUUACGUAUAGAGUAGGACAUGUCCUCUUUGCCACAAUCCCAUUGCUUUUUCUCCCAGCUUUCAUCAUCCUCGUCAGCAUCUCUGACUGGUUCUGUUGGUGCAACUGGUUGUGGUUCCUCCAGAACCCAGUCCACCUCAGUAAUGCACAAAGCCAUAUCAACCUUCUUUCUCCACUCAGAGUAAUUAUUCCCUCUAAGCGUGGGAACAUCCUUGAGGCAGCUCAUCAGAUGAAAACCACCUACAAUCACCAAAUGAACGAAAUCAGUAUGACAAUUAUAUGCAUUAAAUAACGUUGGUUAAAAUAAUCAUACAAUUGUCCAUGCAAAUAAAUCCACAUUACCAUUGGGCAAAUGAUAGAAAUAAAAGCAUCCUUUGGCAAUAUGCAACAUGACCAUGUCAUUAAUCAACGUCGGUCAGAAUAAUAGCAUGACCAUAUUCCAUAUUGCAUAUAGCAGCGGAAAGCGUGAAAUAAAAAAUCAUAUGCCAUUUUAACUUUGCAGAAAAUUAAUUCUGUUAUUUAAAAUAAAAUUCGUGAACUUUAUAACUCAGUUAAUAAAGAUCACUUAUUUUUCCUUCUCUGAAAAACUAUUUUAUUCUCAGAAAUCUUUUUUACUUUUCUUUUCAGAAAAAUAAAAUAACAAUUCUGUCAUAAUUGACAGAAAUUUGAACAUUUUCUAAUCAUGUUUUCAUAGGAAAUUUUUUUCCUAGAAAAAACUUUUUAAAUAUGCCUAAAGACAGAACCUGAAAAUCCUUUAAAUAAAGGAAAAUGGCCGAGGCCUCUUUCUCCCUUGGGCCGGCUUCGGCCUGGCGCCUCCUCCCGCCGGCCCGCUCGGUUCGGCCUGGGGCCACCUGCCGCGGCACGACGCUGCUCACUGUAGGCGGGCCGGCCUUCAGCCAUGGCCUGGCAGGCCCAACUGGCCCGACACUGCCUAGGGUUAGCACAAGGGGGGAUCCCAGCCGUCCAGAUGGAUCCGACGGUCCCCCGUGCUCCUCGCUAUGAACAAAAGGGGUGAACCCGGCUAGAGGGAGAAACCCUAAGGCAUUUCCCCCCAGCCCGCCGCUCUCCCUCUCGGAUAUCUCGUCCCCGUCGCCCUGGCCUACCGAGCACGUCGCCCACCCCGCUCGCGAGAUGAGCCGCAGCUCCGGUCGCCGGUGUCGGCAACGAGAGCGGCCGCGCAUCUCGCGCUCGCCCUUCUUGCCUGCUCGCCUCGGCCUCUUUCUCUCCUGCGGAAUCUCGCCCCACGCGCUCUCUCCUCUGGCCGUGGCGGUUGCGAGGUGGAGGUGGCCGCCGGCCGUGGCGACCAUGGGUCCCGUGCCGCGCGUGCUUUGCACUCCACCCCCUUCCCAUGGCGGUUCCUUGAGUGACGUGGUGGCCGAGGCCUUUCUUUCUCCUGAGUCCGCCCCCUAUUACUGCUUGCCGGGGUCGUGGCCUUCCCCUCGUCGGCUGCGCACACACCUUGCGAUGGGUGCGCCGCCGUCGAGCGGUCCGCUGCGGCCCCUUCGUUUUCCUUUUCUUGUCUCAAGAGAGAGAGUGACGGCAUGACCGGGGCGGAAAGCAUCUUUAUUGCCACCCCCCUCGCCUGUGGCGCAUCCGCCUUGCGGCGGACGCGCCGCCGUCGAGGGAUUUGGUGAUGAAGUCCUAUGCCCCCGUGGGAAUCCUUGUUUUUCUUUGCAUGUUCCUCUCUCCCUUUCUUUUUUCUUUUCUUUUUCGGAUUCGAUCCGAUUUCCUUCUUUUCGAUUUCGUGUUGGAUUUUGAUCCGAACUUUGCCUCCGAGGAGGUAGGUAUUUCCCCACACCUCGGCUUGCUGAUGCGUGUGGGGAUCGAGAGGAACAGGCGCGGCCUUGCGGCGGCGCUUCUUUCCUGACGAGGCCCAAUACCAUCUUCGGUGCUUGCCCAUCUAGGGUUCAUGUGGGGAGGGAAAUUUUCCUCUUUGGUUUCUUUCACCGAAACACAUCUUAACCUAGUGGCUCAAGAUACCAUUGAUAGAUCCUACGGAUCGACUACGGUAGAUGGGUCACGGUAGAUCACAUGUAAUUACCUUGUCCGGAGCCGGAUGAGCCCGCACCGUUCUUCAUCGGUCUGGUGGCGACGACGGUGAUGGAGAAAGGAGGUUAGGCGUGGGUGAAGCUUCCCGUAAACACCGUGCUUAACCUAGAUCGGAUAGGUAUGUCGGUAGGGGUGUGACGACGACGAAUCUUGUAGUUCGUGCCCGACACCUCCACCGUCAUUUAUAUAACGCGGGUCACAGAGGCCCACCAACCAUAAUGGGUUGGGCGCCUCCGAUCAAGACGCAUAGAUCAAGGCCCGGUGGACCGUUGAGCCCAGAGAUCAAACCUAACAGUAUCGACCUGGGACGAAGAAAAGUAGACCAAACCAGAAACCACAUCGCAUACGAACACGACUCUAAACCACCCCAUACCCAGCCCGAAGCUACGUUUCCGCGACAAUAAACGGCGGCAGUCCAUCGAUUGCUGGACUACCGAACCGAACCAUGAUCCCAUCCAUGCGCCGCGCAAAGCGGCCGCGGCCCCUUGGCGAUCUCCCACGAAACUGGGCGGACCUCGGGGACGGGCCGGCCGGCCUGAUCGCCGAGCUCGCCCUCGCCAACGACGUGGCCGACUACGUCCGCUUCCGGGCCGUGUGCCGGCCGUGGCGCCGGUGCUCGCCGGACCCGUGCGCCGGCGGCCUGAACUAUCGCUUCCUCCCCCGCCGGUGGAUAAUGAUCGACAAGGCUGUUGCCGGGCCUCGCCGCCAUCGCUUCCUCAACGUAUCCACCGGCGAGCGCAUCCAUAUGGACAUAUUGGAGUUUGCCCAGCACAAGCUGCUCGCGCUCACCCCGGAAGGCCUCCUGCUGCUGCUCCACGAGCCCACCCUGGCCGCCCGCCUGCUCAACCCGCUCACGCGCCAGCUCACCGAUCUCCCGCCGGCGACCGCGCUCUUCACACCAGAGCAGCAUCGACAUAGGGCCUUAGGUUUCAAGACGGAGCUUGAUGUGACCGGCGUUGGCCUUUUUGUGGCGGCGGCAACGGCAGACGCGUCCACGGUGUCGGUGGCGAUCAGCUUCUGCCGUCCCAGGGUGAUCGCCGUCGCCAAGCCCGGCGACGAGAGCUGGACCGUCGUCGAGUACGACGAGCACAUGGAUUCGGCCCUGCCUUUUGCGGGCCGCUUCUACUGCGCCACCUGGAAGGGCGUCAUGGUGCUGGACAUGGGCUCAGAUGAGCAGCCGCCACGGCUCCAGAUGGUCGCCGACAGGAGGGAGGCCUUCUUCUUCGUCCAUAUGUCGGAGAGCCUCCACCUGGUGGACAACGGCGGGGAGCUGAUGCUGGUGCACCGGAGGAUGCGGCGCAACCACUACGUUGAGUUUCACAGGCAGUACGAUGCCUACAAGGUGGAUCUGGAAGCCGGGGCCCUGGUCCGGGCCAAGGGCUUCAACGGGCGCGCCGUGUUCAUCGGCAUGCACCGCGCGAUUUCCGUGUCAGCUCAGGCCACCUUUCUCUCUGUCAAAGCCGAUACGGUUUACAAAUGUGGCGUGCGGACGGAGGCGUACAAUAUCGCAGAUGGAAGCAGAUGCGGCCGGAUCACGGAUGCCGAGGUCAACUUUCUAGCCCACUGCAUCCAGGGCGUCGGCAAGCAACUUGCCUGAGCAAAGUCAACUUUUCUUUUCUACCAGAUGUGUGAUGUCCUUUCAUCAUACAUAAUAAAGUAGCAAAAUAGUAUGUUCUGUAAUACCCCUUCCGUCGAGUGCGGACGUUUGGAGCUCGGCCUCCAUGGAGGCCGAAAUUUUUAAAUAAUUCAAAAUUCAAAUUUUUUGGUUUCAAAAAAAUCUGAAAAAAAUAUGGAAGUAAAGAAGGAUGUUAUGCGUAUGUGUGCAAAAAUUUAGGAUGAAAUACCUUGAAAUACGAUCUGCACAAAAAAGACAAAUUCAUGACCUGAAAUGAUGAAUAGUGUCAUGUGUAAAAAAGCCUCAGAUUUGUCUUUUUUGCACAGCCCUCAUUUCAAUGUAUUUUUUUCUGAAAAUUUACACACAUGUGUGUUACGCCUUCACUUAUCCCUGUAUUUUUUUUCAUAAUUUUUUGAAAUGUAAAAAUAUGAAUUUUCAUGAAAUUUGAAUUUCAAAUUUAAAGGCCACCAUGGAGCUCGGCCACCAAAAGCAAUUUCCGCCCUUCCGUCCCAUAAUAUAAAAGAGCAUACAUAAAGUGAGUAUACAUGUAUAUAAAUUUAAGUCAAUUACAUCGAUGGUUAUAGAACUUGGCCUAAACGAUCACUUUAGUGCUAGAGGCUUUCGUAUAUAUGGAACUGGUAGAAAAGCUUGAUUUUGGGUAUGCAAAUACGGUACUAAGCACGUUUGUUCGCGUAAACGCGACGGUUUGCAUAGAAUUGUCAUGCAUUAUGUCUUUUAGCAGAACGUGCUCAUGGCCUAAAACAGACUUUAGUUAGUGUGGCCCAUUUUCAACCUGUUAGCCUUUUCAAAAUUUUAUUAAACAUUUGAGUUAUGAUUUCAAGUAAUAUACAUAUAAAUAAAGUAAAUACAUUAUUAAAACUUUCAUAUAAUUACAUAAAAUGUUGAGGCGUGCUAUGGGUCCACCGGCUAAUGCUUUUAAAAGAUCAACCGGGUCGCAAGCAGUCAAUUCUGCCGCAUCGAGCGGCCAGACAGGUUUUAUUGCAGAAUUCUUUCUGCAAUACACGCCUUGUUGCGGAACUAUUGGUUGCAAUUUUUUCCAACUAAGAACUUGUUGCAGAAAUAAUCUCCAACAGAAAUUUUGUUGAAAAAUAUAGAUCCGCCAUAGACCAUUGCAACAUCGCAUAUAUUUCAGAAGCAUAGCCUAUGUGCGUAAACAUUUCCAAUAAAGGAUGAUGUGUGCGGCCUCACUUUGACGCAUGUCAUGCAAAAAAAGGUGACGGAUGCGUCCGUCGCGAUCCGCCGGACAAUGAUAAGCAUUUUCCUAAAAUGUUCACCUAUUAAAUUAAUAAAAUGCAGAAAUAUAUAAAUUAUGAAUUAUAAUUUUUAUCUAAUUUUUAAAGUGUUUUCAUAUUAAUUAAAACUCUUAAAUGCAUUUCUAUAUGUAAUGAUAUUUAAAUGAAUUAUCAUAUGAGUUUUUUCAUGUUUUCAAUAAAAUAUUCUUCCCUUGGGAUGGGUAUAGCAUAUAAAAGCGUCCAUGCUAUAAAAAUGUUAAGUUGGUUUUAAAGUGUUCAUGUGUUCUUAAUAAUGUUUUCUGUGUUUUCUAAGAAAUAAAUAUACAUUGUUAAAUAAAUAUAAACAUAUGUAUGAAAAAACAAAUAUGGACAUAAUGUACCAUAAGACUGGAGUUCCUCCAAUGAAUACACAUUUAAAAUUAUAUAUGUAUAUUACGUAUAGUUAUAAUUUAUCAUUUUACAAACUUAACAAAAUGAUAAAAAACUAACAUGUUCAAAAUGGGGCGCACUAACUGAUGUCGUUUUAACCCACAAGAACAUUCUGUUGUAGUGACAAUCUAUUGGCAUUUCCUGUUUGGCGUCAGUUAAUGUACACUUUUGUUAACUGGUGCCUGUGGCGUUCGUAAAUGGGCCUGCCCAUCUAGGCGCCGGUUAACGAAUAGUUUUUGUAAAUUCUAUGAACUUUUCUAAAUAUCAAUGAACUUUUUAAAAAAUUUAACGUAUAUCUUUUAAGAUUGAUGAACUUUUCUCUGAAAAUCGGUGAACCAUUUCUAUAAUAUUAAAUUUUAUGAACUCGUCUGAUUAUGUAUGAAUUGUUUUGAAAUUUGAUCAACCUCUUUUUGAAAAUGGAUGAAUUUUUUAUCAAAAUUGAAGAACUUUUCUAAUAUUUACGAACUUUUUAUAAAAAUACAUGAACUUUUUCUGAAUUUCUAUGAACUUUUUUCAGAUUUAAUGAGUAUUUUAAAAUUUUAAUGAACUUUUUCCAACUUGAUUGAACUUUUUUUAAAAUUAAUGAACCUUUUUAAAGAUAUGAACUUUUUUUCAAAUGAAUGAACCUUUUUUUUAUAACUGUAAAGUUUUUUGAUUUCAUAUUUUUAUUUUCGUAACAAAUAGAAAUUCUGGACGUUUUUUCCUACUAGAUCAACAGAAAAAAAUAGACAAAAAAAACUGGACAGCAUGCCUCGUUUGGAAAGGCAGGCCUGUUUACCUUAUGUUGCUGGUUCUAUCCCCGCGACUGCAUCUCUUUUGUUGAAUUCAAUUAUUAAUUUAUGUGUUUUACCCAACGGAUCUAAUGUCUAUGUAUCCAUUUGUGACAAGUGGUGAAAUUCGGAUCAAGCUCGAUGUCCCAUGUUUCAGGCCCGAGAAGAUUCUUUUUUUCUCAAUUGAAAUAAAAACAAUCAAGGUUAUUUUUCGUCGGCUUUUCUAUGAAACAAUUGUGUGAGUGCAUUAUUAUAAGAAUUCAUGUUUUGAAAAUUGGUUGGAAACAUAAAAAAUGGUCCUGCUUUAAAAAAAAUAAUUAUUUUUUAGUACGGUCAUGUUUAAAAAAUUCUUAUUCUUUUUUUGCACAUUUAGAAAAAAAUUCUGGAAUUUCAAAAAUUCUUCCAGUUUUCAAAACAUGGUUUGAAUGUUUUAAAAAAAUUGUUCAUAAUAUUUUUGUUCAAAUUUAUCAGAAGUUUUCUAAUAAUGACCAGGAUUUCAAAAGUGUUCCUAUUUUCAGAACUUUGUUCACAAAUUCAAAAAAGUGUUCUUGUUUUCAAAUUUUAGUUCAUGUAUUGAGAAAUUAUUCGUUUUUCAAAUUUGUUUGGGAUUUUCAGAAUUCUUCUCCAUUCCGAAUAUAUUUUCUAAUAAUUCAAAAUAUGUUCUUUAUUUUUAAACUUUGUUCACAAAUUCAAAAUCUAUUCAUGUUUAUUUCUUUUCUAAAAUUUACGUUUUAGAUUUUGUUCUGAAAACAAGAACAUGCUUAUGUCUUUGCUUCUCCUUUUCUGUUUCUUUUUUACUUUUCAUUUAUAUUUUUAUUGUUUUUAUUGUUCAUUCUUCCAAAAUUGUUCAGUAACUGAAAACAUGUUCAUCCUUUCAAAAAUGUUAAUUUUUAAGAAAAUAGUCGUGAUUCCAAAAAUUUGUUCCUAAAUUCAGAUAUGUUUGCCAGGCAUUUCAAAAAUGCUCUUAUUUUUCAAAAUUGUCCGGGAUUUAAAAAUAUAUUUCUACUCUCGAAAAUUGUUCACAAAUUUCAAUAAAAGUUCUUUAUUUCAAAACAUUUACCAUAUUUUGAUACGGCUUUCUUUUUUUACGUUUUCUCACAAAUUCAUAAAAUGUUCGCAUUUUUUAAAAAUGUUUGAAAGUUUAGAAAAAAGUUUCUGUUUCAAUAUUUUGUUCACCUAAAUAAAAAUGCUCGUAUUUCCAAAAAAAAUCAGAAUUUUCCAAUUGUUCUGCAUCUAAAACGUGUUCCUGUUUUCAAAUUUUCUCAUCAAAUCAAAAAAUAUUCACGUUUUCAAAGCAUAUUCAGGAAUUUUAAAAAAUGUUCACGUUUUCAAAAUGUGCUAAAAUUUUAAAAAAAUGUUUGACUUUUUAAUACAUUCCUCUAUUGUCUGUUCUUUCGUGGUAACCACCUAUCUGGCAGCUUCAGCUCAAGUGGCUAGUUGCAUGUGGUUAGAAGCGUGAGGUCGUGUCUUGAGUCAUCCUAGCGUUGUCAUUUUCUCUGAAUUUUUGUGUCGUAAAAUUUCACACUCAACUUAAUUCGGUUGUACUGGACCCGUCUAGUUGGGGACCCUCUCUGUGGCGCGCACUCCAUUUGCCGCAAUAAGCGGCGUAUAGGAGCUCCCCACUCGCGCGUCCUCGGAGAGCCCAGCCUGGAUGACUCGGUGUCGAAGAUGGGAUAGACGCUAGCCCAUAAAUUGGUCUCAUGACCCAGCCAGGAUCGCCUAAGGCCAACUCCAGCGCAUGACCCCAUCUGGACGUUUAUUUUGUCCGGAGUCUGUUUGUUUUGGACGGACGAUGGGGCCGUGUCUGGGGCAUUUCUGGGAUGCGGUGGCCGUGCACCAGGCAGCACUAUGCUGUACUCCAAGUACGCAGGCGGCGAGUUCAAGGGCGCUGAUGGCACCAAGUACAUUGUGUUGAGAGUGUCAGAUGUGAUGGCUGAGCUCUCUUAAGCGUGGGGUUUGUUACUUUGUUUCAGUUUUAAGUUCACAAUGGAGGCGAUCAUCAGGGGUGAGAUUGCUGUGGUAAUCACAUGCUACUUAGAGAUGGUUAUAGAAUUGCACGGGCAAACCACUUGUCCGGGUUAAAAAUAUUUACGAAUUUGUUUACAAAAGAAGUUUGAUGCCUGUUUUCCCCUACUUCUACAUUAUGUAUGUACAUUAGUGCUUAGCUGAUUGCUUGAUUGUUGUGGCAUUACUACUUCUGUGAAAGGUUCCUACACGUAUCUUCCAUCUGUGAGUGGGCUAGCUAAACAGUAAGCAAACCUGGUGGAUCUGGCUUAUCAGAAUGAUUGCUCAUUCUUCAAUGUUGCUUCUUCGUACAGCGACAAUGUAAACCUUAUUUCCCUAAGCGAACCAAAUCUAGGCUGCCGGUUGCUCAGGAUGGCUGGAGAAUUUACCGUAUAGGACAAUGUGGUGUUGCUCAGCUGAUGUUUACCGGUGAGAUGAGGCAAAAUUGGACCGUUUUUCAGCAGCACAGGAAUAGGGUGCUGACCUUUUGAAGCGGCAGAGUAAGUGGAUGAAGGGGGUUAGUGGUGUAAGAUCUGGAGGCCGAGCACCAUUGCGGCCAGAGAAUGCAUGUUCUAAAUUAAACUAUUCAUGGAUAAUUCCUGGUGUCUUCUAUGCCUAUGCUAUAAGAUUCAAAUCCUUGGUGAACAGAGAAGCAAAAAACAAUACACUAAAAUGUGAUUCUAAUACAUGUAAUGAGUUAUUCCUAAAGGAAGCCUUACUCCUUCUAAAAGAGUUGUGUGGCAGAUCUGCUCCUUAUAAAGAGGAGUUGUGCGGUAGACGGCCGCGUAAGUCAUCCGUCCUUUGGUAGGUCAAUGGCUAAGAAUCCUUUGGUUACUAGUAAGCUUGCACGUGCAAUGCAGUCUUAACUUCAUCAGAUAAUUAUGAAAAUAGUUGUGUGGUUUUACAUAGUUUUCAUCUGCACAUGUUCACUAAAAAAUAGUACUCACUAUGUUCACCUUUGUAAGUCGUUUUCAACAACUAAGAUUAAGCUAAUUUGCAUGUUGUCUGAAGUUUCUACAACGCCUUAUAAUAAUGAACAGAGGGAGUAUUUGUAUGGGUGGAAGAGAAAAUAAAUCGCAUGGACAAAAAGAUAGGAUGUAAAUAAUAUGCUCACCGCUUGUGGAAGAAGACCAUACUUUAAAGGGCAGAGAUAACAUAAUCUGAAAAAUCAAUUGUAUGAAUUACCUAGUUUUGUAUCUUUGAUUUUUAUGUCACUGCUUCUGUUCAUGUUCUCUUCUCCCCAAUUUAAUUUAUUGAAUGUUGUUCUUAAGAGAUUUACUUUCUAUUCAUACUCUAAAGGGCAUAGAUUCUUUUUUGUUGUCGUGUACCUACAUAUUCUUAGAUAUUCUGAGAACACUAACAUUGGUAUUCAUUUUCAGAAAUUAUAUAUACCCUAUCAACCCAAACUUUAUUUUUCUCAAGUAGAAGAAGAAUGAUAGUGAUAUGUCAUCAAACAAUUUGAUCAAAGUUCCUAUGGAGCAAUCUUCAUAACACACUCCACAAGUACCUCGAGUUAAACUCCAAACAAGCAUAAGAAGGAUUCUUCGAAAAAUACCUUCAUCCAUGCAAAGAGAAAACAAUACAAAGAUAGGAUAACCGACCUUUAUGAAAUAGAUUCUACACCCUGAUACUUGACAUAAGAACUUGUCCAUCAUAUUUAAUAAAAUGCACCUGAUUUCUACAAUGUCCUCUUUUGAGAAAAUAAUUAAUGAAGUGACAACAACAAAAGUACAGGGAGGGUGGUGACCAUUUACAAACAAUCAUGCUAACCGAAACACGUCUCAUCCUAAUAAAACUGGAACGAAUAAUUGGACGAAAAGAAGGAGCAAAAUUUGGCCUUGAAUUCAUAGUCAAAGAAAGUUUUGCCUUAGCAGUUUUACCAAGUUCUUUGUGUACUAAUAUAUCUCCUUGCGCGACUGCUAAUGAACCUUCUCGCCACAUGUGGGCAUGAAUGAAUGAUUGUGCGAGACUCUGUGCUUAGUAUUGUGCCACCCCUUGUCUGAUGUGUGGAAAGUCGAACCAAUGUUGGGUAUUCACAGAGGCAAGACAUACCGUUCUCCUAUGUAGGCCUUCCCUGUGCGGAUAUAAAUUUCCAUUAUCAGCACCAGUGAACCUGAACUUGAUUCUAUACCAACCCAGUUAAGAUACAGAGCAACCACAAACUAUUUUUUGCAAGCAUUUCAUCUUCUCUGUGUUUAGCUGACUUUUCCCAUAGUGAAUUAUAAAACCAUGCUCCCAGAAAUACAAGUUAUACAAACCACAUGGCUCUCCUAAUGAAUCAAAUGGAUGAAAAGCUCAAGAACAUGGUCACCCAACUUGUCUGUGUACCCUGAUUGUCUCUUCUCAAGUGCAUAACCCUCUCCGGACAUGGGGUCCUAUCCGGUGGAUGACUCUCCCUACCCCAGUCCUGCACAAUCAGUGACAUGUAGAACAAUUUACUUCACAUCCCACAAUGUUUGUCUUGGAAUAUAAAUAUACUAACACAGGAAAACAAAAGCUAAGGCACUCUGCCUCAUUGAGUCCCUUGUGUUUGCUUCGUGAAUCCAGUUUAUUGUUAAAUGUUCACGUAUCUAAUCACCUAAUCCUAGCCGAUGAUAAGCAUAUGCACAAAUUUGAACCAUUUACAUGUCUCAUAUGUCCUCCGGAAACUCAUGGUCGAGUGGGAAGCCGUCCAGGUCCAUGCCGACCUGAUCACACAUGAAGGCCGUCUGAUCUUGAUCAAAGGUGGAUGGCGUGAAUGCCCCUCGUCCGUCCUGACUUUGUGUCUCAUCGGGAUCGUAGCCAGCGGGAUCGUCAGCCGGCGCACCACCCUCGAAGAUCAAGUUUUGCAUGUAGCCCUCGUCCCCGGCGGCCGGCAUUCCGCCGAACAGGUUGCAUGCGCCCGACAGCACGUCGGCUGGCAUCUGGCGCACGCAUUUCUUCGCACCUCCGGAUGACGAGCCACCGGCAACCGGUGUGGUAUUGAGCUCGAUGGGCGCUGGCGUGGGCGUGGAAUGUGCCACCACGCUCACCUCCGGCGAGCACUUCCGAGAGAGGCCGGAGGCCUGCGGGUAGACUUAGAAGCCCGGCAUCGGGUUGCAAGCCGACGCGUGGGGCGAGUCGGGCAUGUUGGAGCAUAUAUUGAGCAUAUAUCUCCAUAUGUGGUUUUGGUACUUGAUGACAAUUCCUAUGGACUAAUGGUUGCCUUAAGUUACACUUAUAGGAUUUGUCCAUAGGCACUUCUUGAAGUCCAUCUGUUGGGUUCAAGGAGUUUAUAUGAUGACCAAGAUGGUAUUCAAGGUAUUAUCCAAAAAAUGGUCAUAGAGACGCAUGGUUGAUCAAGAUCUCAGACAAAGAGUAAAUCAAGAUGAUCAACACACAAAGCCUACAAGAUGUACCGAGAGGGAUCAAGUGAUCCCAUGGUAUGGAUUUGUCCAUAGACACUUCUUGAAGUCCAUCUGUUGGGUUCAAGGAGUUUAUAUGAUGACCAAGAUGGUAUUCAAGGUAUUAUCCAAAAAAUGGUCAUAGAGACGCAUGGUUGAUCAAGAUCUCAGACAAAGAGUAAAUCAAGAUGAUCAACACACAAAGCGUACAAGAUGUACCGAGAGGGAUCAAGUGAUCCCAUGGUAUGGUAAGCAUUGUCCAUUACGUGUUUGUGUACUAACCCAUGGUCUUCGUGAGAGUUCUAUGUGGGGGUUAGGUGUGUUUCCAUGAGCUUGCGUCAAAGGGAAGAUCUCAUACAACCCAUGGAGUAUGACGUCAAGUUGUGAUCGUCAUCAAGAUUGCGACGUGCAAGUUCAAGUGGAUCAGCACGAAGAUAGCAUGCUUGAAGCUUGCCGUCCAUUAUGGUGGCAAUGGACUUGUGAAGAUAUGCUGAAGAGUGGCUCACCCAUAGUGAGUAUGGGGGAGCAAUCAACUAGUAUUCAUCAAGCCAACACAAUCAAGAAAGGUGGUCCAUCUUGAGGAAGCCAAGAUCAUCAUCAUCUAGCUCAAGAGGAUGAGGUGCAAGGUAUAGGUUUGCCCUUGAUAGGUCUUCUGGUUAGGAUAGAUUGUUGUUCUAUCAAGGGGGGCUCUCAAGUGAGUAGCUUGAUCGUAUCGUUCGUUGAGAGUUCAAACCAUUUGCAUCCUUGCAUCAUACUUCUUGGUUCUUAGUUGGUGUUUCUCUUUGUGAGUUUUAGAGCUUAUGGUCAUCUUCAUGAAAAGCUCGAGUUCAUCGAAAACGGAGUCCAUAUGCAUCUACUAUGAUGUUUUCGAUGUUGGAGUUUUUGCCGGUUCUUCAUUCAUAGAGAUCUCACAUCUCUAUAUCUUUGGCAUAUUCAUAACCGCAUGGUCUUAAGAUUUCCAGUCGCUGUUUGGAUAGCCCUUGUCGUCCUGAAUCCAACAAGCUUGGGUUUGCUCGAUUCGGAGCUCGUAUGCGAAAGUUAUGGCUGUUUCAGUGGCGAGCGGUAGUACCGCUGGACCUAGCGGUAGUACCGCUCGACCUAGCGGUAGUACCGCUAGAGUUGGCGGUAGUACCGCUGGCUCGCGGUAGUACCGCCCCUGGUCAGCGGUAGUACCGCCCCAGGAGCUUAGUACCGCCUGCCUAGCGGUUGUUCGUGGACGGACCUUUUUGCGAAGACUUUCGUGGCGGUGGUAGUGCCUUUGCACUACCAGGGGCCCAGCGGUAGUACCGCUUGCGCCAGCGGUAGUACCGCUGGAGUGCCAGCGGUAGUACCGCUACAGCCAUCGGUAGUACCGCUAGCUGGCGGUAGUACCGCUGGAGUGACAGCGGUAGUACCGCUGGGGUGCCAGCGGUAGUACCGCUGCAGCCAGCGGUAGUACCGCUGGAGCUCGGGCAGAGAGUGGGGGUAACGGUCUGAUUCUUCCCCCCACUAUAUAAAGGGGGUCUUCUUCCCCCUUGCCUUAUCUAUCCGUUGAGCUCUUGUUCUAUCUCCAUUGUUGACAUUCUUAGAGCUUGAUUACUCUCAAUCCCUCCAAUGAUUCUUGCUUGCUCUUGAGGGAAAAGAGAGAGGAGAUCUAGAUCCACAUCUCCACCAAUCACUUUCUCCUCUAUGUGAGGGGAACCCCUUGGAUCUUGAUCUUGGAGUUCUUUGUGAGCUCCUUGUUCUUCCUCUCAUAUUUCUUCAUAGCUUUUGUUGUUGUGGAGGGAUUUGAGUGUGAGGGACUUGACCACUUCGUGUGUUCUUGCCAUUGCAUUAGUUGCAUCGGUUUGAGUUCUCCACGGUGAUACGUGGAAGUGAGAAGUUGAGAAGCUUACUACCUUCGGUACUUAGUACCCUUGAUAUUGUUCUUCGUGGAUGCUUUGGCGUCCUAGAAGCUUGGUGGUGUCUCGGAGCUCAAUCAUUGUGGUGUGAAGCUCCGGGAAGCGUCGGGGUCUCCAAUAAGGUUGUGGAGAUUGCCCCGAGCAAUUUGUACGGGUACCGGUAACCGCCCCCAAGGGUUGCCACGUGUACGGGUUCGGUGACCGCCCCCAAGGGUUGCCAUUUGUACGGGUUCGGUGACCGCCCUCAAGGGUCCCUUAGUGGAAUCACGGCAUCUUGCAUUGUGCGAGGGCGUGAGGAGAUUACGGUGGCCUUAGUGGCAUCUUGGGGAGCAUUGUGCCUCCACACCGCUCUAACGGAGAUUAGCAUCCGCAAGGGUGUGAACUUCGGGAUACAUCAUCGUCUCCCCGUGCCUCGGUUAUCUCUUACCCGAACCCUUUACUUAUGCACUUUACUUUGUGAUAGACAUAUUGUUUAUUGUAAUAUAUCUUGCUAUCACUUAGUUGUUUAUCUUGCUUAGCAUAAGUUGUUGGUGCACAUAGGUGAGCCUAGUUGUUUGUAGGUUUUGUGCUUGACAUAUUAAACGUUAGUUUUAUUCCGCAGUUGUUCAAGCCUAAACCUUAACUAUUUUAAAGCGCCUAUUCACCCCCCCCCCUCUAGGCGACAUCCACGUCCUUUUCAGGGCAGCACCAUCCGAGGGAACGCGGAUGAGCCCGUGUUGGUCGCGGCCACGGCGGCGUUGACGAGGCCGUGCUGGUUAGGGUUUAACUCUAGGAUAUAGAGCGCCUCCCUCGUUGCUGCCGCGACACGGGCGUUCGUGACCUCCUGUUGCGCGGCGGCGGCUACGGCGGCUGUCGCGAUGGCUUCAUCCCUCGCGCCCGCCGCGUGCCUGCGGCCCUUCCUCUUGGCCGACUCCCUUGCGCGCUGCUCGGGCGUCAGCGUCUUCUUCGGCUUGGGCGUGGCGGCGGUCUUGCGCUUGCCUUUGCCGGAGGGGGCGGUCGUCAUGCCGGACGAGGCGAGGAAGGCGGCAGCGUCGAGGUCGUCGUCCAUGACGGGGGUGGGACGGGAGCGCUCGGGUGGGAGGGUUUUUGGGGGAAAUGGUGGAGGCUGCCACCAACCAGCGAGCCCGAGGAGAGGAAAAGGCGCGCGUCCGUCUCGUGUACGCGCCGACGACAAAUCCGGUUUAAAAAUGAACCGGGAAUGGGUCGGCAGGCGGACGCCAAGCGGACGCGCGUCCGUUUGGGUUAGUAAUAUAGAGCCUAUGUACAUUCACAAAUCCGGUUCAAAAAUGGACCGAAAAUGGGUCGGCAGGCGGACGUCAAACGGACGUGCGUUGGAUCGAUUUUUAUGUCCACGGCGAUCCAAACGGAUGUGAGCGAACGAAAUGGGUUGGCUCGUUGGAGUUGCUCUUAGAGGUUGACUGCUAAUUGAUACGUAUGCACGUAUUUCUUUUCCCAGCUUAAUUCCUUAUUUGAACUGAUUUGUCCCAGUGUGCCGAAUGAAUUACUUCCUCCGUUCAAAAAUACUUGUCCUAGAAAUAGAUGUAUUAGACUUAUUUUAAUUAUAGAUACAUCCAUUUUAUAUAUUUUUAGGACAAGUAUUUUCGGACGGAGGGAGUAUUUUGGGAUCAUGAGGCAGGAAACUACCUUUAAGGCUUUACCUGGCUACACCUACGCCCGUAGCCAUGAUAGCACUACAAGAUAGUCUUUUUGACUUUUGGUCAUGUACUGUAGCUAUCAAGAAGCAACCGCUGCUGCUGGAAACAACGCCGGCAGAAGGAAGUACAGCAGACGUUGUCCGGUCGUGCUUCACAAGGUCAUGUUUGUCGUACGAUUUUUUUUAGUUUUAACUAAAAAGUCUCUAAUACCUAUGUAUUUGAUUCUAAAGAUUAAACAUAUACUAAAAAUUAUUAAAUGACAUGCUAAAAGAUUAUGUUACCUCUACAAAAUGGAUUAAAAAUAGAGGCACUGUUGAAAAAAGUCAUAAAAAGUCACAAAAAGACUCUCAUUUAGAGACUUCUUUAUUUAGUUCCAAAUGCUCACUUUUAGUUUCUAAAAGUCCCUCAUGUUUGAUUUAGAUGGGACUAAUUUUUUUUUUUUAGUUUCUACACCAAAAAAUUCUUGUAAACAAACACCCCCAAUAGAAUUCUUCCAAUUUGUGCGUUUCCAAGCUUUUUAAGACAAUGCACGCAUCCAAAUUUUAAGUACUAGCAGAUCUAUAAACACUUAGAGCAUCUACAAUAACAUCCCUCAAACUAUUCUCAAAUGUCCCGAUAGGCCGUCCGGUCAUUGAUCGGUCACGGAAAAAAGAUCCAAACGGACCCUUUAAACUGGCCUCAAACGUCUGGGCUAAACGACACCUCUCAUUUCCAGCCCAAAUAUGGAGCAGAUAUGGAGAGCCCGGGAGGCUGAGUCACACUUUUCGUCGCUCCGUAGGAUGCACAAGUGCAGGUGACGCAACCGCGCCGUGAUGGACGUCAGCUCCUCCCGGGGAGGAUCCAUCAUUGACUGGCACCGACCGGGUUACGGGCUCCAACGAGGAAGAGUGGGAGCAUGGGAGACGGCGGGAGCUCGACUCCCGUGACCCGGCUAGUGUUCCAUGUCCUACUCUACCUCGCCGACGAACGGACCGACAUUGUGAGGGGCGCAACCAGCCGCCGGAUAUGAGCACGGUGGAGCCGAACGAGCUCCACUUAGUAUUAGAUUUAUGUUGCAUGUAAUAAUAUGGAUUUAAGAUAUCCGUCGUCGGAUGAGGAAUCGUGGGAGUCACACAGAACAUUAUGAAAAAAGAACUCGUCAGCGUAGUCCAUUUGUACCUUAAGGCAAAAUGUCGAACAACUUGCGGGCGUGGACGACCAAGCUGACCGGCGAUGACGGAUUGGGGUCGGAGAAGCUGCGGUGCACCGACGGUGAUGCGACUGGCGGCGUGGGUAGGCGUUCGGGAGGUACGGGAGGAGGCCGUCGGAGCCGGGCGGCGUCGGCGAGGGGGCUGGGGGCGAGGCGAGGCGAGGGCUUGCUGUCGGCGCUGUCGGUAGGGGUGGAGAACGACCAACGUAUCACCGACUGGCGGGUCAGGGAAUGAAGGAAGCGUGCGUCGUCCGCGUCCGCUUUGUGUCCUUGCUGAGCCAAAUCAGGCUCAAAAUUGACCCGAAAAUGGGUCGACAGACGAACGAAAAGCAUACAAGUGUCCGUUUGAAUCGGCGCGUUGGGUUUUUUUUUCUGUCUACGUGGAUUGAAACGAAGGACCGCGAACGAAAUGGAUCACUACGUUGAGGUUGUUCUAGGAUUUGUUUUGUUUUCGAGCAUCUGUAAGGGAGGAAGAGCCGUGGAGUACAAAGGUCCGUGGGCCCAUGGGCCAUGGUUUUGCUCACGCACACGGCAGCAGAUCCAAGCCUUGUCUCCACUCCACCCGACGCCAUUGCUUCGUCCACAACUUCCGAGGCGCGCCGGUCAUGUCACCCCCCUCUUUUGCCCCCUCGCCGCCGCCUGCUGCAGCUCCUGCUCCCUCCCCUCCUCCAUCAAUGCCGCCCUUCCACCGCCCACCACCCAGCAGCACCUGCUGCUAUAUCCCACCCUUCAGGCACGCAUCAUCCUCCGCCUCCCCGCUCAUCAAACCCUCUCUGCUGCCAUGGCGGAGGCGACCGCCAUUCUUCUGUCCAUGCGCGACCCUGGAGACGGCGACCGCGCCGCGCCGCCUCGCUCGGUUUCCGCCCGGCCCGACCUAGAUUUGAACAAGCCAGCUGGUGACGACGAGGGCGGCGGCGGGGCUGCCGACGGAACUGCACAGGCUGCACAUGGUGAUGCCGCCACGACGCCGCUGCCUGAAAGGGUACGGACAGUUUCCCCUUUGUUGAUCCCCCCCCCCGUCCCCCCCNNNNNNNNNNNNNNNNNNNNNNNNNNNNNNNNNNNNNNNNNNNNNNNNNNNNNNNNNNNNNNNNNNNNNNNNNNNNNNNNNNNNNNNNNNNNNNNNNNNNNNNNNNNNNNNNNNNNNNNNNNNNNNNNNNNNNNNNNNNNCCCCCCCCGUCAGCGACAUUUGCAAGCUUCUCUUGCUGUUCAUCGACGCUGCUGCUGCUGCAAUGGCGUGAGCACAGUUGUUAGAUGUGUUCGGUCGGUGCUACUCUCACUAAUACAGUAGUACAGUACUUAUUAAGUUCCCUCCUGGCAUCCGAUUGUUUACUUGGGUUUCUUAGCUAUUGGACAAUCAGAUUGGCAAUGCGGCUCCACGAGGGAGGGGUGGAAGGCGUGGUGCUGCUGCGGCGGCUCCACGGGGGAGACGUGGUGGCGCUGCCCAAGGAAGAGGAAGGCCAGCUUCCCAUCAUAGAGACAAGAGGUUCAGGGCUACUGAUGAUCUGCACACCGACCAGCCUCAACAGGACCUCCCUGAAGCUGUCGCUGGACAGACUACCGGUGCAGGCGACCAUGGUUUGAACGGAGGUGCUGAUAUAUUUGCAAUUGCAAGUGAAGGCAUGAUAACGCCACUGCCUGAGAGAGUAUGCUUGGUUUUCUUCUCCUUCCUGCAUCUCCUUUUUUUUCACACUGAUUGAUCAACUAGAGUAUUUGUUUCUAUUUCUAGGCUGCUGCUUGUUGUGGUGCCAGUUUUACCGACGGCAGUCAAAGCCUGGCUUCGACUCCUAGAGGAAAUGACCAAGCCAAGACGAUGCCGCCAGUGCCAGACAGGGUAUGCUUUCCUAAUCUUCCUGUGGACCUACCUAGUUGUGUACAAAUUUGAUUGGAAACUGAAUAUGCAAGGAGUUUUGUACUCUCUUAUGUGUGUCACCAAAUCAGUUCUAUGCUGCUCUUCCACAUGUACUAGGAUCGAUCCCCUGUGAUAUUUUGUCAGAAUACCCCCUGUUUUAUUAAUGUGUGAAAUGGAGGAAGUAAAGUUUUACUGCCAUGAAUUGAGCUCCUAAAUGAAUUCUAAAUCUUGUUUAACUAUUGGAUGCAGGUUGAAGUACGUAACUCCCCAGAAUAUAUAACUGGUAGGAAGUUAAGUAAAGGUAACUCUGGCAAGGUCUAUGUUGGCAGACGGAUAGGUAUGCCCAGUGGAGGAUACAAGGGUCGAAAUGCAAUCGAGGUUUCAUCUCUUAUCUACUUGCCUUAGAUGGACACCAAAUCUGUUCUUGAUUCAUCAAAAUCUUAUCUGUAUUUCACUUCAAUAUACAUUGCUUUGUGCACGAGAUCCUCCUUUAUCUAAAAAAAUUCUUACCUGCAUCAAUAUCGUGUAGGUUGCGCUGAAAUUUGUGCAUCGGACAAGUAGAGAAGGUAGCUAUGACCCCCCAUAUGAGUGGCAAGUCUAUCAGUAAGAACUAUACACAAUCAUCCAUUUUUUUCAUUUAUAUAUUCUUGGUGGAGCAUGGCAUUUUAUCCCUUUGUUAGCAGGGCUCUCAAUGGUUGUCAUGGCAUACCAUCGAUACACUACAAGGGUUGCCAAGGAGACUACUACAUUCUUGUGAGUUAACUUUCCAGGGAAAAAUGCACUCAGAAAGACUUCUUAACUCUUUAUAAUCUUUUCACUGAAUCAUGAUUCCGUAAUUUCAGGUAAUGGAUCUGCUUGGUCCUAACCUCUGUGAUGCUUGGCAUUCACCAGGACAGGAGUAAGUAUAUCUUAUCUAUCUUCACUCCCUCUGCUUUUGUUCUCCUUACUCCUUGCUGAAAGUAUCAAUACCCGUAACAGGAUGUCAAUUCUAAAGGUUGCUUGUAUUGCCGUUGACGCCAUGUCAAUACUUGCAAAGAUUCACUCCAAAGGGUAGUUUAAAGACAUUUGAUAUUUUUGAGAUGCAUUUCCCGUAUUUUUUUAUUCCUCGUUGUUAACAUUUGCUGCUCCUCCUAUUAUUGCCAGCUUUAUACAUGGUGAUGUAAAACCUGAAAACUUUUUGCUUGGUCAGCCUGGAUCCGCUCAAGAAAAGAAGCUUUUUCUCAUUAAUUUUGGUUUAGGUAUGCCAUUACACAUGGUAGUUUCAUCUGUACAUGAAGAUAUUCAAUCUGAUGAUCACAUCGCACUAUGCCCUUAGCUCCGAGGAAUUGAUUACUUAAUACUCUCUCCGUCCCGAAUUACUUGUCUUAGAUUUGUCUAGAUACGGGUGUAUCUAGACACGUUUUAGUGUUAUACAAUCUAAAUGGAAAUCUAAGACAAGUAAUUUGGGAUGGAGCUAAUAGAAUGUUGAUUCAUUUUAUGCCUCACUAACCUUUUUUCACAUGGUUCUUUUGAUACUAAUUUUUUUCAGCAUCUAACUGGAAAUGGAAAAGAGGAUCAUCCAGUAUGCAUGUUCAGUAUGAUCAGAGGCCAGACAUAUUUAGGUUUGUUCUUACCACUUUUCUGUACAAAAUUACGGCACAAAUUUAACUUUUUUACUUUUGACAUUUCCCAGGGGAACAAUUAGAUAUGCUAGCGUCCAUGCUCAUUUAGGUCGUACAGGCAGUAGGAGGGAUGAUUUGGAGUCACUAGCAUAUACCCUUAUAUUUUUAUUACGAGGAAGCUUGCCAUGGCAAGGCUGUCAGGUAGUCUUCAAUGUUCUCGACAAGUCGACAGGGCUUUACUAAUAUUUUCUACUCGUUUUCUUAAACAUACUUUUUUUUACGGGAACCUACUUUUGUGUUGAUGGCUUAUUGCUGCAGGGAGAUAACAAGAGCUUUCUUGUUUGUAAGAAGAAAAUGGAGACUUCUCCAGAGGUCCUGUGUAGCUUCUGUCCAGCCCCAUUCAAACAUUUUCUUGAGUUAGUUACUACUAUGAAAUUUGAUGAAGAGCCAAAGUACCAAAAACUUGUCUCUCUCUUUGAUGAUUUGAUUGUCGGACCUGCUUCAAGACCCAUCAGGAUCGCUGGAGAUCUAGAGGUUUGUACUGCUUUAUCCACAACAUUUAUCUAUGCUCUGUACUUUAAUUCGGUUGUAUUAUAUUUCGCCAUGCCUCUGCCGUGCAAAUUAUAGGCUGGACAUAAACGUGGAGGAAUUUCUGUAAAUCUUAAAGACGAUGAACAGCCCAUGGAAAAAGUUCGGUUGGGGACCCCAGCAACUCAAUGGAUUUCAAUUUAUAGUGCUAGGCAGAACAUGAAGCAGCGGUAAUUGUUUUUAAACAUGAAAAUAGUGCAACAGCAUUCAUUUUUUAUUUGUUUGUGUGCUCAGGCAUAUUCUUCAUACCCGACAUCAAGCAUUAGAUAGCUCGGAAUAGCUAGAUUAUGUGAGUAUAUGAUCUAGAGAAGCAGCACUGUAGAAAUCUAAUGUACNNNNNNNNNCCCCCCCCACCCUCCGCCGUGCGCCAUGUCCAGGGACCGCGUCUCCUUCGGUGACGGCCGCUGGUCUGGCUCCGACAGCGACUCCUCUGCGCGCUCCUACAGCGAGGUAGCCCGCACGCCGCCAGCCAGCCGGUGCGCCGCCCCCGCGUCUACCUCCCGGAGCACCGCCCCCGCNNNNNNNNNNNNNNNNNNNNNNNNNNNNNNNNNNNNNNNNNNNNNNNNNNNNNNNNNNNNNNNNNNNNNNNNNNNNNNNNNNGGCCCGCAUUGGCCCCCGCUUCGAGGUACACCGCGUUGCUGGUGGCGACGUGGUGGAUGCUGACGGCUUCCAGCAGCCCCGCCGCAAGAACCGUCCCCGCCCCCGCCGUGCGCCCGAGCCGGAGCCCGCGCUGCAACGCCCGCGCAGCCCCUCCCCCGAGGCAAUCGCUGGCCUCUGCUUCCGCUGCCUAGAUCAUCGCCACCGGGUCCGGGACUGCAAGAGCGACAUCCGCUGUCGGAAGUGCCUCAUCUCCGGCCAUGACUCCCGCGGCUGCGAGAGCUUCCAUCGGCGUAUGGGUCGCGCUCCCCCAAGCUCUCGCAGUCAGGACGUNNNNNNNNNNNNNNNNNNNNNNNNNNNNNNNNNNNNGCCGGCCCUGCCCCCGCCACCCCCCGCCACCGCCUCUGCUCCUAGCCUCGGCCGCCCAGGCGCCUGCCGCUGCCCCAGCGCGGGUCAUCCUCGCGUGCACCGUUGAGAUGGAAGAGGCAGAGGAAGUGCUGGCCAGGGCCAUGGUGAUCACCAUCACGGGCACCAGGCCGAAAGUGUCCGCCGACGAGGUCGCCGACCUGCUCCACCGCACCUUCAGCUUCGAGGUCGGGGACUUCACCAUCCACGCGCACCAGCCCGAGGACUUCAUCGUCAUCUUCGGCUCUAGAGCCUGCAAGGACCGCAUGAACGGCGAUCACCUCGUCUAUGGCCCAAGGUUCACCCUGUCGUUGCGCCCGUGGUGCAAGCUCGUGCAUGCCAGCUCGGGUGGGUUCGAACACCGUGUCGAGCUCGAGCUCCGCGGCAUCCCUGCCCAUGCCUGGAAUGUUGCCACAGCUGAGCACAUCCUCGGCACGACGGUUUGGAUCGAGCGGCUCCAUCAUCGCACUCGGUCCCGUGCCGACCUCGACGUGUUCCGACUUGCUGGACGCACGCAUGAUCCUGAUGCCAUCCGGCGCGCCGCUACUCUGGAGGUCGUCGAGCUGCUCCCCGGCGCUGGCUCCUCCGCCCCGACCGUCCGCAUCCUGUCGUACCCCAUUACCAUCUCCCUCGCGCGCUCUGAGAUUGACCGCGCCCAUGCCCGUGCUGCGAUCGCCGCCAGGCGCGACAGGGAUGGCAACGACACCGCCCCGGACGCCGGCCAAGACCCUGGCCGCUCCCGCCGCCGCGGCCGCAAGCGCCGUCGCGCCGACGCGCCACCCCCGGGCCGUGCCGAUGGCACUGCCAUCGAUUCCCUAGGAUGGCAGGCCAAGGAUCGACCUUCGUGUGUGGAUGGUGUCGCCAUGGCUCCCUGGGGCUCCUGCACGGAGGCGGCGCCGCCGGUCGGCCGUUGUCCCCUCGUGUGCAUGCUGCCAUGGCCUGGCCGGGAUGGGGCCCGCCACUUCUGCUGGGAUGCCAAAAGAGGAAAGGCAAAAAGGAAAGUAAAGCAAGCUCCUGUAGACGGUCCUCCCCCCACGACUGCUGCGAACGGGGACGUAGGGCCAACAAGUACAAAUUCGCCAGGAUGCGGGCCAGCUGGCCGGACGGCAUUGGCGGCGAGCGGAACGGAAGCCACCCCGAAUUUGAAUUCGGUGUCGCCUUCCGCCCGGGAUGACGGCGCUGGAGGGCCCAACUCUGACCCAUGCAGCCCCAGGCCUCGUCGGGAUCUGGCCCCUGUCGGCUCGAACAGCGAGGUGCCAGACUCUCAGCUGGUGGGUCCAUCCUCACCGGCCAACAGCACAGCCCGGUCGGGACAAAGUGGUGCUUUGGCCGCGUCACCGCCUGCCGCAGUUUUGGAGCCUUCUGAGGGUCGGUCCCCGGGGACCGCGACGACCAAGGAGGGGGAGGGCGCGCGAAGCGUUUCUCCCGCCGUUAUUUUGCCGCCUCCCCAAGCCAUGCAAGAUUCUCCUCCCCACGUGUCGGCCCUGCAGCCCGCCACUUCACCGCCAAGGCCCAUGCAAGCUACUGGACCGGUGCAAGACCAAAUUCUGUCUUCACCCUCGUCGCCCCCUCCCCAGCUCACUGCUAGGGGGCCCAUCGAGGACUGCGUUGCCAUGCGCUCGGCCCCCAACCGCUUCGCCUCGCCGCCGGUUACCUUUCGUCGCCCCAGGGAACGUAAUUCUGCCGACAUGCACUGGACCCUCGGGGACUUCCUUGCUGCCGCCACGAAACAGAUUGCUGCCUCCCUCCCCACGCCGGGGAAGAGGCACCCCCGACAUCCACUGAGCUUCUUCCCUCGCCGCGGCCGCUCUGCCUCCACUGCCAAAUCCCCUGGAGUGGCGCCGCCCACUGCCGAAAGGAGGGCACAGGUGCAGGUCUUGCGCACACUCGGGAUCAUUGGCAUCGACCAGUGGAUCACUUCCGCGGAGAUGCGUGCAUAUGAUGGCAUCUUCGCCGUGCCCAUUCCGCUCGACGUACUCGCGGCUAUGGCCGCGCUGAUUGAUCGAAAGCUACCGGAGGGACUUUGCCGUCUGACGAGCACCCCUGCGACCGCUGCCGGCGCCGGUGGGACUUAGCCCCCGCGCUGCAAUCUCCGACCGUCGAUCCCGUUGUUUAUCGAUCAUGGCCCUAAGAUUGUAGUUUGGAACGUCCGCGGCUUAAACUCUCGCGUUCGACGUUACGCUGUUAGAUCGCUGAUCGAGACUACGGGCGCGACCAUUGCCUGCUUCCAGGAAACAAAAAUGGAUUUGAUCUGCUCGUUGGUGCUUCUCGAUACGCUGGGGUCUGAGUUUGACGAUUACGUAUACCUGCCGGCAUUAGGUACGCGCGGAGGCAUCCUCCUCGCUUGGAAGAGCCGGUCUGUGAGCAUCACAGACCCAACGUUCUCUACGAACGCGCUCACCGCUAAGGUUGCUCUCGGCACGGCCACGCCCUGGUGGUUGACGGUCGUAUGUGGCCCGCAGGAUGAGGCGGCAAAGGUCGCGUCGGCUGCCCUGGGCCAUGGAUGCUUUGCGGUGACUUUAAUCUGAUCUACCGCGACGAGGACAAAAAUAACGGCAAUCUCCAUCGGCGCAUGAUGGGCAGAUUCCGACGGGUGAUCAAUGAGCUCGCGCUGAAGGAAGUAUAUCUCAACGGGCGCCGCUACACUUGGUCGAAUGAGCAGUCCCCCCCACCCUCGUGCACCUCGACAGAGUCUUAUGCACCUCGGACUGGGAGGAAGCACAUGCUGCGUGUCACCUUCGUUGCCUGGCUUCGGUCGUUUCCGAUCACAGCCCGCUGUUGCUGGACUGUUCCCCCAUGCCAGCCGCUCAACAUCGCUUCUGCUUCGAGGAUCUCUGGCUGCGGCUCGAUGGCUUCAACGACACGGUCGACGUAGCCUGGAAUUCGGUCACCCAUGCUGACCCAUUCCACCGUCUGAUGCUGCGGCUCCAGGCAACGGCGCGGUCGCUGACUAGUUGGAGCUCUAGAUCUGUCGGGAACAUCAGAAGCAAGCUCGCCAUCUCUCGUGAGCUCAUCUCACGGUUCGACAAGGCGCAAGAGGAUAGGCGGCUAUCACACCAUGAGGAGUGGCUCCGCAAGCAGCUCAAAAUCUCCUACCUCGGACUCGCCUCUAUGGAGCGCACGUUAGCACGCCAGCGUGCCCGUUUGGCAUACCUGAAGGACGGCGAUGCCAAUACCGCCUUCUUCCACCGACAGUGCUCUUAUCGCCGGCAGAAGUCCAGGAUCCUUGGGCUCGCCGUGGAGGGCCACCUGAUCACCGAGCAGGAAGGUCUCGCCCAGGCAGCCUACGAGCACUACGACGCCCUCCUGGGCACCGCCCUCGACCGCGAACACACGUUGGAACUGUCGGAGCUGAUCGUGCCCACGGACCUGGAGGACCUAGACCUGCCUUUCAGCGCCGACGAGAUCUGGGCGGCGAUUAAGCGCCUGCCUGCGCAUAAGGCGCCAGGGCCGGAUGGCUUCACCGCAGAGUUCCUGCGGGCCUGUUGGAGCACGGUUAGACAUGACUUCUUCGACGUCUUCCAGCAGUUGUAUGAGCUACGAGGCAGGGGCUUUGCUAGCCUGAACCAAGCGCUGCUCUCCCGGCUGCCCAAGCGAGCCGGCGCCAACACGCUCAAUGAUUUCCGGCCCAUUAGCCUGAUCCAUCUUGUGGCCAAGAUCUUCGCCAAGGUCCUCUCGCUGCGCCUCGCCCCAAAACUUGAUGGACUGGUCAGCAAGAGUCAGAAUGCUUUCACCACUGGUCGAAGCCUCCACGACAAUUUCAUCCUGGUCAAGCAUUCUGCGAGGCUGCUACACCAGCUCGGAGCCCCAAGGAUCCUGCUCAAGCUGGACCUGGCGCGCGCGUUCGACUCCCUGUCCUGGCCCUUCCUAUUCGAGGUCCUGCGGGGAUACGACUUUGGCAGCAGAUUCUUGGAGUGGAUAGCCAUCCUCCUCUCAUCAGCAAGCACGCGAGUCCUGAUGGACGGUGAGCCCGGCCCCCCUAUACGGCACCGUCGAGGGCUCCGUCAAGGAGACCCCCUCUCUCCGUACCUGUUCGUGCUCGCCGUAGACACACUCGGACGACUAAUCCGGAGGGCCAUCGAAGUUGGUGUUCUGGCACGGCUGCACCCUGCGAGGUCAAUCCCCGCGGUGUCGCUAUAUGCCGACGACGUUGUGCUCUUCUGCCACUGUUCCGCACACGACACAAGGGCUGUGCGUGAGAUCCUGAAGCUGUUCGGAUCAGCUUCUGGCCUGAUGGUGAACUACACCAAAAGCAUGGCAACUCUGCCGCACUGCGACGACGACACAGCCACUGCCGCCAUCGCCAACCUGGGUUGCCCCAUCACCCAGCUCCCGCUCACCUACCUCGGGAUCCCCCUCACAAUAAGGCGUCCCUCGGCCGCCCAGCUUCAGCCCCUGGUGGAUAGGAUCGCCGAUCGCCUGCCAACUUGGAAGGCGGGGCUGAUGAACAAGCCUGCCUUGCCCUGGUCAAAUCCGUCCUGGGAGCCAUCCCCGUGCACCAGCUCCUAGCGUACGCGCCGCCGCAUAAGACGCUUCGUCAGAUCGAAAAAAUCGAGCGCGGAUUUUUGUGGGCUGGUCGACGUGCAGCCAAUGGCGGCCAAUGCCACGUUAACUGGCGCCGCGUCUGCCGGCCCUUGCAGCACGGUGGCCUUGGCGUGCAAGACCUGGAACGCGCCGGCCUUGCCCUUCGCCUCCGCUGGCUCUGGUUCUCCCGCACAGACCCGGAGCGUGCCUGGCAUGGUCUGGACUUGCAGUCCUCCUCCGAGGAACGCGCGCUCUUCUUCGCCUCUACCUUCAUGACCGUCGGCAAUGGCAACACUACCCGCUUCUGGGAGGACCGAUGGCUUAAUGGCAGAUCCGUCUGGGAACUAAUGCCCCAGCUGUACGCAUGCAUUCCGAAAAGACGGCGCAAGAUCAGGACAGUGGCUGAGGGUCUCCUUGGCAACUCCUGGGCCCGAGACAUUCUCGGAGUCCUAGGCGUCCACGAGAUAGGCCAAUACUUGCAGCUCUGGCAACUUGCCCAGCAAGUCACGCUCUCAACCGACCCCGACAGGCUUACUUGGAAGUGGACGUCCAACGCCAUCUACACCGCGCAUUCUGCCUACCUAGCAACAUUCCAGGGCUCCACAACGUGCUCCUCUUGGAAGCUUAUAUGGAAGAAUGGGGCUCCCCCAAAGGUCAAAUUCUUCCAUUGGCUGGCUUGCCAGGACAGAUGCUGGACAGCGGAGCGCCUCGCGCGCCACGGAAUGCAGCACCACCCCCGAUGCCUGCUCUGCGAUCAAGCCCCAGAAACGAUGCGCCACCUGAUGCUAGAAUGCCCAUUUGCUCGCCAAACUUGGCAUGAGAUCCUUGCCUGGCUCAGGACGACUGCCACCCCACCAGACCAUGAAGCCUCACUCAUGGACUGGUGGCUGCAGGCCAGGCAGAAUACGCCGAAGUCGCUACACAAGGGCCUCGCGUCCACCACCCUCCUCGUGCCAUGGAUGAUCUGGAAACACCUCAACGCUUGCGCCUUUGAAGGGGCCCAGCCUUCCUCGCUGCAGCUGCUCAAUAACAUCAAGGAGGAGGCCACUGCCUGGGCCAACGCGGGUGCCCGUGGACUUAGAGUAGUUCUCCCACAGACCUGGGAUGUCCACUAAGUUCUAUCGUUUUUGCUUUGUAACUGGUGCCUCCUAGGACGAUAUGUAACCCAAACUCUGCCUUUUCAAUGAUAAAAACGCAAAUGUCAUUUGCACUUUCUCGAAAAAAAAAGUAUAUGAUCUAUACCUCUAUUUUUAAAAAAAUAUAUGGAGUUCCAGUUAAUGUCUUGCAGUGAAUGUGGUGAAACAAAAAACUACAUUGAGGUGAUUGAUGCUGCAAACUUGUGAUAUAUCUUUUUUCGAAAAGGAGGAUACCCCAAUUAAUUGGAUUUGGUAUCCCUGUAAGAGUAGCUGUCUAAAACUAUACUAUUAUGCUUUUCUAUAACCAAGCCACUCAUGCUAGUUUUUUGUGUUGAAAGGGUUUAGUUUUGCUUAUUAUGUUUUAAGCUUAACUAGUUCCUAUUUGCCUGGCUACACUCGCUUGUUCUCGAGUUCGAGAGAUUUGAGAUCUUCCUAGUGCCUAUUUCAACAGUUAUUGAUCAAUCUCUUAUCUCCUUCGUAAAUCAAAUAUGGUACUAGUAACUAAUGUAACUGUAAACAUAUUUCUUCUGCCUUUGAUAGAUACCACUCUAAUGUACCUGAUUCAAGGCUGCAUCAGCACAUACAAAAUGGCAAUGAAGAUGGCUUGUUCAUUAGUUGUAUAGCUUCUUCAAAAAAUGUGUGGGCUAUCAUUAUGGAUGCUGGGACCGGCUUUUCUUCUCAAGUUUUCAAUCUUUCACAAAAUUUCCUACAGAAGGUGUGGUACCUUCUAUGCCCUCUCUAGUUGGAAUUUUGAUAAUCUGGAAUCUUGACAAUAUCUUGUUUCUAACUUUUUAUGUAGGAUUGGAUUGUGGAGCAGUGGGAGAAGAAUUUCUACGUAACAGCAAUAGCUGGAGCAACCAAUGGAACCUCAUUGGUUGUCAUGUCCAAAGGUUUGUAAAUUGCCUGCUCUCUGUCGACAAUUAUUCAUUUGUUCAAACUGCUCCCUUUUAUGAAGAUUAAACGUUUGAAAAGGAUACUGCUAUACGUAUGACACAAAGUAGUAUGCUUUCAUACGAUGCAUCACAUAAAUGUUUGAUCACACAACUUUUGUGGUGUUAGAGCAAGAGAGACUACCACAUUAGAUUGCAUUGAUUUGAGGUGUAAAUGUUCUUCUGGAUGUUAUUUCUUUAGUGUUUAUUUUUUCCAGCGGAGUUUGUCGUAUCAAUUUCAUAUUUCCAGAUCUGAAAAAAGGUAUAAAUAUCCGGACUGUUGGGUUCUACUGGUUGUUCAUGGAACUUAACAGUUGCCAGUUUUCUAUUUUUUAAUAUUUAUAAAUGAAGUGUUAUGCUAAUUAAACAAAUUGUCAGCAUCUGUCUACUUACUGUCUAAUCUUUGAUGUUUCGUAUAGUCCACUGGUCCUUUUGUAUUUCCAUAAUAUAUACAUCGAUUCUGAUCUUUAAUACCAUUACAGGGACUCCAUACAGACAGCAGUCAUACAAAGUCAGUGAAUCUUUUCCUUAUAAAUGGAUUAAUAAAAAGUGGAAAGAAGGUUUUCGUGUAACAUGUAUGGGUACUUCCGGGAAUCGUUGGGGUGUGGUCGCGUCGACGAACGCGGGCUACUCCUACCAGGUCAAAACAUGUGCCUGCACUUCUUUGCAAUAAAUCAUUUGGAAAUAAUCCUUUUCAUGAAUUUGAUGAUUCCUCAUAUGUUAUAAUUUCUUCUGUGGUGAACAUUCAUUAAAUGACUGCAUAUGUCGUCGACGAUAGAAAGUAAAAAACAAUAUGCGCACUAAAAUUAUUUAGUUCUGAGCCCGGGAAGCCAAACUCGUUUGAGCAACUAACAAUUUGAGUGCUGCAUGUCUAAUAUCUGCUUGCAAACAUAUGCUGCUUCAAGAAUGGCUUCAGUUACCCUUAGAGAACCGGUGCUCUGCCCAGCUUCCCUUUAUACCAAAAUAUCAGUAAUUGUGUAGAGGGUUGUGCGAAGUCUGAAUGUUCGUAUUCAGCCUGAUGUGAUCAUGUGAAACUGAAAUCUGCGUUGCAUCCUGCAGGUUGUUGAGUUAGAUUUUCUGUAUCCAAGUGAAGGAAUCCAUCAGCGAUAUGGCGCCGGUUACAGAAUAACCUCAUGUGCAGCCACGCCUGACCAAGCCGCCUUUAUCAUGAGCAUAGCCAAGGAGUCCAAGACGAAACCAGUGGACGAAACUUUUCUAACUUGUGAUUUCCCCAGCAAGGCUACAAAGGUAUACUACUACUACCCCGGCAUGCUUUGCUGACCGGAUGAAUCUCAAAAUCUGGUGCAACAUUCAUAGUUAUGCUAUAUGCUGUGUCUUGCUGGUUUACAUGUGUGAACCUAACCUCGGCAGUCGGAACACCAAAAUUUCAGGAACAAUGGGCGAAGGACCUGUACAUCACCUCGAUCUGCCAUGGCCGAACUGCGUGUUGAGUGUUGACGGCUGCGUUGAGCCUCCAAGGUGAAUUCGCUAGAGUUUUAACUUUGGCCUUGGUGGGAUUCUUUUUGGUAUUUUGAGCUGCAAAAUGGCCUCCUCUUAUUGUAAAGAAAAAGAACCAUGGUUUANNNNNNNNNNNNNNNNNNNNNNNNNNNNNNNNNNNNNUUCCCUAUCAGAAGUUAACCUUGCCAAAAAUGUGUAUUCCACAAAAAAAGGAAUGUAUGCUGCCAGGAGGCAAGAGCUUCACCGUAUCGGCUUCGGAUGAUGGAAACGAGGCCGAAGCAUACCGUAUCCGAAUACGACUCUCCGUAUGCACCCGUCCAUAUGAAGAGCUAUAUAUACGUAGAAAAGCACCACACCAUCGCUCAAAGACUCGGAUGGCGGCCUCCCCAGCCGAGUUCCCGUGCCCAAGCCGCGCUCCGCGUCUCCUUGGGGCGCGUUUGGUUACUUUCUUUGCAGGGCCUGACCGACGGCAAAAAAAAAAAAAAAAAAAAAAAAAAAAAAAAGAAGCAGGCUAAGCAGGACUGGCUAAACGAGGCAAAAAACGAAGUUAUAAGUAGUUUGGUUGCCUGCAUGCAUGUGAUGUCUUGUUAUCGUGAAGUAAUUUUUACCUAGUGUUCGAUUGCAUAAAUACAUAUAAUUAGCAGUUAACAACGACUAGGUUAGGCUUGACGUCGAUGACCUUCAUUUCCUGAAACACGUUGAGUGCUGCGUUGUCGAAUUGGACGGCUGUAAAAGCAGCUGUCCUCGCCAACCUUCCUCCCAUUGCCAUAGACGUUGUGGCCAUGCCCGCGCCCGAAGUAAUUUAGGUUACAUGAAUUGCCACCCCUUUCCCACUUUGAGGGUUGCCAGUCACUUGCGUGCAGUAGAUGUACUUGUUCACUUCUGCUUUAAUGACCCCAUCGAUGUUGAAGAGAUGCCACAUUAUGGUUGGUGACGAUAGGAUGCGGCUUCAAGUAUUGCUUUUGUUCAUGAUAUUCCUUUCAAAUCUUCUCUUGAUACUUGUUCCCCUUUUGCUUCGUGCCGCAUAUUGGAUCCACUGUUAUGGCCUAUUAAGAUUUGACUAACAAGAUAUUUUUAAAAUUUGAGAAUGUCAGACCUCUCGCCUUUGUCGUCUUUGGCUUCCUCUUCUUGCUUAGAUUGGGAUUUGAAGUUGUCUCAACUUCAAAUGAAGGGCAAGUCGGAUACCCAAUUCGUAGUUCAUUUGGGUUGGAGCUUGAUUAUCGUUUCCAAAAUGAACCAACAAUUUAUUGAAAACAUUAAACAUGGCAUAUGCAAAGUUGCUUGAGUAGGAGCAACGAGAACAUACCAAGUAUUGUUUGCUGUGAAACGUUGCAUGGGAAAACAAAAAAUUUCCUCCGCUCACCAAGAUCGAUCUAGGAGAUGCACAUCUAUGAGGGGAGAGAUUGAAUCUACAUACCCUUGUAGAUCGCUAAGCAUAAGCGUUCAAGAACGCAGUUGAUGUAGUGGUACAUCUUCGCGAUCGGAUCACGAUCCGUCGCACGAACUCCCGACCAAGCGCCGAACAGACGACACCUCCGUGUUCAACACAUGUACAGCUUGGUGACGCCUUCACCUCCUCGAUCCAGCGAGCGAUGGUGAAGUAGCAGCCCGACUCCUCCGACAGCACGACGGCGUGGUGAGGUGAUGGAGGUGAUAGCUCAGCAGGGCUUCGCCGCGCGAUGUUUAGAGAUGAAGAAUUACGAGGGGGAGGAGGAGCAACGUCGCGGCAAGAUUAUGUGUGGCUGCCCUCUCUCUACCUCUCUAUAUAUAGGGGGCAGCGGCUAGGGUUGGGGUGGCCCCUCCCACUUGGGUGCCUUACCACCUAAGUUGGGCUGGUCGGCGCCCUAGGGAGAGGCAUCCCUCCCUUCGGCCGAAGUGGGCAGGGGUGAGGGGCUGCGCCCAGUCCUCUAGUGGGAUGCGCUGCCCUCUCUCCUUAGCCCAUGAGCCCCCCAACAAUUGUCGAGGCCUCCCGAAACUCCUUUCGGUAUUCCAUCACUUCCUCGGUGUGCCCCUGAACACUUUCGGACUCCGAUGACCUUCAUCCUAUAUAUCAAUCUUCACCUACGGACUAUUUCAGAGUUCCUCGUCACGUCCGGGGAUCUCAUCCAGGACUCUGAACAACCUUCUAUCACCAACACAAUGACUCAAUUAUGCUUAUAUCAUCACCGAACCUUUGUAUAGACCCUGCGGGUUCGAGAACUAUGCAGACAUGACCGAGACACUCUCCGGUCAAUAACCAAUAGCGGGACUUGGAUGACCAUAUUGGUUCCUAGGUAUUCUACGAAGAUCUAUAUCGGUCGAACCUCGAUGUCAUGGAUUCAAUCAACCCCGUAUACAAUUUCCUUUGUCCAUCGGUAUGUUACUUGCCCAAGAUUCAAUCGUCGGUAUCUCCAUACCUAGUUCAAUCUCGUUACCGACAAGUCUCUUUACUCGUUACGUAAUACAAGAUCCCGUGCCUAACUCUUUAGUCACAUUGCUUGCAAGCUCAUUGUGAUGUUGUAUUACCGAGUGAGCCCUCAGAUACCUCUCCGUCAUACGGAGUGAAAAAUCCCAGUCUUGAUCCAUGUCAACUCAAUAGUCACCCUCGGAUAUACCUGUAGAGCACCUUUAUAGUCACCCAGUUACGUUGCGACGUUUGAUACACACAAGGUAAUCCUCCGAUGUCAAUGAGUUGCACGAUCUCAUGGUCAUACUAAUAGAUAACAUGUAGAAAACAGUAGCAAUAAACUGACACAAUCAUAUGUUACGUUCAUAGUUUGGGCCUUUUCCAUCGCAUCAUUCUCCUAAUGUUGCGAUCCCGUUAUUAAAUGACAACUCAUGUCUAUGUCCAGGAAACCUUGACCAUCUUUGACCAACGAUCUAGUCCAUUAGAGGCUCACUAGGGAGAGUGUGUUAUUUAUGUAUCCACACAUGUAUUUGAGUAUCCACACAUAUAAUAAUAACCACUUUAUUAUUGCCUCUAUGGCAUAUUUCCAACAGUCUCCCACUUGCACUAGAGUCAAUAAUCUAGCUCACAUCACUAUGUGAUUUACAUUAUAAUGAAUCUGACACCCAUACAGUUCUGGUGUUGAUCAUGCUUCGCUCAUGGAAGAGGCUUAGUCAAUGGGUCUCCCACAUUUAGAUCUGUGUGCACUUUGCAAAUAUUUAUGCUCUCCUCCUUCAUAUAAUUGCGGAUGGAAUUGAAGCGUUGUUUUAUGUGUCUGGUCCUCUUGUGAAAUCAUGGUUCCUUGGCUAGAUCAAUGGCACUAGUGUUGUCACAAAACAGAGUCAUUGGAUCCAGUGCACGGGGCACAACUCCAAGAUAUGUCAUGAACUACUUCAUCCAGACACCUUCUUUAGCUUCCUCCGACGCAACUAUGUACUCCGCUUCGCAUGUAGAAUCAGCUACCACGCUUUGCUAGGAACUGCACCAGCUUACUGCACCCCCAUUGAGAAUAUUUAUGUAUCCGGUCUGUGACUUAGAGUCAUCCGGAUCAGUGUCAAAGCUUGCAUCGACGUAACCCUUUACGACGAGCUCUUGAUCACCUCCAUAAACGAGAAACAUUUCCUUUGUCCUUUUCAAGUACUUCGGGAUAUUCUUGACCGUUGUCUAGUGUUACAUUCCUGAAUCACUUUGAAACCUUCCCACUAUACUUAUGGCAAGGCUGACAUCAGGUCUUGUGCACAGCAUUGCAUACAUGAUAGUGUUGGAAUUAUGCCCUAGAGGCAAUAAUAAAUAUAGUUAUUAUUAUNNNNNNNNNNNNNNNNNNNNNNNNNNNNNNNNNNNNNNNNNNNNNNNNNNNNNNNNNNNNNNNNNNNNNNNNNNNNNNNNNNNNNNNNNNNNNNNNNNNNAGACGGCGCGGGGCGACGACGGUGACGGCGAGGCGGAGACGGACGGGCAGCCUGGCGGCGUCAGGCGACGGGGAAGAACGAAUUGAACCAAAUUUUCGCGAGUGCUGCUUAUAUAGGCAGAGCAUUGGUCCCGGUUCAUGGCACCAACCGGGACCAAAGGCCUCUGUUUUGGUGCCACAAACCGGGAAAAAAGAGGGGCAUUGGUCCCGGUUGGUGCCACCAACCGAAACCAAAUGGCGUGUGCUCGUGCGGUGCGGUGCUAUGUUUAGUCCCACCUCGCUAGCCGAGAGGGGCUCAAAGUGGUUUACAAGCCCCGACGAACCAACCACUUUGAGCUCCUCUCUACUGCAGACUUACGGGUCUAAAAUCACUCUCUGUGCUUGUGGGCCUAUUGGGCCUACUGUGGGCCUGCAUCCUGGCCCUAGUAAUGGGUUUCUAGUCGUAUGCAGGCCGUGGUGGCUCUGUAGGUGGCACUUUUUUUAAAACAAAUCAUGUUUUUUGCUUUCUUUUUUAUUUCUAAUUACUUAUUUAUUUUCUUUUACAAUAAUUAUUUUUGCUAUUAAAGUUUGUAACAAAAUUCUAAUUACUUAUUUAUUUUCUUUUAUGAUAAUUCUUUUUGAUUUUAAUGUUUUGAACAAAAUUCUAAUUACUUAUUUAUUUUAUUUUAUGAUAAUUCUUUUUUCUAUUAAAGUUUGUAACAAAAUUCUAUAUAAUUUUAGUUUUAAUAAUACUAGAGGUUUAUAAAAGCUUUUUAGUUAAUUCUUUUAUUUUAAAUUUUUCUCAGUUUUUUGCUUUCUUUUUUGUUUCUAAUUACUUAUUUAUUUUCUUUUACGGUAAUUCUUCUUGCUAUUAAAUUUUGUAACAAAAUUCUAAUUACUUAUUUAUUUUCUUUUAUGAUAAUUCUUUUUACUAUUAAAGUUUGUAACAAAAUUCUAUAUAAUUUUAGUUUCAAUAAUACUAGAGGUUUAUAAAAGCUUUUUAGUUGAUUCCUUUGGUACGAGUUCUAAGGAUGUUACAAAGGCAUUUUAUUUGGUACAGGUUUUAAGGUUGGGGCUCCACGAGCACCUUUUAGUACCGGUUCGUGGCAAUGAACCGGUAAAUGAGUUUUUUAGUUGAUUCUUUCUGCAGCUGUGUUUUAGUCCCACCUUGCUAAGCGAGAGGCACUCGCAGCGGUUUAUAAGCCCUGAGUGUAGAGACGAUGAAGGGAGAAGCGCAGUGCUCACCUGCACGUUGGCCUGAAGCUAAGCAACGCGCAGGUGAGCAUUGCGCCUCUCUUUUAUUUUGGCAUGGUAUCAUCAUUUCAUCCACAUAGCAUAUCCAAGAAAGUUGAGAGGGUUACGGCAAAAACUGGAUGCACUUCGUGUACAAAAUGGACAAUCUCUUUCGAAGUAUCAGGAUUUCAUACGGAAACUUGUGUGUUACAACAUGCAUUUCAAAUGAACUACAAAAAGGUUGAAAGUUGGCAUGGUAUCAUCAUAAUAGUUGUGGAGGAAGUCUUCACUUUUUCUUCGCUUGUGUCCUUUCCUUAUUGCGCCGUAACUAUGGAUAAUCUUCAUCAUUUAUCAGGAUGCUUGGGUCAGCCUUGACUUUGAAGGGAGGAAUUUCAUGAAACUUUUCAUAAUCUUCGGACAUGUCUGUCUUGCCCUCCACUCCCACGAUGUCCCUUUUUCCUGAAAGAACUAUGUGGCGCUUUGGCUCAUCGUAUGAUGUAUUCGCUUCCUUAUUUUUUUCUUUUUCUCGGUUUGGUAGACAUGCCCUUCACAUAGAUAACCUGUGCCACAUCAUUGGCUAGGACGAACGGUUCGUCAGUGUACCCAAGAUUGUUCAGAUGCACUGUUGUCAUUCCGUACUGUGGGUCUACCUGUACCCCGCCUCCUGACACAUUGACCCAUUUGCACUAAAACAAAGGGACAUUAAAAUCUACUCCGUAGUCAAGUUCCCAUAUGUCCACUAUGUAACCAUAAUAUGUGUCCUUUCCCCUCUCGGUGGCUGCAUCAAAGCGGACACAGCUGUUUUGGUUGGUGCUCUUUUGAUCUUGGGGAUCCUGUAAAAUGUAUUCCCAUUUAUCUCGUAUCCUUUCCAAAUCGUAACAGUGGAAGAUGGUCCCCUGGACAACGAGUACAGCUCAUCACAAACAGUGUUUUCAUCUCUGAGACUUGUUUCCAACCAACUGCUGAAAGUCCUGAUGUGUUCACAUGUAAUCCAGUCGUCGCACUACUCUGGGUGUUUGGAGCACAGACUGUUCUUGUGUUCAUCGACAUAAGGGGUCACCAAGGUAGAGUUCUGUAGAACUAUGCAGUGUGCUUGAGACCAAGAAUAUCUGUCCCUGCAUAUUAUUGUCUCCCCUCCAAGCGUGCCUUUUCCAGUCAGUCUCCCCUCAUACCGCGAUUUAGGGAGACCUAUCUUCUUAAGGUCAAGAAUGAAGUCAACACAAAACCCAAUGACAUCCUCUGUUUGAUGGCCCAUGGAGAUGCUUCCUUCUGGCCUAGCGCGGCUACGGACAUAUUUCUUUAGGACUCCCAUGAACCUCUCAAAGGGGUACAUAUUGUGUAGAAAUACGGGGCCCAGAAUGACAAUCUCGUCAACUAGAUGAACUAGGACAUGCGUCAUGAUAUUGAAGAAGGAUGGUGGGAACACCAGCUCGAAACUGACAAGACAUUGCACCACAUCACUCCUUAGCCUUGGUAUGAUUUCUAGAUCGAUCACCUUCUGAGAGAUUGCAUUGAGGAAUGCACAUAGCUUCACAAUGGCUAAUCGGACGUUUUCCGGUAGAAGCCCCCUCAAUGCAACCGAAAGCAGUUGCGUCAUAAUCACGUGGCAGUCAUGAGACUUUAGGUUCUGAAACUUUUUCUCUGCCAUAUUUAUUAUUCCCUUUAUAUUCGACGAGAAGCCAGUCGUGACCUUCAUACUAAGCAGGCAUUCAAAGAAGAUUUCCUUCUCUUCUUUGGUAAGAGCGUAGCUGGCAGGACCUUCAUACUGCUUUGGAGGCAUGCCGUCUUUUUUGUGCAAAUGUUGCAGGUCCUCCCGUGCCUCAGUUGUAUCUUUUGUCUUCCCAUACACGCCCAAGAAGCCUAGCAGGUUGACGCAAAGGUUCUUCGUCACGUGCAUCACGUCUAUCGAAGAGCGGACCUCUAGGUCUUUCCAGUAGGGUAGGUCCCAAAAUAUAGAUUUCUUCUUCCACAUGGGUGCGUGUCCCCUAGCGUCACUCGGAACAGCUAGUCCGCCGGGACCCUUUCCAAAGAUUACGUGUAAAUCAUUGACCAUAGCAAGUACGUGAUCACCGGUACGCAUGGCGGGCUUCUUCCGGUGAUCUGCCUCGCCUUUGAAAUGCUUGCCUUUCUUUUGACAUUGAUGGUUGGUCGGAAGAAAUCGACGAUGGCCCAGGUACACAUUCUUCCUGCAGCUUCCCAGGUAUAUACUUUCGGUGUGAGCUAAAUAGUGUGUGCAUGCGUGGUAUCCCUUGUUUGUCUGUCCUGAAAGGUUACUGAGAGCGGGCCAAUCGUUGAUGGUUACAAACAGCAACGAGUGCGGGUUAAAUUCCUCCUGUUUGUGCUCAUCCCACGCACGUACACCGUUUCCAUUCCACAGCUGUAAAAGUUCUUCAACUAAUGGCCUUAGGUACACAUCAAUGUUGUUGCCGGGUUGCUUAGGGCCUUGGAUGAGAACUGGCAUCAUAAUGAACUUCCACUUCAUGCACAUCCAAGGAGGAAGGUUAUACAUACAUAGAGUCACGGGCCAGGUGCUGUGAUUGCUGCUCUGCUCCCCGAAAGGAUUAAUGCCAUCCGCGCUUAAACCAAACCAUACGUUCCUUGGGUCACGUGCAAACUCAGCCCAGUACUCUCUCUCGAUUUUUCUCCACUACGACCCGUCAGCGGGUGCUCUCAACUUCCCGUCUUUCUUACGGUCCUCACUGUGCCAUCGCAUCAACUUGGCAUGCUCUUUGUUUCUGAACAGUCGUUUCAACCGUGGUAUUAUAGGAGCAUACCACAUCACCUUCGCAGGAACUCUCUUCCUGCGGGGCUCACCGUCAACAUCACCAGGGUCAUCUCGUCUGAUCUUAUACCGUAAUGCACCGCAUACCGGGCAUGCGUUCAAAUCCUCGUACGCACCGCGGUAGAGGAUGCAGUCAUUAGGGCAUGCAUGUAUCUUCUGCACCUCCAAUCCUAGAGGGCAUACGACCUUCUUUGCUGCUUACGUACUGUCGGGCAAUUCAUUAUCCUUUGGAAGCUUCUUUUUCAAUAUUUUCAGUAGCUUCUCAAAUCCUUUGUUGGGCACAACAUUCUCUGCCUUCCACUGCAGCAAUUCCAGUACGGUACCCAGCUUUGUGUUGCCAUCUUCACAAUUGGGGUACAACUUUUUUUGUGAUCCUCUAACAUGCGAUCGAACUUCAGCUUCUCCUUUUGACUUUCGCAUUGCGUCCUUGCAUCGACAAUGACCCGGCGGAGAUCAUCAUCGGGCACAUCAUCUGGUUUCUCUUGAUCUUCAGCAGCUUCCCCCGUUGCAGCAUCAUCGGGCACAUCGUCUGGUUCCUCUUGAUCUUCAGCAGCUCCCCCCGUUGCAGCAUCACCGUAUUCAGGGGGCACAUAGUUGUCAUCGUCCUCUUCUUCUUCGUCGUCUUCCAUCAUAACCCCUAUUUCUCCAUGCCUCGUCCAAACAUUAUAGUGUGGCAUGAAACCCUUGUAAAGCAGGUGGGUGUGAAGGAUUUUCCGGUCAGAGUAAGACUUCGUAUUCCCACAUUUACUGCAUGGACAACACAUAAAACCAUUCUGUUUGUUUGCCUCGGCCACUUCGAGAAAAAUAUGCACGCCCUUAAUGUACUCGGAGGUGUGUCUGUCACCAUACAUCCAUUGCCGGUUCAUCUGCGUGCAUUAGAUAUAAUUAUGUGUGUCAAAAUUAAGAAAAUCAGACAAAUAUCUAUCUAAAGUAAGAAAAUCAGACAAGUAUCAUAAAGAAGAUAAGAACAAGAGGCUCACCACGGUGGUGCCGGCGACGAGAUCGGCGCGGGCGAUCAACGGCGGUGAAAACGGGGACGGGGCGUGACGGGCCCCUAAAUCUAUACAAAUCUCAAAAAAAUGGAGCUCCUAGGUCGAGCUUCGAGAGGAGAAAGCUUAACUAGUGUGGCUCGGGCAUUUCAUCGAACACCUCAUGUGCAUAGGAGGUGAACACCUCAUGUGCAUAGGAGGUGAACUAGAAACCUCGCCGGAUUGAAAAAACAGAGCACUGUGGAGUGCUCUGCCGCGGCGGUGGGUAUAUAUAGGCAAGUUAUUUGUCCCGGUUCGUGGCAUGAACCGGGACUAAAGCCACCCCUUCUGUCCCGGUUCAUGCCACGAACCGGGACCAAUGGUUGUGGGCCAGCACCGAGGACCAUUGGUCCCGGUUCGUGGCUCGAACCAGGACAAAUGGUUCUACACGAACCGGGACCAAUGCCCAUGAGGCCCCGGCCGGCCCCCUGGGCUCACGAAGCGGGUCUAAUACUCCCCAUUGGUCCCGGUUCUUGAAGAACCGGGACUAAUGAGCUGGCCAGGGUCGAACGAUAGCCCUGUUUUCUACUAGUGUGGGAGGAGAUAAGCUUGAGUGUGUGUGAACGGUUUGGAUGAUACAUGGCUAGAAGGGGUAUGUGAUCGAAAGGACAUUUUGUCCAUGCGAUGAAAGGGAUCGGACGAUGUACGAGGUGGUGGAUGCAUGAAAAUCAUGAGCCGGAUGAAUAGAAUCGUUUUCCUUAGAUCAUAACAUGUUUAAUAACAUAAAAUAUAGGUUGGUCCUAGUAAUUAUAGACACACAAAAAUAAGCUUAUUAAGAUUUUUAGGCUCUCCCACUAUCCGUCACUGGGUCUCAGUCAUUAAUCUAAUGACAACACGAAUCUUAUUUAAUUUAAACUAAUGCAUUUAAAUGUUGUACAUAUUUCAUCUUCAGCUACUCUCCCCCCUCUCCCUCUCUCUUCCUCUCUCCCGCUUCUCAAAUUGGAUUUAAAUUUGCAUGGCUUAAUAUCAUUUUGCUCAAAUAUUUAGAGCCACAAAGAACGUUCAAACGAUAAUCAAAACACAUUAUUUUUAUAUGACAUAAUAUUAUAUAAGGAUCGUGUUGUAAGCCCCUGUCUGUUAAUUAUGGUGCCAUUUGUGUGAUAAAUCAUGCUUACCCAUUAGAGCUCCAGAAAAAUGACAAGAUAAGGGAACCUAAAGAUGAAUUUUUACGUUGUUGCAUAGGGUACCUCCAACACUUAUAAGUAUGAGAGUGGCUUCUCCAUGAUUGGAUUCGUUCUUGGGAGUAGCUAUUUGAAGUUUCAAAGUAAAUGAAAAAAAUGUACUAUCGCAACUAGAGAGUUAAACCAUGCAUGUUACUAAGGCUGCUCAUAGUGGAGAGUAACAUAUAGUAGUAUCAUGCAUAUGUUACUAUUGUAUGAUACUACCUUCAUAGUGCAUAGUAUCAUAAACUAGUAUCAUAGAUGAUCUCAUUUAUUGACAUGCAUAACACAUAGUAGCAUAGCAUUUAACAUGUUACGGUAUCUAGCUAUGUUACUCUAAUCCUCUCUCUCUUCUUUAAUUACUUGUCACAUCACCAUGUUUGCUAGUCCCAAAACUAUGUUACUAGCUAUGAUACCCCCACUAUGACCACCUAAAACCUCUACUGCUAAAGGAGGAAUUUGGUACGUCAUUCGUCUCGCACCCCCUCGAUCGAAAGAAAAUCGUCCAUAGACCCCGUGUCCCCCCUCCCUCCCACUGAUUUUUCCACCACAAGCCACAUAGUUUUUUCCUCAAAGAAAAACCGAGCCUACCCCCCACAUCGCCGCUGCCAGACUCCUCACCCACGCCUCCCUCAAUCCCUAACCAAGUCGUUGCUCAUCUCCCCUUCUCUGACCAUAGCCGCCGCCGCACCCCACCCCUUUCCUUCUCGCCCUCCACACAUCUUCCCAUACCCCUCCCCUAUAGCCGCACAUCUACUUCGGCCCCGACCCUCCACAUGUUUUGCAAGGGUUUCAAAAGGAUGGCGUUCCUGUUGAAGGUCGGGAAUGUCCUCAAGAGAUUAGCGGGCUCCGGCUCAUCGAUGCUCUAGGCGGUUCGGUCCAUGUCCUCCUCCAAGGUCAUCGUUUGAUAUUCGUCGGAUUUCUCCCUCUUGUACAUCUCAUCUGUUACCUUUGCACCCUGAGAUGAGAUUUUCUUGUUGGGGGAUCCCUCGUAUAUUAUACUGCCCUAACUUGUCAUGUCCUAGCAGGCAUCUCGUAUGGCAGGGACGAGACUAUUGACACCAAAUUUUGGCAUGGUUAAAAACUUAAUUAAGGUGACCUCAUAUGGAAAAGUACUCAACAUGAGAAAGUUAUACAUCACCGAAUGGAACAACUUUGAUGCUUAGGUCAUCACCUUCCAACCUCAUAUUAAGGGCCGAAAUUGUACUCCUAGAAUGAUAAUUUAACUUCGUGAGUGUUGUUCGGCUGAUUAAGCCCCCAAGAUGACCUCAUUUGAGAAAAUGUUCUACAUGGAUUAUCUUCGUCUUGUCUCGUCGAUCGAUUUUGAUAUAAAAGCCAUCUCAAUCCGAUGCAAAAGUUAGAGCCAUCGGAAUGCGGUCCUAUCACAAGCCAAAAAGUGGCGCUCAAUCACACAUGUGUCUGAUAGGUAGCGCCCUGAUUUCUUGUUUUGCACGAGCAUUUCGGCACACAACGCAGCCCUUAAUCGAAAAAUGUUCAACACAAAAUUUGUUUGUCUCAUCGAAACUAUUAAAUUUGCUUUUAGGCUCAUCUUCAUCCGAGGUCUUUCUUGGCCUGUGAGACCCAAAAACCCGAACUGCUGUCUUAGACUUACCUAAAUCUGAGUUCGGUUAAUUUUGAAAAGAUUUGGACGGAGUUUGAAGUCUUUUUCUUAUACGAGAAGUUCAGCCGCCUCAAUACACCACAAAUUCUAACAUUAAAAUGGCCGUUUGCGUCAACUUUUAACACCAUCGAUGUAACUGACUCUACAAAUUUACAUCAUGUGGCAAUACAUGACAAACUUUUCCCCUAGCUUUAUAACAAGAAACAUCUCAUGUAUCAAGGACGAUAAACCCAACAUAGAUUUUGAUUUAUUCUUUCAAUGAGGGUCAAUUUUGUUAACUUGAAAUAACAUACUAAGUGGAUAUGAACACACACAUCCAUCCUCAACAUAGUCUCCAUCUCUACCUAAUAAUAAGAUAAAUACUGCUUCUGGUCGUAUGUCGUGAUGUUUUUGUAGAAAGGUCCCUGUUGUUUCUGUUAAUUAAUCCGUAGUCCGUUUAUAACUGAGACAUAACCGUUUUUUUGCGUUUUACGCAAGACCCCCUUACUUUUACACUAAAUAACCUGUGUUCCAAAUUUUAGUCAGAAUGAAUCGUUUUUUUUUAAUUUUACGUAAACCCCUGACAUAUGCAUUAAUAACCUCGGAGUCUAUUCAGAAUAAAUAUGUAUUUUCAAAUAACAAUAUCUUUUAAACCGUAAAUUCAAUUUAAACAUGUUAUAUAUGAAAUUUGAUUAGAAAAAUGUGUAGAGUUUGAAUAUGUUGUUAUUUUACAUGUUAAAUAUUUUUUAAAUACUAUAUAGGAUACAAUAUUAAUCAAUAUUUGUCUUUAUUUCGUAUCGACGAUCUGUAGUGUAACAUGUAAACUUAAGCGUCAAUAUUUGGAAAAUGUUAUAAUCUUUGGGCAUGAUGUAUUUGCACUAGGUUCUUUUUUUGUACAUAUUUUAUAAUCUAAAACCUUACGUACGUGUCUUUUUUUACAGAAUCCACGCACGUUUUUGCCAACGGAUUAUACUUUUUUUGUAGUGAAUACACAAACAAUUUUUAUAGGUUGUACAUGCACUUAUAAAAUUGAUGAACAUCAGAAGUACAUGGAGGUUUAUUUUAAAAACAUCUGAACUAUUAUCUGAUAGUAAUUGAAUGUUAAUAAUUGAAUUUUUUGUUUGAGGAUAACAGUUGAAUUGAUAAGUACAAUCUUAAUUUGUGUUCAUCUAUUGCAUGUGAUGGAUAUACAUAUAGACUUUUUUGAAUAGACUUAAUUUAUAAACACGGCCUCCUCGAUAUCGAACAACACCACGUCGAUGAUACCUGAGUGUGGUCGUAGGUGCACACCAUCAAUAUAACGAAUCAGAAUCAAAAUUGAAUCAAAAUGAUAACGGCUCAGGUAAAAAAAAACUAUCUGUUGCAACGCACGGACUGUUUUGCUAGUUAGCUAGGAUACACAUGUAGACGUUGGGUGUGUGUGUGAUGAACUUGCUAGAGUGGGGCGUACAUAGGUUCAAACUGCAGUGUGGCUGAUCUCAGGUCCGAGUGGGGUUAGAAAAGGACACGGUUACUUAUCCUUGGUGAACACGGGCAGGGCUGCAGUUUCUACCAGUCUCCGUCCACUGCUCCGACGGUGAAUGGAGGGGGGUGGGCUCCGACGGUAUGUUCAAUUAGGUAGGGCUCGGUUUUUGUCCAGUGUCCCCAGAGCGGUGAGGACGGCGGCGUGUCGAUAAUAAAUUGUCUCCGGUCCCUUCCUCACCAUGACGAUGCUCAGGGCGUUGAGGGGCCUGUGCGAGCUGUGCGCUUGCACAAGGCCCCCAAAAUUCUAGGACCCCCAACUAGGGUUCAUAUGUAUAUGUAUAUAGUCUGGAAAAAAAUCAGUUAUAUAGAUCAAAUAUGCAAAGAGUUCACUGCCAGCCAGGGUCCGCUCCGCUUGAGGCUUUCUUGGGUCUGGCCUUUGGAAUUGCCACGCACACGUACUAACAAAUUGUCUAGCGUGGAAACUUGCCAGGCCCGCCAGGGACAUUGUAUUGUACUAGCGUGGAAACUUGUAGGAACGAGGUGGAUGUGCAUUGAUCUACUAGCGAAACGAAAGUCCCAGCGCACUACUUUCCUAACCUCCGGCACCGAUUCCUCUUCUUUCGGACUGAAACAGCGGCAGCAAUCGAGAUCGCUUUGCAGGUUGACGUGCGCAGCGAGCCGACAAGUAGAAUCGGACGCCGGACGCCGCCGGCAGGCCGCCGCGCGCCCCCGCCGGCGGCCGACCGGCACUGCCGCAGAAGCGUCCAACAGGAACGGUAGUUGUGUGGUGCCCUCCCUACGCUCUUNNNNNNNNNNNNNNNNNNNNNNNNCGCUCUUCCCCUUUUCUCUAACUUCGAUACAAAUUACAGAGAUAAUCACCUGAUGCAGUCUAGUUCUGGAAGAAAAUACGAUUGCCUUCAAGCUUAAGAAGAAACAGAAAUUAGAAGAUGCUCAAUCUCAGCAUGGCGCUCUUGAUAAAUAUGUUGUGAAAGGGCCCCAAACUAAUUCUGACAAUCAAACUCCAGAUGCUAAUAUUGAUGGAGAUCAAGAUGUUAAUGCAGUAGAGGUUGAGGUUGUCGCCGCAAAAAUUUAAGAAGGUGAUCAUGGUCAUUGUGAUAAUGCAGAAGAGGUUGAGGUUANNNNNNNNNNNNNNNNNNNNNNNNNNNNNNNNNNNNNNNNNNNNNNNNNNNNNNNNNNNNNNNNNNNNNNNNNNNNNNNNNNNNNNNNNNNNNNNNNNNNGAAUGUACCGGGAAUGACGAAUGGGUUCCGGGAGUUCACCGGGGGGGGCAACCCACCCCGGGGAAGCCCAUAGGCCUUGGGGGAGACACACCAGCCCUUAGUGGGCUGGUGGGACAGCCCACAAGUGCUCUAUGCGCCAAGAGAAGAAAAUCAAGAGGAAAAGAAAAAAAAGGGAGGAGGUGGGAAGGGAGGAGGACUCCCUCCCACCAAACCUAGUCCAACUCGGUUUGGGGGGGGAGAGUCCUCCCCCUUGGCUCGGCCGACCCCCUUGAGGGUCCUUGGACCCCAAGGCAAGGCCCCCUCCCUCCCACCUAUAUAUACGGAGGUUUUAGGGCUGAUUUGAGACGACUUUUCCACGGCAGCCCGACCACAUACCUCCACAGUUUUUCCUCUAGAUCGCGUUUCUGCGGAGCUCAGGCGGAGCCCUGCUGAGACAAGGUCAUCACCAACCUCGGGAGCGCCGUCACUCUGCCGGAGAACUCUUCUACCUCUCCGUCUCUCUUGCUGGAUCAAGAAGGCCGAGAUCAUCGUCGAGCUGUACGUGUGCUGAACGCGGAGGUGCCGUCCGUUCGGUACUAGAUCGUGGGACUGAUCGCGGGAUUGUUCGCGGGGCGGAUCGAGGGACGUGAGGACGUUCCACUACAUCAACCGCGUUCUCUAACGCUUCUGCUGUACGGUCUACAAGGGUAUGUAGAUCACUCAUCCCCUCUCGUAGAUGGACAUCACCAUGAUAGGUCUUCGUGCGCGUAGGAAAUUUUUUGUUUCCCAUGUGACGUUCCCCAACAGUGGCAUCAUGAGCUANNNNNNNNNNNNNNNNNNNNNNNNNNNNNNNNNNNNNNNNNNNNNNNNNNNNNNNNNNNNNNNNNNNNNNNNNNNNNNNNNNNNNNNNNNNNNNNNNNNNGCAUCGUCUUGAAGAGCUCCGGAUCCCGUUUGCACGCUCCAUGGUCUGGACACUCGCGGCAUUGCAGUAGGCAGGUGCUCGUCUGGCGAUGUGUUUGUUCUGCGCGGCUUCUUGUGUGGCAAGAAUUUUGGCUUCAGGCAGAGCUGGCUUGCUGAUGGUUCUUGGUAGUCGGUCUCUUCCAGCAUGUUCGAGGGAUCGUUGUGCCUCGCUUUUGUCUUCAUGAAGUCAGAGCUGUUGAGGAGGGUCCCUUGCGAUGAAGAUGAUACGAUACGGGUGGUCGGCUUUGGCGCUGGCUCGGCGCAAGCCCAACGGUUUUCCCCGACAAUGCUCAUCGAAAGAGUCGGAGCUGCCUAGUCGCCGGCGCGUGUGGCUGACUGUUUGGCUUUGACCGACGCGGGCCUCGACGCUUGUCCGCGGUGAGGGCUUCUUCGGUGGUCGUCGAUGGUGGAGUCAGAGUCGCCCUCGUGGAGGCGUGAUGACGAUGACAUCGGGUUGCAGCCUUGAUGAUCUUUUCUCCAUAGCGGUUUGUGUGCGUUUCUGUGUGGGUUGCGAGGUCGCCCUUUGUGCCAUGUUUUUGCUGGCAUGUUGUGACGGUUUUCUUUCGGUUUUCCAAUAGUUAACCAAACAAUUCUCCUCAAUCUUUUUAAUGAAUCGGGACCUAAGGGACGGUGUUAAAAUUUUUUCCACGGGGGUGGAAAUGAAUUGUUUGGUAGUGUUCACUAUUUGGCCCGCAUGACAUGAACAUUAAAGCAACUUCCAGUCAGGCCUAUUGGAAACGCUUAAAUCGACAAUUUCCGCGGAGCUAGUAUAGAGUCUGUACGUGCUAUCUUCUUCUACCUUCAUUAAGCUCCUCCCUAACCCCUUUCUUCCUUGUCCCUCCUAAUCUACACAACGAUGUUUCAGUUCGAAAUAAACUCUAGACGAAAAGAUGCACAUCGAUGUUAUGGUUCCGACCGAUUCGUAGUUUCUUCGACCCUAAAUGCUUCAGAUGUGGUGUCAACGAGCGCUUCUCAUCCUCUUUGUUCUUUGAUUUAUCCUCCUCGGUCUNNNNNNNNNNNNNNNNNNNNNNNNNNNNNNNNNNNNNNNNNNNNNNNNNNNNNNNNNNNNNNNNNNNNNNNNNNNNNNNNNNNNNNNNNNNNNNNNNNNNAUGUGAUGUGAUAUAUUGGAUGUAUGAGAUGAUCAUGUUGUAAUAGAUAAUAUCGACUUGCACGUCGAUGGUACGGCAACCGGCAGGAGCCAUAGGGUUGUCUUUAUAACUAACGUUUGUGCUUGCAGAUGCGUUUACUAUUUUGCUAGGACGUAGCUUUAGUAGUAAUAGCAUGAGUAGCACGACAACCCCGAUGGCGACACGUUGAUGGAGAUCAUGAUGAUGGAGAUCAUGGUGUGACGCCGGUGACAAGAAGAUCGUGCUGGUGCUUUGGUGAUGGAGAUCAAGAAGCACGUGAUGAUGGCCAUAUCAUGUCACUUAUGAAUUGCAUGUGAUGUUAAUCCUUUUAUGCACCUUAUUUUGCUUAGAACGACGGUAGCAUUAUGAGGUGAUCUCUCACUAAAAUUUCAAGACGAAAUUGUGUUCUCCCCGACUGUGCACCGUUGCUACAGUUCGUCGUUUCGAGACACCACGUGAUGAUCGGGUGUGAUAGACUCAACGUUCACAUACAACGGGUGCAAAACAGUUGCGCACGCGGAACACUCGGGUUAAGCUUGACGAGCCUAGCAUGUGCAGACAUGGCCUCGGAACACAUGAGACCGAAAUGUCGAGCAUGAAUCGUAUAGUUGAUAUGAUUAGCAUAGAGAUGCUUACCACUAAAACUAUUCUCGACUCACGUGAUGAUCGGACUUGAGAUAGUGGAUUUGGAUCAUGUACCACUCAAGUGACCAGAGAUAUGUACUUUUUGAGUGGGAGUUCUUAAGUAAUAUGAUUAAUUGAACUAAUUGUCAUGAACAUAGUCUAAUGGUCUUUGCGAAUUACGAUGUAGCUUGCACUAUAGCUCUACUGUUUUUAUAUGUUCCUAGAGAAAAUUUAGUUGAAAGUUGAUAGUAGCAAACUUUGCAGACUGAGUCUGUAAAACCGAGGAUUGUCCUCAUUGCUGCACAGAAGGCUUAUGUCCUUAAUGCACCACUCGGUGUGCUGCACCUCGAGCGUCGUCUGUGGAUGCUGUGAAUAUCCGACAUUCACGUUUCUGAUGACUACACGAUAGUUCAGUACAAAAAUACUUAAUGGCUUAGAAGCAAGGCGCCGAAAACGUUGUAAAAUGUCACGGAACAUAAGUGAUGUUCUAAAGAGAUGAAAUUGUGAUUUCAUGCUUGUGCCCUUGUUAAGAGGUACGAGACAUUCGACAAGAUUAUUUGUCCACAAAGUAAAGGAGAAAGGCUCAAUCGUUGAGCAUGUGCUCAGAUUGUCUGAGUACGACAAUCGCUUGAAUCAAGUGGGAGUUAAUCUUCUAGAUGAGAUAGUGAUAGUUCUCCAAAGUCACUGCCACCAAGCUAUGAGAGCUUCGUGAUGAACUAUAACAUAUCAAGGAUACAUACAAUGAUCCUUGAGCGAUUCGCGAUGUUUGACACUGCGAAAGUAGAAAUCAAGAAGGAGCAUCAAUAGUUGAUGGUUUGUAAAACCACUAAGUUUCAAGAAGGGCAAGGGCUAGAAGGGAUACUUCGUGAAACGGCAAAACAGUUGUUGCACUAAUGAAGAGACCCAAGAUUAAACCCAAACCCGAGACUAAGUGCUUCUGUAAUGAGGGGAACAGUCACUGAGGCGGAGCAACUCUAGAUACUUGGUAGAUAAGAAGGCUGGCAAAAGUCGAAAGAAGUGUAUUUGAUAUACAUGAUGUUGAUGUGUACUUUACUAGUACUCCUAGUAGCAUGUGGGUAUUGGAUACCGGUUCGGUUGCUAAGUGAUUAGUAACACGAAAUGUAAGCUACGGAAUAAAUGUAGACUAGCUAAAAGCGAGGUGACGAUAUGUGUUGGAAGUGUUUCCAAGGUUGAUAUGAUCAAACGUCGCACGCUCCCUCUACCAUCGGGAUUGGUGUUAAACCUAAAUAAUUGUUAUUUGGUGCUUGCGUUAAGCAUGAACAUGAUUGGAUCGUGUUUAUUGCAAUACGAUUAUUCAUUUAAAGAGAAUAAUGGUUACUCUAUUUUCUUGAAUAAUCACCUUCAAUGGUUUAUUGAAUCUCGAUCGUAGUGUUACACAUGUUCAUGAUAUUGGUGCCAAAAGAUACGAGUUGAUGAUGAUAGUACCACUUACUUGUGGCACUGCCGCUUGAGUCAUGUUAGUAUAAAUUGCAUGAAGAGGCUCCAUGCUGAUGGAUCUUUGUACUCACCUGAUUUCGAAUCACUAGUGACAUGCAAAUCAUACCACAUGAGCAAGGCCUUGUUUUUCAUUGAGAUGAAAUAAGAUAGUAACUUGUUGGAAGUGAUACAUUUUGAUGUAUGCAGUCCAAUGGGUGCUGAGGCACGCAGUGGAUAUCAUUAUGUUCUUACUUCACUGACAAUUUGAGUAGAUACAAGAGUAUUUACUUAAUGAAUCACAAGUCUGAAAUGUUGAAAAGUUCAAUUCCGUUUCAGGGUGAAGUUCGUCAUAACAAGAGGAUAAACUGUCUACGAUAUGAUCAUGGAAAUGAAUAUCUGAGAUACGAGUUUUGGUACACAGUUGAGACGAAAGUGGAAAUUGUUUCGCAGUUCAUGCCACCUGGAACAUCAUAGUGUGAUGAUGUGUCUGAACGUCAUAGCCACGCACUAUUUGGUAUGGUGCAUACUAUGAUAUCUCUUAUCGAAUUACCACUAUCGUUUAUGGGUUAUGCAUUAGAGACAACCGCACUCACUUUAAAUAGGGCACCGCGUAUUUCCGUUGAGAUGACACAGUAUAGACUGAGGUUUAGAGAAAUCUAAACUGUCGUUUCUUGAAAGUUUGGGGAUUUCGACACUUAUGUGAAAAAGUUUCAGUCUGAUAAGCUCGAACCCAAAGCGGAUAAAUGCAUCUUCAUAGGAUAUCCAAAGCAGUUGGGUACAUCUCCUAUCUCAGAUCCGAAAGCAAAGUGUUUGUUUCUAGAAACGGAUCCUUUCUCGAGGAAAGGUUUCUCUCGAAAGAAUUGAGUGGGAGGGUAGUAGAACUUGAUGAGGUUAUUGAACCAUCACUUCAACCAGUGUGUAGCAGGGCACAGGAAGUUGUUCAUGUGGCGCCUACACCAAUUGAAGUGGAAGCUGAUGAUGAUGAUCAUUGAGCUUCGAAUCAAGUUACUACAAACCUCGUAGGUCGACAAGGUCGCGUACUGCUGCAGAGUAGUACGGUAACCCUGUCUUGGAGGUCAUGUUGUUGAGCAACAGUGAACCUAUGAGUUAUGGAGAAAGCGAUGGUGGGCCCAGAUUCCAACAAAUGGCUGGAAGCCAUGAAAUCCGAGAGAGGAUCCAUGUGUGAAAACAAAGUGUAGACUUUGGUAGAACUACUUGAUGGUCAUAGGACUAUUGAGUAAAAAUGGAUCUUUAAAGGAAAACAGACGAUGAUGGUGAUAAGUCACUAUUAAGAAAAGCUCGACUUGUCGCAAAGAUGUUUUCGACAAGUUCAAACAGUUGACUAUGAUGAGACUUUCUCACUCGUAGCGAUGCUAAAGGUCUGUUAGAAUUAUGUUAGUUGUUGAUGCAUUAUUUAUGAAAUAUUGCACGUAGGAUGUCAAAACAUUGUUUCCUCGACGGUUUCCUUGAGCAAACAUUGUAUGUGAUACAACCAGGAGGUUCUGUCGAUCCUAAAGAUACUAGCAGGUAUGCAAGCUCCAGCGAUCCUUCAAUGGACUGGUGCAAGCAUCUCGGAGUUGGAAUAUAUAUACUUUGAUGAGAUGAUCAAAGAUUUUGGGUUUGUACAAGGUUUAUGAGAAACUUGUAUUUCCAAAGAAGUGAGUGGGAGCACUAUAGAAUUUCUGAUAAGUAUAUGUGGUUGACAUAUUGUGGAUCAGAAGUAAUGUAGAAUUUCUGUAAAGCAUACAAGGUUGUUUGAAAGGAGUUUUUCAAAGGAAUACCAAGAUUGCGCUACUUGAACGUUGAGCAUCAAAGAUCUAUGGAGAUAGAUCGAAAGCGCUUAAUAGAAGUUUCAACAAGAUGCAUGCCUUGACAAGUUUUUGAAGGAGUUCAAAAUAGAUCAGUAAAGAAGGAGUUCUUGGUUGCGUUGUAAGGUGUGAAUUUGAGUAAGACUCAAAACCUGACCACGGCAGAAUAAAGAGAAUAGACGAAGGUCGUCUUCUAUGCCUUAGCCGUAGAAUGUAAAGUAUGCCAUGCUGUGUACCGCACCUGAUGUGUGCCUUGACUCAAAGUCUGUUGAGAGGUACAGAGAGGGAUCCAUGAUUGAAUCACUAGCAGCGGUCAAAAUUUAUCCUUAGUAACAAAUGGACUAAGGAAUUUUUCUCGAUUAUGGAGGUGGUUAAAGAGUUCGUCGUAAAGGGUUACGUCGAUGCAAGCUUUGACACUAAUCCGAAUAACUAUGAGUAGUGAAACGGAUUCAUAUAGUAGAGUAGAUAUUUGGAGCAUUUCCGAAUAGCACGUAGUAGCAGCAUCUAUAAGAUGACAUAAAGAUUUGUAAAGAACGCACGGAUCUAAAAGUUUCAGAACCGUUGACUAAAACCUCUCUCACGAGCAAGACGUGAUCAGACCCCAUAACUAUAUGGGUGUUGGAUUCGUUGGAAUCACAUGGUGAUGUGAACUAGAUUAUUGACUCUAGUGCAAGUGGGAGACUGUUGGAAAUAUGCCCUAGAGGCAAUAAUAAAUUAGUUAUUAUUAUAUUUCUUAGUUCAUGAUAAUCGUUUAUUAUCCAUGCUAUAAUUGUAUUGAUUGGAAACACAAUACUUGUGUGGAUACAUAGACAAAACACUAUCCCUAGUAAGCCUCUAGUUGACUAGCUCGUUGAUCAAAGAUGGUCAAGGUUUCCUGGCCAUAGGCAAGUGUUGUCACUUGAUAAUGGGAUCACAUCAUUAGGAGAAUCAUGUGAUGGACUAGACCCAAACUAAUAGACGUAGCAUGUUGAUCGUGUCAUUUUGUUGCUACUGUUUUCUGCGUGUCAAGUAUUUGUUCCUAUGACCAUGAGAUCAUAUAACUCACGGACACCGGAGGAAUGCUUUGUGUGUAUCAAACGUCGCAACGUAACUGGGUGACUAUAAAGAUGCUCUACAGGUAUCUCCGAAGGUGUUCGUUGAGUUAGUAUGGAUCGAGACUGGGAUUUGUCACUCCGUGUGACGGAGAGGUAUCUCGGGGCCCACUCGGUAAUACAACAUCACACACAAGCCUUGCAAGCAAUGUAACUUAGUGUAAGUUGCGGGAUCUUGUAUUAUGGAACGAGUAAAGAGACUUGCCGGUAAACGAGAUUGAAAUAGGUAUGCGGAUACUGACGAUUGAAUCUCGGGCAAGUAACAUACCGAAGGACAAAGGGAAUGACAUACGGGAUUAUAUGAAUCCUUGGCACUGAGGUUCAAACGAUAAAGAUCUUCGUAGAAUAUGUAGGAUCUAAUAUGGGCAUCCAGGUCCCGCUAUUGGAUAUUGACCGAGGAGUCUCUCGGGUCAUGUCUACAUAGUUCUCGAACCCGCAGGGUCUGCACACUUAAGGUUCGACGUUGUUUUAUGCGUAUUUGAGUUAUAUGGUUGGUUACCGAAUGUUGUUCGGAGUCCCGGAUGAGAUCAUGGACGUCACGAGGGUUUCCGGAAUGGUCCGGAAACGAAGAUUGAUAUAUAGGAUGACCUCAUUUGAUUACCGGAAGGUUUUCGGAGUUACCGGGAAUGUACCGGGAAUGACGAAUGGGUUCCGGGAGUUCACCGGGGGGGCCCACCCACCCCGGGGAAGCCCAUAGGCCUUGAGGGUGUCACACCAGCCCUUAGUGGGCUGGUGGGACAGCCCAAAAGGGCCUUAUGCGCCAAGAAGGAAAAAUCAAGAGAAAAGAAAAAAAGGGAGGAGGUGGGAAGGAAGGGGGACUCCCUCCCACCAAACCAAGUCCAACUCGGUUUGGGGGGGGGGGGUCCNNNNNNNNNNNNNNNNNNNNNNNNNNNNNNNNNNNNNNNNNNNNNNNNNNNNNNNNNNNNNNNNNNNNNNNNNNNNNNNNNNNNNNNNNNNNNNNNNNNNNNNNNNNNNNNNNNNNNNNNNNNNNNNNNNNNNNNNNNNNNNNNNNNNNNNNNNNNNNNNNNNNNNNNNNNNNNNNNNNNNNNNNNNNNNNNNNNNNNNNNNNNNNNNNNNNNNNNNNNNNNNNNNNNNNNNNNNNNNNNNNNNNNNNNNNNNNNNNNNNNNNNNNNNNNNNNNNNNNNNNNNNNNNNNNNNNNNNNNNNNNNNNNNNNNNNNNNNNNNNNNNNNNNNNNNNNNNNNNNNNNNNNNNNNNNNNNNNNNNNNNNNNNNNNNNNNNNNNNNNNNNNNNNNNNNNNNNNNNNNNNNNNNNNNNNNNNNNNNNNNNNNNNNNNNNNNNNNNNNNNNNNNNNNNNNNNNNNNNNNNNNNNNNNNNNNNNNNNNNNNNNNNNNNNNNNNNNNNNNNNNNNNNNNNNNNNNNNNNNNNNNNNNNNNNNNNNNNNNNNNNNNNNNNNNNNNNNNNNNNNNNNNNNNNNNNNNNNNNNNNNNNNNNNNNNNNNNNNNNNNNNNNNNNNNNNNNNNNNNNNNNNNNNNNNNNNNNNNNNNNNNNNNNNNNNNNNNNNNNNNNNNNNNNNNNNNNNNNNNNNNNNNNNNNNNNNNNNNNNNNNNNNNNNNNNNNNNNNNNNNNNNNNNNNNNNNNNNNNNNNNNNNNNNNNNNNNNNNNNNNNNNNNNNNNNNNNNNNNNNNNNNNNNNNNNNNNNNNNNNNNNNNNNNNNNNNNNNNNNNNNNNNNNNNNNNNNNNNNNNNNNNNNNNNNNNNNNNNNNNNNNNNNNNNNNNNNNNNNNNNNNNNNNNNNNNNNNNNNNNNNNNNNNNNNNNNNNNNNNNNNNNNNNNNNNNNNNNNNNNNNNNNNNNNNNNNNNNNNNNNNNNNNNNNNNNNNNNNNNNNNNNNNNNNNNNNNNNNNNNNNNNNNNNNNNNNNNNNNNNNNNNNNNNNNNNNNNNNNNNNNNNNNNNNNNNNNNNNNNNNNNNNNNNNNNNNNNNNNNNNNNNNNNNNNNNNNNNNNNNNNNNNNNNNNNNNNNNNNNNNNNNNNNNNNNNNNNNNNNNNNNNNNNNNNNNNNNNNNNNNNNNNNNNNNNNNNNNNNNNNNNNNNNNNNNNNNNNNNNNNNNNNNNNNNNNNNNNNNNNNNNNNNNNNNNNNNNNNNNNNNNNNNNNNNNNNNNNNNNNNNNNNNNNNNNNNNNNNNNNNNNNNNNNNNNNNNNNNNNNNNNNNNNNNNNNNNNNNNNNNNNNNNNNNNNNNNNNNNNNNNNNNNNNNNNNNNNNNNNNNNNNNNNNNNNNNNNNNNNNNNNNNNNNNNNNNNNNNNNNNNNNNNNNNNNNNNNNNNNNNNNNNNNNNNNNNNNNNNNNNNNNNNNNNNNNNNNNNNNNNNNNNNNNNNNNNNNNNNNNNNNNNNNNNNNNNNNNNNNNNNNNNNNNNNNNNNNNNNNNNNNNNNNNNNNNNNNNNNNNNNNNNNNNNNNNNNNNNNNNNNNNNNNNNNNNNNNNNNNNNNNNNNNNNNNNNNNNNNNNNNNNNNNNNNNNNNNNNNNNNNNNNNNNNNNNNNNNNNNNNNNNNNNNNNNNNNNNNNNNNNNNNNNNNNNNNNNNNNNNNNNNNNNNNNNNNNNNNNNNNNNNNNNNNNNNNNNNNNNNNNNNNNNNNNNNNNNNNNNNNNNNNNNNNNNNNNNNNNNNNNNNNNNNNNNNNNNNNNNNNNNNNNNNNNNNNNNNNNNNNNNNNNNNNNNNNNNNNNNNNNNNNNNNNNNNNNNNNNNNNNNNNNNNNNNNNNNNNNNNNNNNNNNNNNNNNNNNNNNNNNNNNNNNNNNNNNNNNNNNNNNNNNNNNNNNNNNNNNNNNNNNNNNNNNNNNNNNNNNNNNNNNNNNNNNNNNNNNNNNNNNNNNNNNNNNNNNNNNNNNNNNNNNNNNNNNNNNNNNNNNNNNNNNNNNNNNNNNNNNNNNNNNNNNNNNNNNNNNNNNNNNNNNNNNNNNNNNNNNNNNNNNNNNNNNNNNNNNNNNNNNNNNNNNNNNNNNNNNNNNNNNNNNNNNNNNNNNNNNNNNNNNNNNNNNNNNNNNNNNNNNNNNNNNNNNNNNNNNNNNNNNNNNNNNNNNNNNNNNNNNNNNNNNNNNNNNNNNNNNNNNNNNNNNNNNNNNNNNNNNNNNNNNNNNNNNNNNNNNNNNNNNNNNNNNNNNNNNNNNNNNNNNNNNNNNNNNNNNNNNNNNNNNNNNNNNNNNNNNNNNNNNNNNNNNNNNNNNNNNNNNNNNNNNNNNNNNNNNNNNNNNNNNNNNNNNNNNNNNNNNNNNNNNNNNNNNNNNNNNNNNNNNNNNNNNNNNNNNNNNNNNNNNNNNNNNNNNNNNNNNNNNNNNNNNNNNNNNNNNNNNNNNNNNNNNNNNNNCUUGCAUCAAGACUGCACCACCACACCCACAAUUGGCACAAAUCUGGUAUUCCCAGGUUGCCAAGACAUAUAACAACCCAACAUGAAUGGAAUGGAGCAAGGAAGAGCACCACAACAUCAACUAAGCACACACAAUGAUCAAAAUGACUAUAUUACUCAAUCUGCCAUAAUCUCCAUCUUAGCUCUUUGUGAGCUGCAUGCAACAUAGCUACAGCCCUCCAAAUAUGACAAAUAAUAUAUGUGUAUGUAGCCUACCAAGAACACUACAAGCAACAGCAAGAAUCACAGAAAAAGGAAUUAAACUCUAGAAGAUACAAGGCCACAAACUUUCCCAAAACCAUCAGAUCUCAGGGACUUAGUGAAAAUUCCUGCACCUGACUUUCUGUCUUAGUUAUGAAGCUUUUUGACAGCAAUCAAAACACAACCUAUUGGACUCCAAAUGAUAUGAAAUUUGACAGGGAUCUUCACAAACAUAUCAGGUCCAAACUCCUAGCACUGAGCUAAGGCUAGUUCACAACACAAUGACCAGCACAUCCUCAUCUACAGGAGAAGAAAAUGUUUCCAGAUUCUCACACUUAGUGAAAUUCCAGAUUUCACUAAGCUGGACUUUUUCAGCCACAUGCCCACUUUGUCUAGACAUAGUUUGCACACAAAUAAGACCAAGUGAUAAAUGACACCACUAUGGUGUAAGGCAAAACUCCUACUACUAUCACACAAAAACACAUGCCCUUGGGCUCCACCUAUUCCAUGGAAACAAAGAGCAAACUUGCAACAAAUCUGAAUAUGUCAACUCCAUAAAGUAUCUCCAUGGCAAAACUAACUUCACCACUGGAUUCCUUGGGAGAUUCUAUCCCAAAUUCAUAUAUAAUAUGUGGGCACUUACUUGGAACAAUUGACAACAUAUUAGGGAAGAAGAAACCACUACAAAUCAUGCCUAGUGAAUGGGGCAUCAUCUCAUGUAGUUCCACCAUAACAACAACUACAAAGGUUGAGCUCAUGUGCACAAUGACAAAGUGACAUGGGGGUUUGAACCCCAUGUUUGUGUCAUUCACAUCAACUUCACAACCCCUACUAUUAAGCUUCCCACACAAAUAUCAUGCCAUGCCCUCUCACAUAUGGACAUGUGAAAGUGCAAGGCUUGUUUGCCAAGGUGGGAUGCUACUCACACACACACCUAGUCCACAUCACCCACAAGCACAUCAUGCUCAAGAUCAACACCACACACUUACACAUGUUAUCAUAGCAACCAACUAGAACAAGGUCAACUUUAUUUAUACACACACAACCUAGUGCAACAUUAAGUGCUAGCACCUACAACAAUGAAGAACCUACACAUGCUUCAACUACAUGCUAUCAUAUCCCUAGGAACAACUAUCAACAGAACCACAUACACACAAUCUAGUGCAACUACACUCAUGUGUAUGCCCACACACACACAUGCACUUCUUACCAGCACAUCCACACACACUAUACCACCUAGCACCAUUAUAAAUGCAAAGGAAAAAUAAAACACAAUGCCAUGGCCACCUAUGCCUUUGUCACAAGAAUAGCAACAACAAAGAAGGAAGUGAAAAUGCAGCAAAAGAGAAAAACAAAACGGGGGGCUUCCUGGGAUUCGAACCCAACACCCACUGGUGCAACAAACUUCCCCCUACCACUCUGCUAGUGUCAACUUAUCGACAGCACAGAGGGUUCAGGCAAGGUAAGGCUACCCUGCAGUUAACUGUGCCGAAAAAUCAAAGAAACAAAAGGUGCCGAGGGGGGGAUGGAACCCAGCACCUCGCAUCAGGCACAACAGGACACAUACCACUAGGCUACGCUACGGAGUCUGAUCUAACACGCGGAACAAGCGAAGUGAAGGAGGUCCCUCUGCUGAUCUACUACCGGCGGCAGACCGAAACAGGGGAAGGCCCUCGCCGGCGACAUGGUGCAAAUCGAGCAACGGCUCGGGGAGGGGGNNNNNNNNNNNNNNNNNNNAAUCCCACACACGCAUGGGCUCAUUGCAUGUGCUAACUGCACCCGAGGGGCUCUACUACGGCGCAGUGACGGCGAGCGGCGGCACCGGCGACAGAGAGCAUGCGCGCAUCAAACCUACUGCUACUGCACCCGAUCUAAGACAAGGAGGGGGUAGGAGGAGCACUACCUCGCGUACGAGUCGAGGAGAGGAACGGCUCAUAGAGGAAGUAGUGGAGGAAGGCCGUCGGGGAAGCUCCUCGUCGGAGGGGAUGCACCGCCGGGAAGCAGUGGACGCAGAGCGGGGGAGGUCGAUCUCGCGCCGGGAACGGGCUCCUGGAGGCGUCCUCGAGCUGCUGGAGUCAUCGUAGAGGAGGUAGGGGAAGUAGAUCGACGGCGGUGACGAACUCCUACCCGUCGGCCAUGGCGGACCCGAGCGCUCCUCACCUUGCUGCGACGAGAGAGAGAGGGGGAUCGGGAUCUGGACGUUGAGGCGGCAGGGAGGAACCCUAACACGACUGCACGGAUGCCAAGGGGUUAAAUAGCUGGAGAGGAGGAACGCGAGGGCGUGCCGUCGGCCAUGUGCUGUCGUUCCUCUCGGUGGAGCAGAGGGGAGGGAUAGAGAGGAUGACAGGUGGUGCCUCCUGCCUCGCUGGAAAGGGAGGAGGACGAUGCACCGCGCGCAUGAGCUAGCGAGGAGUUGGGCUGGGCCGCGCUGGUGGCUUUGCCACUGGCGACAGAUAGAGGAGGGGGCCUGAGAGGGGUUUUGUUCUUUUAAAUAAACACAACAAAGGUUUUAAAACAAGUGGCAAUUCUGUUGGGGUAAAAAUCAAAACAAAAAUGCCCCUGGUCAUAAGGAUUUAUGACCUAUUUGAAAUAAAUAGAAAAGAAAUAUUUGGAGCAAUUUUAUUAAAUACAAAAAAACAAUUUAUUUACUGUUAUCGAUUUAUUGGCACCCUUUAAAAGCAAGAAUCAAAACAGCAAAUCACAUCUUGGCAUCCUCCACAAAAUACACUAAAUCAUGGGCAUCUUUAAAAGAGGGAAGGGAGAAGAGAAUCUUGACAUAGGAGAAUUAGAGAGGAGGGGUGGAGAUGGUUUUGAAUCCCAAGUUUAUACUAGCACAUGUACACCCCACAAUAACUAUACACCACAUGCACAUCAUCACAAGGCAUCACAAGGUGCAACCACAAGUUCACCACCACCACAAGAAAUGCUAAGAUCAUAUGGCACAACACAAGACAAGGGCAUGCAAUGAUAUGCUAUGCAUGCAUGCAUGGGAAGGAAGGAAAAUACAAGGGACACCACAUGAGGUCAUGGCACAAUUGGAUACAUCAACUCACUGACAAGGUGGACCCACAUGCAACAGGUUCCAAAUAAGGCAAGGUUUACAUCUGGGGCACUACAGGAAUUGUAUACGGGAUUGAUUGAAUCCUUGACAUCGUGGUUCAUGCGAUGAGAUCAUCGUGGAGCUAGUGGGAGCCACCAUGGGUAUCCAGACCCCAAUGAUGGUUAUUGGCCAGAGAGGUGUCUCGGUCAUGUCUGCCUGUCUCCCGAACCCGUAGGGUCUACACACUUAAGGUUCGAUGACGCUAGGGUUAUAGGGAAUUGUUAUACGAGGUUAUCGAAAGUUGUUCGGAGUCCUCGAUGAGAUCUCGGACGUCACGAGGAGCUCCGAAAUGGUCCGGAGGUAAAGAUUGAUAUAUAGGACGGAUGGUUUCGGACACCGAAAGUGUUUCGGGCAUCAUCGGUAACGUACCGGGACCACCGAAGGUGGCCCCGGGGGUACACCGAAGGGGGGCAACGACCCCGGGAGGCUAGAUGGGACAAGUGGGGGAAGGGAAGCAGCCCCUAGGUGGGCUGGGGCCCCCCCCCCCCCCCCACUCAGCCCAUGGCGCGGGAAGAGGGGAGAGGGGGGAAACCCUAGCGCAGGUGGGCCUAAGGCCCACCAGAGGGGUGCGCCACCCCUCCUCCCCCCCUUGUCCGCCGCACCAGCUCCCAUCUAGGGCUGCCCCCCCCCCCAGGAGAGGGAAACCCUCAAGGGGGCGUAGCCCCUCCCUCCCCCUAUAUAUAGUGGGCACUUUUGGCCAUUGGGAAUCAGACUUUGGCCUCUCCCUCGGCGCAGUCCUGCCCUUCUUUCUCCUCCUCUCUGUCGGUGCUUGGCGAAGCUCUACCGGGAGACCUCGUCUCUCCAUCGACACCACGCCGUCGUGUUGCUGGAGUUCUUCCCCAACCUCUCCCUCCUCCUUGCUGGAUCAAGGUGUGGGAGACGUCACCGGGCUGCACGUGUGUUGAACGUGGAGGUGCCGUAGUUCGGCACUAGAUCGGAAUCACACCGCGAUCUGAAUCGCCGCGAGUACGACUCCAUCAACCUCGUUCUAGUAACGCUUCGUCUUAGCGAUCUUCAAAGGUAUGAAGAUUUUCUUACCCCUCUCUCGUUGCUGGUCUCUCCAUAGGAAGAUCUGAAUAUGCGUAGGAUUUUUUUUGAAUUUAUGCUACGUUACCCAACACCCGGCUGCCUGGCACAACCGGCUGGUCGAAAUAGCCGGCCAUGGGUAGGAAUCGGAGUAGCCGGACUGGGCGGGUAGGCACCCCGUCCGACUCGCCAUCUUUCGGGUCCCCGAGGGUCAUCCCCUCGAGAUCGUAGGUCGACGAGGGCAUGCACCGCUCCCGAGUGGUACGGUAACCUUGUCUUAACAGUCAUAUUGUUGGACAAACCUAAACCUACAAGCUAUGGAGAAGCGAUGGUGGGCCUGGAUUCCAACAGAUGGUUAGAGUCCAUGAAAUAUGAGAUAGGAUCCAUAUAUGAAAACAAAAUAUGGACUUUGGAAGUAUUACCUGAAGGGCGAAAGGCCAUUCAAAAUAAAUUAAUCUUUAAGAAGAAGACGGACGCGGACGGUAAUGUCACCGUCUAUAAAGCUCGACUUGUGGCAAAGUGUCUUUCACAAGUUCAAGGAGUUGAGUAUGAUGAGACUUUCUCACCCGUAGCGAUGCUUAAGUCCGUCAGAAUAAUGUUAGCAAUAGCUGCAUUUUUUUAUUAUGAAAUUUGGCACAUGGAUUUCAAAACAGCGUUCCUUAACGGUUUCCUUAAGGAAGAGUUGUAUAUGAUGCAACCGGAAGGUUUUGUUCGAUCCAGAGAAUGUUAACAAAGUAUGCAAGCUCCAGCGAUCCAUUUAUGGAUUGGUGCAAGCAUCUCGGAGUUGGAAUCAACGCUUUGAUGAGUUGAUCAACGCGUUUGGGUUUAUACAAGUUUAUGGAGAAGCAUGUAUUUACAAGAAAGUGAAUGGGAGCUCUAUAACAUUUCUAAUAUUAUAUGUGGGUGACAUAUUUCUGAUUGGAAACAAUAUAGAAUUUUUGGGAAGCAUAAAUGGUUAUUUGAAUAAGAGUUUUUCAAUCAAGAACCUAGGAGAAGCUGCUUACAUAUUAGGCAUCAAGUUCUCUAGAGAUAGAUCAAGAUGCUUAAUAGGACUUUCACAUAGCACAUACCUUGACAAUGUUUUGAAGAAAUUCAAAAUGGAUCAGGCCAAGAAAGGGUUCCUUCCUGUGUUGCAAGGAGUGAAGUUGAGUAAGACUCAAUGCCCAGUGACUUCAUAAGAUAGAGAAAAGAUGAGUGUCGUCCCCUAUGCUUCUGCCAUAGGCUCUAUGUGUUGGGGAACGUCGCAUGGGAAACAAAAAAUUUCCUACGCGCACGANNNNNNNNNNNNNNNNNNNNNNNNNNNNNNNNNNNNNNNNNNNNNNNNNNNNNNNNNNNNNNNNNNNNNNNNNNNNNNNNNNNNNNNNNNNNNNNNNNNNAACAUAACAGGGAGAUUCGUCGGGGCCUAUAAAAGGGGGUCUUCUUCCCCAUUGCCUCCAAUGUUUUUUUGGCAAGUUUUUCCUCACCAUUCUUGACCUCCUCGAGCUUGCUUUCUCUCCAUUCCUUCUAUAAUCUAGAUAUAUAUUUUCGCCAAUCCAUCUCUCCUAUAAACGAGGGGACCCUUUUGAUCUAGAUCUUGGAGUUCUUUUAUGUUGGCCUUGUUCUUCCUCUCAUAUUCCUCCAUAGCUUUUGUUGCUUUGGUAGAAUUUGAAAGUGAGGGACUUGACCACUUCAUAUGUUCUUGCAAUUGCAUUAGUUGCAUCGGUUUGAGUUCUCCACGGUGAUACAUGGAAGUGGAAGGUUGAGAAGCUUAUUACUUUUUGGUGUUUGAGCACCCUAGAGCUUCUGCCUCUUGGGUGCUUGGACACCCUAGACGGUUGGUGGUGUCGCGAAGCUCAAUUAUUGUGGCGUAAAGCUCUGUACAAGUUUUGGGGUCUCCGAUUAAGUUAUGGAUAUUGCCCGAGAAAUUUGUACAAGUUCAAUGACCGCCCCAAGCAUUGCCAAUUGUAAGGGUUCGGUGACCGCCCCAAGGGUAACUGUUUGUAUGGGUCAGGUGACCGCCCUCAAGGCCUAAUGGAAUCACGACACCUUGCAUUAUGUGAGGGAGUGAGGAGAAUAUGGUGAUACUAGUGGUAUUUUCGGAAGCAUUGUGUCUCUCACCACUCUAAUGGAGAUUAGCAUCAGCAAGGAUAUAAACUUUGCGAUACAUCGUCGUCUUCGCGUGGCUCGGUUAUCUUUUACCCGAUCCCUUUACUUAUGCACUUACUUUGUGAUAACUAUAGUGAUUCAUGGUACAUAUCUUGGUCGGGGACGAAUACGAGAUCAUUGAAUUUCUUGACACCUACCAAAAGAUUGAAAACAAUGCUUCACACUAUCAAAUCCGUCAUGAUCUUGUUGAGCAUCAGUGGCAACUCUAUGGAAGAUAGACUCUCAUUUUAAUUUGAACAAUUUGUUGUUGUAUUUGUGUGAUAUUUGAACAAUUUGUUAUUGUAUUUUUGUGAGAUUCAAACAAUUUGUUAUUGUAAUAACUAUUUGAAUUUGAACAUUUGCUGUAAUAAAGAUGAUUGUUCUAUUGUGAAUUGCCCUUCGGAUCAUUUGAUUAUUUGAUAUUGUGAUUCUAUUCGGUUUAUAUCGUCGAAAAUCAAGAAUUUGCAAAUCUCUGAAAAAUUGUAGUAUUGCGACGCCUCUGAUAGGGAACAGAUCCUUUAAACUCGCCCCGUAGAAAAUUAGCGGUACAAGUAUACACGACCUAUUCCGGCGAAGGUCUCAUGGUUCUGUAAUUUUUUUAUAGGUCUCUCGUAAAUGACUUUUGUGAGAUGUAGCGUAACCAGAUCUGCUAGGAUGUGUUCAAUUGUCAUUCGUGAAGUUGCAUGCACUGCAUGUGUUGGUGAGUUGGGCAUGGCUGAGUGGAAACACGGUAAAACCAAUAUGUGCACCUCGAUUUGUUGUUCGCAUUGUGCAUUAGGGGAUAGGUUUUGGAACGGUGUUUGGUGUCAUGCAUUGUAUCGGCACAUGUAAUUACACGGUGUUUGGUUGUAUACACGUGAUAUGAUUAAGAGUUAAUAGUUACACAUAACAAACACUGUUACACAGUGCCAUGGCGAUUGCGACGGACGAUGGUGGCGAUGAAGCGGUUCGGUGGUGUUGGGUUUGCGCUCGGCUGCGGCUGCAAGGACCCAAGGCCAUGACGGCCACGACAACAGGGGCGGCCUCCUCGUCCCCGCGCUCUGGCACAAAUACGUCAACAGUGACCACGACCACGUCAUGCAGGGCGGGGACUCACCGGUCGGCAUCGACGUCCAUGGGCACGCUCACCAUGCCCUUCGCCCCCUUCUCCUUCCUAUGGGAGGAUGACGACACCAACAAGGCAGCUGCACCUUCUCGUCGGCGUCGUACCCGAGCACCAAUGUGCGGCCCAGCGAGAUGCACACCGCCAUCAGCUCGAACCGGGAGCUCCCGCUCAUGUGCAUCAAGCAGGGGCUGAGUGGCACCGAGGCGCAGAUCCGACUUGCCAUCUUCACGACCAACAAGCUGGAGGAGAAGACAGAGAGUAAGUUGCUCAAGUCCCUCGGCUUCAUGUGAAACCCGUUGGAGCCGCUCCAGAACACGGAGACCGAGGAGGAUAAAUCAAAGAACAAAGAGGAUGAGAAGCGCUCGUUGACACCACAUCUGAAGCAUUUAGGGUCGAAGAAACUACGAAUCGGUCGGAACCAUAACAUCGAUGUGCAUCUUUUCGUCUAGAGUUUAUUUCGAACUGAAACAUCGUUGUGUAGAUUAGGAGGGACAAGGAAGAAAGGGGUUAGGGAGGAGCUUAAUGAAGGUAGAAGAAGAUAGCACGUACAGACUCUAUACUAGCUCCGCGGAAAUUGUCGAUUUAAGCGUUUCCAAUAGGCCUGACUGGAAGUUGCUUUAAUGUUCAUGUCAUGCGGGCCAAAUAGUGAACACUACCAAACAAUUCAUUUCCACCCCCGUGGAAAAAAUUUUAACACCGUCCCUUAGGUCCCGAUUCAUUAAAAAGAUUGAGGAGAAUUGUUUGGUUAACUAUUGGAAAACCGAAAGAAAACCGUCACAACAUGCCAGCAAAAACAUGGCACAAAGGGCGACCUCGCAACCCACACAGAAGCGCACACACACCGGUAUGGAGAAAAGAUCAUCAAGGCUGCAACCCGAUGUCAUCGUCAUCACGCCUCCACGAGGGCGACUCUGACUCCACCAUCGACGACCAUCGAAGAAGCCCUCACCGCGGACAAGCGUCGAGGCCCGCGUCGGUCAAAGCCAAACAAUCAGCCACACGCGCCGCCGACUAGGCAGCUCCGACUCUUUCGAUGAGCAUUGUCGGGGAAAACCGUUGGGCUUGCGCCGAGCCAGCGCCAAAGCCGACCACCCGUAUCGUAUCAUCUUCAUCGCAAGGGACCCUCCUCAACAGCUCUGACUUCAUGAAGACAAAAGCGAGGCACAACGAUCCCUCGAACAUGCUGGAAGAGACCGACUACCAAGAACCAUCAGCAAGCCAGCUCUGCCUGAAGCCAAAAUUCUUGCCACACAAGAAGCCGCGCAGAACAAACACAUCGCCAGACGAGCACCUGCCUACUGCAAUGCCGCGAGUGUCCAGACCAUGGAGCGUGCAAACGGGAUCCGGAGCUCUUCAAGACGAUGCCCCAAGGAGGGAAGCGACGAUGUCGACACCGUCGCUCGACCCUGACGGGCCUUAGGCUUUCACCCGAAGACGAGAUCCGAGGGUGUGGAGGAUACGGGGCUCCACAAUGAUGCCUGCAAGAAGGUUAUUCGACGCCCACAGACGCUGACGCCGUCGGCCCGAGACCGGGCAAGCUUUCGCUGGGAGCAAUCCAACACCAGAGCCACCCCCACGCACAACACCUCCGCUGACCCACCCCCUCUCGCAGAGCCACUACGUCGGAAGCACUGGAGAGCCACCGAGCUACACCCAUCCCCGUCGACCAUACAUCGACGAGCCAGAUCCGGCCAGAUCUGGAAUCCCACCACCGCAAGGCCAACGGGAGCCAACAAGGCUAGCGCGCAACCGGCCCGCGCGAGGACACGCCCACGGAGCAGUGAGGGGGCGAACCCGCCUCUACAUGCUGAAGAANNNNNNNNNNNNNNNNNNNNNNNNNNNNNNNNNNNNNNNNNNNNNNNNNNNNNNNNNNNNNNNNNNNNNNNNNNNNNNNNNNNNNNNNNNNNNNNNNNNNUUGCCCUUGAAAAAUAUGCCUGUUCUAGUGAUUCAGGUGCCAUUUAAACUGACAUAAGUUGGCUCUUGCAUACAUUAUUGGCCAAACUUAGCCUUGCCACGAGUAUCGUACACCCUCCCCUCUCCCUUCCUGACCCAUAGUCAGCAGUCAACACUCGUCACAUGAUCUUUAUGCUCGAGAUCAGGGAUCAGAUGAGAUGUUUAAGCAUUGGAUGGCUGUACUUAGCUGGAUUAAGCUAGAAUUUGAGUUACCGUGUUGUGGUGAUUCAUGUCGAACAUACGAUCUCCCCUCUCCCUUCCUGACCCAUAGUCAGCAGUCAACACUCGUCACAUGAUCUUUAUGCUCGAGAUCAGGGAUCAGAUGAGAUGUUUAAGCAUUGGAUGGCUGUACUUAGCUGGAUUAAGCUAGAAUUUGAGUUACCGUGUUGUGGUGAUUCAUGUCGAACAUACGAUCUCCCCUCUCCCUUCCUGACCCAUAGUCAGCAGUCAACACUCGUCACAUGAUCUUUAUGCUCGAGAUCAGGGAUCAGAUGAGAUGUUUAAGCAUUGGAUGGCUGUACUUAGCUGGAUUAAGCUAGAAUUUGAGUUAUCUUAGUGUGAACUCACACUUUGAAGUGUCAUUUACCUUGUAAAAGCUGUGAUUCGAAUUACACUACUCCCUCCAUCUACUAAUAUAAGGCCACUUCAUAUUUUUAUUUCUAGCUUUGAACAUUAAUUUUACCAACAAAAUGUGAGUCAUAUGUCAUAAAAAGUAUGUCAUUGGAUGCAUAUUUGAAAGAACUUUUCAAUAAUAUAUUUUUUAUAAAUUAUAUUCCAUAUUUUGUUGAUCAAAAUUACAAGUCAAAGCUUGACACGAAAAACAAAGUGGCCUUGUAUAUAAAAAUGGAGGGAGUAUUAUUGUUUUUUGUAACUGAAGCAUUCAUGGUAGCUCUAGUGAUGGAAGGGGCUUGGUUUGUGCUUAUUAUGAUUUAAGCUUGUGAAGCUCCUGUUUGGUUACGCUUGCUUUCUUGAGCUUGAAAUAUUUAACGGUCAAUUAUUUAUCAAUUAUCAUCCUUCGUAAAUUGAUGUAUUGGUUAUUUGUCCUUUUUAUAGAUACCACUACAAUGUAGCUGAUUCAAGGUUGCACCAGCAUAUAGAAAAAGGCAAUGAAGAUGGCUUGUACAUUAGUUGCGUAGCUUCUUCAGCAAAUUUUUGGGCUCUCAUAAUGGACGCUGGGACCGGUUUUGGUUCUCAAGUGUAUGAGCUUUCACAAAUUUUCCUGCACAAGGUGCGCUACGGUCUCCGUCCUCGCUAGUUGGAAUUUUGAUAAUCCAGAAUAUUGAUGCUAUAUUGUUUAUGACUUUUUAUAUAGGAUUGGAUUAUGGAGCAAUGGGAAAAGAACUUCUAUAUAACAGCAAUAGCUGGAGCAACCAAUGGAAGCUCACUGGUUGUGAUGUCCAAAGGUUUGUAAAUUACCUCUUCUCUCUUGACAACUGCUCAUUUGUUGAAACUUCUCCGUUUGGUGAAGAUUACAUGUUUGACAGAGAACUGCUAUACGUGUAACACGAACUAGUAUGCUUUUACUGAUGUACUCCCUCCAUCCGGAAAUACUUAGUUGAAGAAAUGGAUGUAUCUUUGACGUAUUUUAGUUCUAGAUACAUCCAUUUUUAUCCAUUUCUUCGACAAGUAUUUCCGGAUGGAGGGAGUAUCACAUAUUACUAUAUUAGAUCAUCUGUACAAAAUUUAUACCUGAUUUUGCUGUAUGUGCAUUCGUUCCCUUUUUAAAAUGAGCAGUUGUCUUGCAAACUAGCCAUUUAGCAGGACCUCCAAGCCACCAUGGUUAUGUAAGAGGUCAUCAGAAUUGGUGUGUGGAGGUUGCCACAGCAUUGUUGGUACAGGAUACAUCAGUCAGUCUGAUAAACUAGUGCUGAGCAAACAAUGUUACUAGUUUUCUGUUUUUAAUAUUUACAUAUGAAGUUAAACAAAUUAUCAGCAUCUGUUUACUGUCUAGAGCCUUGAUUUUUUGUAUAGCCCGUUGGUCCUUUUCCUGUGAUUUAUACAUGUAAUCUGAUCUUUGAUAUCGUUACAGGAACUCCGUACACGCAGCAGUCAUACAAAGUCAGCGAAUCUUUUCCUUAUAAGUGGAUUAAUAAAAAGUGGAAAGAAGGUUUUCAUGUAACAUCCAUGGGUACUGCUGGGAACCGUUGGGGAGUUGUCAUGUCGAGGAAUGCUGGCUACUCUGACCAGGUCAAAACACAUGCUGCACUUCUUUGUGAUAAAUCAUUUGGAAAGAAUAACUCUCAUGAAUUUGGUGGUCCCUAUAAUUCCUCGUGUGUUUAAACAUACAUUUGAUGACUGCAUAUGUUCUAAAAAAAAGAUGAAAAGCAAUAUUUCACAUGUGUCUGCUUUUCGGUUCUGUAGAUCUCUGCAAGCUAAACUCUUUUGAGUUGUUAGAUGGUUCAAAUCUGACAACCAUCAGUUUGAGCAUUGCAUGUAAAGUAUCUACUUGUAAAAGCAUAUGCUGCUGCUAGGAUGGCUUCAGUUAUCUUAUAGAACUGGGCUCUACUGUUUUGAUGAGUAAUUAUGUAGAGUUGUGCCAAGUCUGAAUUUUCAUACAUAUAGGUCAUAAGGUGUGGCCAGUGCUGAAACUGAAUCUGUGUUGCAACCUGCAGGUUGUGGAGUUGGAUUUUCUGUAUCCAAGUGAAGGACUGCAUCGGCGAUGGGAGAGUGGCUACAGAAUAACUUCAUCCGCAGGCACACCUGACCAAGCUGCUUUUAUCUUGAGCAUACCAAAGAGGAAGCCACUGGACGAGACCCAGGAAACCCUUCGAACUUCUGCCUUCCCUAGUAACCAUGUGAAGGUACCUCGUGCAUUUCUGUCCAUCAUACUACAAGGACGUGCAAAACCAUAUGUUACAUGUGGUUAUUAUUAGUGUCUUUACUGAACCCAACCUUCGGAACUGAAAUAUUUCAGGAGAAGUGGGCGAAGAACCUGUACAUCGCCUCGAUCUGCUACGGACGAACUGCGUGUUGAUGCCGUACUUGAGCUUGAGGGCGAAAUCACCUGAGUUUUACCACUGGAGCCAGAAGAGAGUUCGAGACGGAACAAACUCCGCGUCAACCUUAUUACCUAGGUUUCAAGCGCAAUUGGCUGGCACUGGCACUGGGCUGGCCUCUUUCGGUUGGCGGCAUGCUAUUCUAAUUGUAAAGAAUCUCGUGAAGAUCAUCGGUGUUGUAUCAGUCAGUCCUCAUCGGAUGGAUAUGAACCUGUUGAUAAGAUAAGGUCAUAUUAUUGGCAGAUUUGCUGUUGUUCAUUCCGCA
rnacentral:lncRNA from 1 species